UUCUUCAAGACUACUUCUCUCUCUAGUUUGAAGAAAUCUCUCCUCCUUCUCUCUACAAUACAAACUAGUUCUUAGUUUUUAGUUUUUAGAAUUCAAACAAGGAAGCAAGUCUUGAACAAGUUUCAAACUUUAUAAGUUCUCUUACAAACUUUAUAUUCUAUCUUAUUUUGUCAAAUGGUCGGCUAAGUCGCCUGAUAUUCAUAUUCAUUUGUUUAUUCUUAUUUUGUUUAUACUAACAAUCCAUGGCCGGUUAUACCACCUAAACUAACUAGUGAUAGUCCGACUGCGACCCAUUUCCUAACUCUUAUACUUUCUAUUUUAUUUAUUUUCCUAGUUUAAGGGGUUAACCCCUCGUCCAUAUAUAUACACACACACACACACACAUAUAUAUGUACAAAUACAUAUACAUACAUAUAUAUAUACAGACAUAUAUGUAUAUGCAUACAUUAUAUGUACAUAUAUACAUAUAUAUGUGUGUGUGUGUGUAUAUGUACAUAUAUACAUAUAUAUAUAUGUUUACACACGCAUACACACAUAUAUUCUUUUUUAGGCACAAAGUUAGGUUUUCCUUUUGCUUUUGCAAAUUUGACAGAAUAUCUACAAAUGAGAACUUUUACAUGGAUCUUUAUGAGUGGUAGCUUUUAACGUGAUGAUACUUCAAUACUGGGAAAGUAGUUUAAGUAGCUAGAUUAAAUAAACUUACAACCCCAUUUUACAAAUUAAAGCAAAAAUUAAAGAACUUCAGACAGAUGUUGCUUUUCCUAUUAGUACAGUAAUAAUACAUGCGAAGAUUUUGUCCAAAAACAUAAUAUUUUCCUCAAUUCUCUAACUGUUCUUAGACAUUCGGUCAUUUUUUUUAAAUGAGAGGUUUUAAAUCCAAAAUCUCCUACUUGUAUUCCCUCUCCCCCUUACCAUAUAACCCAACCCCAACCCUCUCUAGCAUUUGGUCGCUUAUAUAUGCACAUAUCAAUUUAUAUGUAUUUAUUUUGGUCUAAAUCUAAAAUGCAUUUAAUCUAGAAUUGCUGUUAUCUAUAUCAUACUUCCAUUUUUUAGCUCAAUCAUGUGCACAAAUGACAGGUGCGGAACCUGUGCAAUAAUAAGUACCUACUCGAGAAAAAUACAGAUUUUGUAUAUAGCGGUGAGUAGGGUCGAAUCCACAGGGACUGGGGAUAAUUCGUUUCUUCUAGAAUCCAAAGUAUGGGGGGUUCUUGGAUUAAAUGCUAACUAAAGAAAUUAAAUGCAGAAAAUAAUUAAUUAGAAGAAAUAACUUAGAGAAACUCUAGCCAAGGAUACACUUCAGAAAUGGUUCACGCACUAAUCAUUGAUUCAAAAAUAAUUCCAACAUUUAUUACUAGAGUGGUUAUAGUUGUCAUACACGCGAUAAACAACCAACCUUUCCUUACUUUCUCGAUAGUUAAGGUACGACCGUUAACUAUUUCUCUAACCCAAAAACAAUCCUAGGUACGACCGUAGGAUUUAAUUUCUAGAUUGCAUUAAUAAUUAGAAAAGCCCAAUCCUAACUAACAAACACGCUACGAGGGUUUGUUUAAGUUAGAUCGUAUGUUUCCCUGACAUAAACCCAAUUACGCCAGUUGCUACUGAGAUAGAGAUAACGAACAAUUACGGAUUCAAUUACCCCUAUUUAGCAAAAUAGCCUAUGUGAAUAAUUAAAUAUUGCGCACUAAUCAAUCAUCCACACGAGCUAUAACGGUUAAAAGCAGGAAAUAUAUGAAUACCAAUAAAUGAAGGAAGCAAUUAAAAUAAAUUAGAUCUCACAGUAAUUGUUGAACCAUAUCUUCAGUUGUCCCCUUGACUAGAAUUGAGAAGCUAGUUCUCCAUUAAUGGAGAACCAGCUGUGCAAAAGAGCUAUUUGAAGUUUACAAGAUUGUUCCUGGCCAAAAUCGGCCAACUAGCCCAGGAAUUAAAAAGUAAUAAGAACAAAGCAAUUGUGCUCUUUUAUUUCUGCCGUGAAAAGAAGAUCCGAAUUUGUUGCUGGCUGAAGUCUUUAUCACGCAGGAUCCGGCUCUUUCUCUUCUUUGUAUUUCGUUCCUCCCAAAUUAGCCAAAGCCCAAAUACAAAGGUCCACCACCGUGGCUUUCUCUCGAUGGUCCCCACCUAGCAAAGCCAAACAGAAAUUCAUGCCAAGCCAAGCAGACCUACUAGGAGUCUAAUACUUCCCUCUUUUUCCUUUUGGUAGCCACGAAAUUGAAGGAAUUGAUUUUCCUAAUUUUUAGUUUUUUGAAACCAAAUAGACUUCCUCCUACUGUUCCGUUAAUAAUCCACGUAGACUCCCUUUUGAAUUAGAAAACUCUUGAAAAAUCACAUCUUUUAUCUCUUUUUGCUCCACCUUCCUACAAUUAGUACCAAAUACCAAAUAUAAGUAAAAUCAAUCAAUUAAAAUAAUGUUUGGCUAAAAUCUAGGGAAAAAUAAUUAUAAAUUUAGCAACAAAUUAUGGCCUAUCAAUUUUCCCCACACCUAAACCAUGCUUGUCCUCAAGCAUGAGAACAACAAAUCAAAUAAUCAAAUUCAAACAAUGGUAUUAUUCAAAUCUUCUAUUGCCAAGAUACAAUUAAAACACAUGUUAAGUAUUAUUGGCAAUUUUCAAGAAAUAUCUCUCCAACUAGCUUUCAAGAUCAAGGAUUCUUUCAAUUUAUGACUAACUAAUCUAAGAAUAUAAAAUAUUCAACCAGCAUCCAUAAGCAAAUGGUUCAACUAUUAAGCAAAAUCUCAACAUUAAAAUUCAGGGAUCAGUGGGUUAACAAUUCAUUCAAACACUUCCAUAUUUUUCACUAUUAGCACAUAUUCUUUUCUAGAAUAUCCCCACACAUGAAUGAUGAAUUUUUUUUUUUUUUAGGGGGAACGCUUAGUUUUUAGCCAUUCAAGCGUUUUGACGCGAACUCCGACAUUGGCCAUAUGAAGGAGCCCGGUUACUCAGCCAUCAUCGCUUAAAAACCACAUACUCAUAGCUAUCGUCGCUUUUUGACGCGAAAGUCGACAUUUGUGGUGAAGACUCCCGGUUACUAGGCAACGAUACUAGCGGAGUAUAGCCUAAUAUUAUUCAUAAAUAAGCACCAAAAAUAAAAUUAAAUACCACACAAACCUGCUUCAUUUCUUAAAUAUGGAGAACUAAAAUUAAUAGUUGAACCAAUUUGCACAAAAAAAAUGCUAGAUAAAUAUUUACAAUACUUAGAAAAGUUAACCAAAAAGUGCAAACGUCACAAAAUCUCAAAUAUUCACCAAAGAGAUACCCUUAAAAUCAACCAUGUCAUACUCAACACCUUAAAGUGUAAAAUCUUAGCAAUAGAAAAAUUUGAGACAUCUAACCAUCGUUUAUUAGGAAUAAUCACAAAUAAGCACAAAGAUAGGCAAAAAUUGGACAAAAUUCGACAAAGUCAAACAAAAAAUUCCAACAAAAAUGCCUACACUUGCACUUUUUCAAUAAAAAACCAAUAUACUAACCCCCCCACACCUAAAUUUUGCAUUGCCCUCAAUGUAAGCAAAGAAAGAGCAAAACAGAGAUAUUGGGGCAACGACACUUCCCUUAAAACGGAGGAGGGCAGAACUGAACUACGGCUGGAGAGGGAAAGGCGGGCGGAGACCCACGUGAUAGAGAUGUUGUGCUCAAUUCUGGGCCAUCCCGCCCAUGUGACGCUCUAUCCGCUCCAUACGAGUGUCCAUGUGCUGCAUCUGGAGCCGAAGGGCUGCAAGCUGGCUAUCGGCGGACGAAGACGGUGGAGGUGCCGCAGAGGACAGUCCGGAUAAUAAAUGAUCCCCAGUCACAGCUCCCAAUCACAAACAAGUGCAGAAACGGAUAAUAAACUCACCCCAAAAACUAAUUAAACCUGUGAACGACAAAAUUUUUGCCAAAUACUACCAAUUCAACCCAAAAAUCAAUUAAUUAGAUAAACAUAGCAAAAUUCCCCCCAAAACUAAUUAAACAGGCAACUAGGGUAAAAAUUUUCCCCAAAUAUCACUGGUUGGGCACAAUGUUAACCAAAUAAUCAACAAUCAGUCCACAGAUAUAUCACAGCACCCAAACAAGCACAAAUUUUCUGUCCUCAGCUAGCAAAUCAAAAAUUUGGCCUCAGCUAAGAAAGUAAAAUUCUGGUAUCAGCUAAUAAAGAAUUAGUAAUCUGGCCUCAGCUACUUAGUGACGGAAAAAUAAAGAAAGAAUUCACCGGAGGGGUUUUGGCAACAACAACAGGUAUAGUGGAAGAGGCAGAAGCGACGCGUGUGGGGCUCACGCCGGUGGCUAACGCGCACAAGGGCGCUCGGCUGCUACUGCUGAUACUUGCUAAGCUCGGCUGGUGAAGUCCUUGAGAAGGGGCAAAGGAGGUCGCGCGCCUGCUGGGCUCGGUUGGAGGCGCGGCGGCGAGGGUCGCUCGUGUGGGUAGCCGCUGGUGGAUGGCAGCUAGUCAGCAGUUGCCGCGGGCUGGAGGUGGCGAUGGAGCUGCUGGAGUGGAGCUUGAGCUGCGCGAGGUGGAGGUGCACGUGAGCUGGGGCUAGGCGACGGCGGCGCUGCUUCGGCGGCGCGCACUGGUGGCUGUGGCGAAGCUUGGAGGCUCGAUGAGCUGUGGAUGGCCUGGAGGCGCGACUUGGCCGCGGGAAUGACGCACGCGCGAGGUGGCCUGGCUGGUGAAGGUUGAUGGCAGAGGCACGCGGAGGAGAUGGAGGCCUGGUUGCCGAUGGAGGCAGCGGCGUCCGUGAGGCUGAUCGUGCGGCACAGGAGGAGCAGCGGUGGCGAAGGAACUCAGCACGCUGUGGGUGGACGGCCGUGGGCAGGGGAGCAGCGGCGGACGGAGGCGACUGUCACGCGAGGGAGCGCGGCGACUGUGUCGCGCCCGUGGGUCUUCGACGGCGGUGGCUGUCGCGGCUACUCAGGCUGCUCGCUGGCGGAGUGACAAGGGAGAAGGGAGAGCGCGAGUGCGAAAGGAAAGAAGGAAAGGGGGAAAAACAGGGGAAGCGGCGGAGAAGAAGAAGAAAAGGAAAUGAAAGAAAGAAAAGAGAGAAAAAGAAGAAAAGAGAAAAGGGAAAUUUUUUUUUUUUUUACUCAAGGAACCUCUGGCUUAGGCGUGGGCACGCCUAACUGCCCCUAGUCUUUUGACCAUCCGUCAAAAAUUUUUUUUUUUUUUUUUUAUCCUUUAGCGUGACCACUUAGCAUGGGCACGCCUAACUGCUGUAGAGUCCGCAGAUCCUGAACGAAAAUUUUUUUCCCUCAGGCGUGACCACCUGUGUGGGCACGUCUAACUGCUAUAGAGUCCGCAGAUCCUGAACGAAAAUUUCUUUCCCUCAGGCGUGACCACCUGGUGUGAGCACGUCUAACUUCCACUUUCCUGCCACCAAGCAACAAAUCAUUAAAUGCAACUAACACUUAACAAAAACUCCAAAAACAUAAGAAAAUUAAAACAAAAGCCUUGGGUUGCCUCCCAAGCAGCGCCUUUCUUUAAUGCCUUUGGCUAGACAUUGUCCUGUUUAUUCAUGGAGGAUAAAAUCGCGUAACUCGCUUCAGUGCUUCAUCUUCUAUGUGAUCCUGAUAGCCCUCGUAAAUAGAGUAAUUCUUGAGCACACGAGCUACGGUCUUCCAUGGACCAGUAGAUUGCGCCAAACAACCAAGUAAUGACCUUAAAUCUUCAUUCACUCCUCCAUCACAAGCACUUAUUGGUUUGAGAUAUUUUGCCAUCGUGACUCUUAACUUGUUCCUGUCAUGAAACUCAAAAUUUUCUGGUAUAAUAAAAUCAAUCUCACUAACAGAAAUUAAAGAAUAAGAGUCAGGAAAAUAUUGAUCAAAAAAUGGAGGAGAUGUCACCGCAUUUGGAGAUUGUUCACUGGAUUCAUUCACUUGAACCAUUUGAUGUUGGGGUCUCAAUUCUUGCGCUUCAACUUUCUUUUCAACUGCAUCUUUAGAUUCUUCUCCUUGAGACCCUUGCAAUACCAUGUCCUUUGUCAGAAUAAUUGCACUCUCAUCUUCCUCAUGGUUGAUAAUAGUCGGUGAGGGCAAUUCUUCAUAAAUUGGAGAAAUCAAUUUGCUCAUUUUAGAUGCCCAUUCACGCCUUCCUUCUUUCAUCUCUUCACUCAUCUUUUGUGUCUCCUGUUGAAGUUGAUGUACCUCCUGUUGAAUUUGAUAUGUGUUAGUAGCUAUUAAUUCAACUAUUUCUUCAAGAGACAUACCUGACAUGGAUGACGGUUCUUGAGACUCUAGCUGUUGAAAAUCUAGUGGCCCUGUUGUAUAAUUAAACUGGAGUUAUCCCACCAUCCUUGAUCAUACCCGUUUGGAUUAGGGUUAUACCACGUUUGAGACCAUGGUGAAAAAUCUCCAUAAUUAUUGAGUGGGACACUCAGAUUAUCUUGAUAUUCGGGGCACAUACCGGUCGAAUGAUCCCUGGCAUAACAAAUUUCACAGGUUGCAGCAGCCAUUCUUUCUCUAAUAGAGUUUAGUGCCUCUAAAUAUGCAAACUUAGAAAAAAAAUCAGUCUCAUUGCCUUCCUCGGAAACAAAAUCCAGUAAAUCACCAAAAUACGGAGUGUUAGAAGCCAUAAACUAUAUAAUAAAAAAUAAGAGAAAAAUAAAUAAAUAGAAAUAAAAACAAGAUGAACUCAAAAAGAAACAAAUUAAUCUGGCACCAGUCCCCGGCAACGGCGCCAAAAAUUGACAGGUGCGGAACCUGUGCAAUAAUAAGUACCUACUCGAGAAAAAUACAGAUUUUGUAUAUAGCGAUGAGUAGGGUCGAAUCCACAGGGAUUGGGGAUAAUUCGUUUCUUCUAGAAUCCAAAGUAUGGGGGGUUCUUGGAUUAAAUGCUAACUAAAGAAAUUAAAUGCAGAAAAUAAUUAAUUAGAAGAAAUAACUUAGAGAAACUCUAGCCAAGGAUACACUUCAGAAAUGGUUCACGCACUGAUCAUUGAUUCAAAGAUAAUUCCAACAUUUAUUACUAGAGUGGUUAUAGUUGUCAUACACGCGAUAAACAACCAACCUUUCCUUACUUUCUCGAUAGUUAAGGUACGACCGUUAACUAUUUCUCUAACUCAAAAACAAUCCUAGGUACGACCGUAAGAUUUAAUUUCUAGAUUGCAUUAAUAAUUAGAAAAGCCCAAUCCUAACUAACAAACACGCUACGAGGGUUUGUUUAAGUUAGAUCGUAUGUUUCCCUGACAUAAACCCAAUUACGCCAGUUGCUACUGAGAUAGAGAUAACGAACAAUUACGGAUUCAAUUACCCCUAUUUAGCAAAAUAGCCUAUGUGAAUAAUUAAAUAUUGCGCACUAAUCAAUCAUCCACACGAGCUAUAACGGUUAAAAGCAGGAAACAUAUGAAUACCAAUAAAUGAAGGAAGCAAUUAAAAUAAAUUAGAUCUCACAGUAAUUGUUGAACUAUAUCUUCAGUUGUCCCCUUGACUAGAAUUGAGAAGCUAGUUCUCCAUUAAUGGAGAACCAGCUGUGCAAAAGAGCUAUUUGAAGUUUACAAGAUUGUUCCUGGCCAAAAUCGGCCAACUAGCCCAGGAAUUAAAAAGUAAUAAGAACAAAGCAAUUGUACUCUUUUAUUUCUGCCGUGAAAAGAAGAUCCGAAUUUGUUGCUGGCUGAAGUCUUUAUCACGCGGGAUCCGGCUCUUUCUCUUCUUUGUAUUUCGUUCCUCCCAAAUUAGCCAAAGCCCAAAUACAAAGGUCCACCACCGUGGCUUUCUCUCGAUGGUCCCCACCUAGCAAAGCCAAACGGAAAUUCAUGCCAAGCCAAGCAGACCUACUAGGAGUCUAAUACUUCCCUCUUUUUCCUUUUGGUAGCCACGAAAUUGAAGGAAUUGAUUUUCCUAAUUUUUAGCUUUUUGAAACCAAAUAGACUUCCUCCUACUGUUCCGUUAAUAAUCCACGUAGACUCCCUUUUGAAUUAGAAAACUCUUGAAAAAUCACAUCUUUUAUCUCUUUUUGCUCCACCUUCCUACAAUUAGUACCAAAUACCAAAUAUAAGUAAAAUCAAUCAAUUAAAAUAAUGUUUGGCUAAAAUCUAGGGAAAAAUAAUUAUAAAUUUAGCAACAAAUUAUGGCCUAUCAACAAAAGAAUCAGCAUCCAUGUUCUUUCAUGUUACUCUUUAUCUGUUUGCUUUUGAAUUUGGUUAAUCAAAUCAACAAUUAUUCUUGAAUCCUUUAAGUAGGUUUACUAGCUUAGUUUUAUAAGAAAUAUCAAACGUAUCUUUUUUUUUCUUUCUUGCAUCACUUUCAUUGGAGUUAAUUUGUUCAUUUGACGUUUUGCGCACAGUUGUACUCAUUCUUCUGUAUAGACCCAUAAUUAGCUUAUAAAAGUUUUAAAAAUCUCUUUCUAAUGCAAGAUCUAAGGUCAUAACAUAGACUGGUAUAUUUGCACAUUCAACCUACUUUUAACAAUUUAUAAUUUUGAAAUCUGUUACUUUCUUAAAUUUGAGCUUAUAGAUUAGAGAGCUUAUAUAUGUUUUUUUCCGGGUUAAUUCCACUUUGUCCCCCCAAACUUUGGACGAUUACCCACUUAAGUCCCUAAACUUCAAAAUGAGACACUUAAGUCCCUAAACUUAUAAAUACCUCUCACUUAAGGAAAAUUGUUAACAAAUCCUGAAUGUCGUUGGUGGUCGAAGUGUCCUAUUUUAUAAGGGUUUAGGGAUUUAAGUAUCCCAUUUUAUAAGUUCAGGGACUUAAGUGGGAGGUAUUUAUAAGUUUAGAGACUUAAGUGUCCCAUUUUGAAGUUUAGGGACUUAAGUAGAUAAUCGUCCAAAGUUUGGGGGGACAAAGUGGAAUUAACCCGUUUUUUUCCUUGUUCCAAAUAUUAAAAGGUUAUUCUACAAUUAGUCUUGAAUUGAUAUAGUUGUGCAUCACUUUCAUUGUACUGUUUCAUUUUAACAACUACUGCACAAAUGAUAUAUUAUAUAGAAUAGGAAAAGAUGUUAUUAUGAAAAUAAUGAAAAUUUAAGAUCACAGUAUGCUGAUACUCAAAUACAUAAUGGAGACCAGCCAUAGGUGGAUAAAUAGUUUUGCUUUGGGACAUUUUGGGUGUUCCAUUAAUUGCACCAUGAUAUAAGUACAAUGAAGGAGGCUUGUUUUGUUUUGAUUUUUACCAUCGCAAAUUACAUUAGAAUGAAUUAUACAGUAUAACAAAAAUCUAAGACUACAUUGUACUUCCACCCAAAAGCUACUAACUCUCGCCAUAAUUAAUAUUUAAAGAGUAGUAGAGAAUAUAAAACCAGAAUUGAAAAAAAAAAAAGUAGUAUUUAGUUUCAAGCAUUCAACUUCAAGAUUCUUUUAAGGCUCGUGUUUCCGUUAAAGUACCUAAGCAAUGAAAACAGAAAAGAAUUAAUGAAAACUUUGUGGUGGGAAAAGUUAACUAAUUAAAUGGCAUCCUUUUUAUGAUUUAAAGCAUUACAAUAAUUAAGAUGCUGGAGUAAUCUUUUGAUUAAUUAACCAUCCUUUCUUUCAAUAGUUAUCGCGUUAAAUAUACUUCACUUAAGUUCUUGAUUUUUGCUAUACUUUAUUUUGAUCCGAGAAGAAUGAUUUUUUUCUUGUAAAUGAAAAUUUUUUGAAUGUAGGAUCUCCUAUUACCUAUCGUCGAACUUUAUCAUCCGAGCCAACUUUCUCUAUGAUUUGAGCCAACGUCAAGUGGAAGAGAAAGUCAUAAAAUGCACAUAGCAUUUAUUCAACUUUGAUUGAGGAAAAGCCCAAUUAAGAACAACAAAAUUUUGGCCCAAAAAAAAAAGAAAAUGAAAGAAAGAAAGAACAACAAUAAGUCAUUUCAAAAGUCAAUAUUAUCUAGGUUGCCAAUUUCGACUACAAUAAGAAAGAACAAUGAAUAUUAUCUGGGUUGCCAAUUUUGACGGCCAUAUCUUAAGCUUUUUUUUUUUUUUUUUUUUUUUUUUUUUUGAGCAACCAUAUCUUAAGUUUGUUGAUUGAGUUACUCAUUUCAUAGCUCCUUUUCGCCUUCAACAAGUCAAUAGCCCAUUUGCUAGAAUAUUUACACACUGGAGAAGGCAGUAGUCGAUCUCAAUCUCAGGUAAAAAUGGUUUUUUGGGAGAGCAAAAAUUUAAAAAAAAAAAAAAAAAAAAGGAACAGAACAAAACAAUACUCAAUAUCAAACUUGCAUCUCUUGAAUUUUAAAGAACUUUUCUUUUUCCUUUUUGCUGAAUGAAUUUUUACUCGGUUACUAGCAAAAAUACAUAACAUACACAAUAUUGGAGGUUGCAUAACCCACCAUAUUGCAGACAUGUAAAGUCAGAGUUUAGAUGAAACGUCAAGUCAAAUGUAUAUAAUAGUAAAGACCAAAAGGUCUGGAAGUAAUCCCACAGAUGAAAAUGUUCCAGAAUAGACAACAGUCAGCGAUUACAAAUCCCAACUCCUAGGCAACUAGUGACUGUUUGAACCAAAUGAUGCAGCCAAUUGAUGGAUCUAUUCACAAGGCUUCAUGUCAGAUGCAACAUUUUGUUUCUCCAACACUAAAUGCAGUGUAAAUUAUAUUACAAUACGGCACAGAAUUGUUUAAAUUAGAGUACAAAGUAAAGGGAUUUAUGCUGCCUUCAGAAAAGAAAAAGGUAUCAAGAAACUGAAUUGGAGGUACUUUUCAACAAGAAUAAGCAUAGCAAAGCCUCUAUGAAAUUUGGUAGGAAACAAAUGAACAUACAACACAUACUCCUUGCUGUUUUCUAAGCAUUUACAUGCAUAUUUCUUUCUGUUCUCUAGCUUUUCUGGAGGGCACCUAUUUCCAGACAAAAGAUGCAUAUUUCUGAGGAAAGGCAUUCAAAAUGAGAGUAAAUUCAAGCAAUAUGUACAAAAGGGGGAAAAAGAACUAUUUUUCAUUUCAAUCCAAGUUCAGAAAUGAACUGAACUUUCACCAGAAGAUGAUAAUUCUUUGCUUGCUAAGCUAUUCCUUGAGUUGAUGGACUGAAGUGCUUUCAGGACUUCAGACAUACGUGGCCGUUUCUCUGGCACCACAUUGGUGCAUUGCACAGCAAUCUCCAGGACUGCCAGCAUUGCUUGUUGGCAGUUUUGUGAAAUCUUUGGGUCAAGAAGUUGAACUGCCCCAUUUUUUAAGUUGAUCUUUCUUCUUACCCAUUUCACAACAUUGAGGGAGUCCAUAGCUGCUGGUUGCUCUGCUUGACGGCCAGUAACAAGCUCUAAGAGGAUGACACCAAAGCUGUAUGCAUCCGACUGUUCUGUAGCUUUUUUCGUAUGACCAUAUUCUGCAAAUAAAAAUAGAUACAAACGAGAAAAUUGAAUGGUUAACUUGUCUAUUUAUGUUUUGAAGUACCAACUAACAAUAGAUAAAGAACAACAACAAUUGUUAUUAAAACUAGCAGAAAUUUUCGAAGUUAAUUGAGAAGAAACUACAUUUAUGCGACUAGAGAGUGAAGUUACUAUGAUUCCAAAUAUUAACUAGAGAUGUGCACUGACUAGCUUGUCAGUGGUGCACUAUAUCGAAGAACUCGAAUGAUUAAGGUUGCAGAAAGCUGAAAAUUUGCUGAAGCUACUUAAUCAAGAACUGAUCAGAUACUUGUCGUCCUAUAUAAUUCUUCACUGGUAAGGUAGUAUUUCAGUUCAUAGAACAGACUACAUGGCAUUCAUCUAACAACUGGAAUUUAGAAAUCACCUCUAUGUUAGAUGUACCCGAGGGACAAACACUAGUAAAUCAUCAAGACAAGAUUUUUCCAGGAACUUUUGUUCAAGUCACAUGCUUGAUAGCAUGCCAGACACAACUUGCACCGUAUAGAAAUGAAUCACAUCAGCUGCAAACUCAAGUUCCUCAAACAGCAUUUACAAGACAAUUAACGCAAGUAGCACAAUCAGAACAAAUGGAUCAUAGUAAAGAGUUCUAGACCAUUUCAGUACCUGGUGGAAUGUAACAAGACUUCUCAGAUCCCGAUGCCAGGGAUAGCUGAUAUGCAGUUUCACCAACAAUUCUAUCCAGAGCAAAAUCUGUAAGCUUUGGUUCAAAAUCAGCAUCAAGAAGAAUAUUUCUUGACUUAAUGUUCCUAUGAAGCAAACGUGGAAGAUAAUCCUGGUGAAGAUAAGCCAAUCCUUGAGCAACUCCAAUAGCUAUCCUCAACCUAAUGGUCCAAGGUAGCUGAGAGUCGGGUUUUCUGAUUACAUCACCAAGACUCCCUCUUGAUAUAUUCUCAUAAAUCAACAAGAGGGAAUCAUCAUUGUGGCAGAAGCCUAGAAUUUUAACAAUAUUUCGGUGCCUAAUCUUGGCCAAGGUUUUAACCUCUGUCUUCAAAGCUUUGAAAGAUUGACUUCUGAAAUUCUCCAAUCUCUUUACAGCAACGCUCUCUCCAUUCGGUAAGUUUACGAUAUAGACUUGUCCAAAAGCUCCACCAUCUCCUCUAGCAGCCUUUUCAUCCAUAGCCAUUAUCAAAUCAUGCUCAUUAAUUCUCAUAGGAUAAAAGAAAACCGACUUCCAAGCAUCCAUUUGAGAUUUUUGCUUGUGGGAUUGUCUCAAUACGUAGACUCCAAAAGCAACAAUGGCUACCACAAAAACCAAAGCUAUUGAGCUCAGUGCACCAGUUAAUUUUGAAAGAUUAGCUGUUCUGUGCCUAGACUGGUCAUCCGAACAAGUAUUUGGCAAUCCUGGACCACAUAGAUCAGGAUUUCCUUGCAAAAAGGAAGCAGGAAGGCCAGAAAUCAGUGACAAUGGAACUCUACCAGACAGCCUAUUAAAGGACACAUUGAAGAGAGCAAGCUUCAAGUUCUGAAGGCCUCCCGGAAUUGGACCAGAAAGGUUAUUGUGGGAAAGAUCCAGGUAAGUCAACACAGGCAAGUCUGCUAGUGAUUGUGGUAUUUCACCAAUAAGAUUGUUAUCAGCCAGAGAUAGUGAGACUAACUUCCUACACUUCUUAACUUCAGGAAAUCCCCCUGAAAGGUAAUUAUGGGAGAAAUUCAUGAUACUCAUCACAGGUGAAUCACAAAAGUUUGGAGGAAGCUCGCCAUAUAACUUAUUCUGGGAUGCAGAAAAUCUAUACAAGCUGCUUACCAGCCCAAGACCUUGAGGAACUUUACUUACAAAGCUAUUAUUAUCAACUUGAACUUGCUCCAGCAGAGUAGCUUUUGAUAUUGAAUCAGGUAUCUCUCCAGAAAAUCUAUUGUUCUCAGCUCUAAUGAGCUUCAAUUUGGGCAAAGACCAUAACCAAGAAGGAAAAUUCCCAGUAAACAUGUUGUUCUGAACCUGAAAUCUCUCAAGGCUGCUGCAUUCUUUAAUCAAGUCAUUGGGUAUUGAACCAUUAAAUGAAUUGGAAUAUAGACCUAGAUUUGCAAGAUCUUUAGCCUCACAUAUCCCAUUUGGAAAUGGCCCAAAAAGCUUAUUUUGUGAAACAUCAAAAGAAACCAAAUUUGGUAGAAACAUACCAAUUGGAGGCAAGCUGCCAGUCAGAUUAUUAACAGACAGGUCUAAAAUGGAUAAACUUUUUAAACCCUCGAAAAUAUUUGGGAUUUGACCAUAAAAGCCAGAGCUUUGUAGCAAAAGCAUCUCAAGCUUAUUAAGCUUACCGAUAUCGGCUGGCAUCUCACUCAGCAAGAAAGGAUUUUGAGAUAUAUCAAGAACCACAAGCUCACUGCAAUUUCCAAGAACCAUUGGAACACUACCUGUAAGUAAGUUUCCACCCAAGUUGAGAACUUGAAGGUUAUUAAGUAAGCCAAUGCCUUCUGGGAUUUUUCCUUCAAUGUGGUUUCUGCUGAAAUCAAGCACUUUCAGGAACUGGAACUGAGAAAUCUGUUCUGGGAUUGUGCCCCAGAUGAGAUUGUUACUGAUAUUCAAGGUUUCCAAAGAAGCACAUUGUGAGAGAUGCAAGGGGAUAGCUUGGUUGAAGAGAUUGUCAGCAAGGUUGAGGUUGGUGAGAUUAGGAAGCUGACAUAUAGAUGGUGAGAUUUCACCGGAGAGAUUCAUGCUCUGGAGGUCAAUGAAGUAGACAUUCUGAGGAAAUGUAUUUGUGCAAGUGACUCCAGUCCAGUUACAAUGAUGAAUGGCUGUGGUGUUGGACCAACUAGAAAGAGUGUUCGAAACAUCUUCAAUUGAGUCCUUGAAUGAAAGAAGAAUAUCUGCUUCAGAUGAAGCAGAGGCCAAGAGGAAGAAUGAGAAUGAAAAAGAGAGGAGAACAAAACACCUGCUGAAGAUAGCCAUUGGAAACAGAAUGAAAGAUUGGCUAAAGUGUAUGCUAUCAGAAAGUUUCUCUCUACAAUCAGUGAAGUACCGAAGUGUAAGUAGUGAAGGGAGGAUGAGAGUCUGUGACUGAGGGAAGUGCAAUCUGUACUCAUUUGUCAAAAUGACAGUGAAAGGUAACCUUGGCUUUGUCUUUCCUUGUCAAACGAAAACCUCAUGAAUUUUGACUCUUGUAGAUGGCAUCUAUGGAAAGUAAAGCCAAGAAGUCAAUGAUGGUUAAACUUUUGAUUUUUAGGCCACAAAAAAAAAUAUUUUUUUUCUUUUAAUGUUUGCUUUGGCAUUUUCUUUUUCUAGUCUAACUCUAACAUAAUGCAUUGCGUAAUGAUUGUACCGUUUUUUCAAAGUUUGGGAAGUUAUAUACAAUGGAUCAAUAUAAUAAUGAUAAUCAGGUAUUGUAUUCUUUUUUAUUUUAAAAAAAAAAAAAGAUAAUUAGGUAUUGCGUAUUCAUCUCGUUUGUUAAUUUCUUACAGUGUAUUAAAAUCGUGUUUACUUACUUAACUUACCUCAUAAUCUGUGGUUUACGACAAUAUGAAUUUGAAAUCAAUUCCAUUUUAUCUUUAUUAUUUUCUAAACUUAUUAGAUAAAGUGAUUUUUUUUAAAAUUUUGAUGUGUCUAUCACCUGAAGUUACUCAUUUACACGAUACCAUCUUCCAGAUUCAACUCUUUGGUUAAAACAUCACUUCUGAGUUGAGUUCUGAGGGGCCUCUCUGUGGUUUUUUCUUGGCUUCGGCAGGAGCCUUCACUUCGAUGGGAAUCCAAGAAAACUCAACCGGAUCAGUUCAGUAGUUAGUUUGUGUAUUUAAUUAUUCAAUUAUUUAAGAAAAAGUAAAUACCCCUUUGGAUUGCAAUUUUUUUAAUAUUUUUUAUAUAAAAAAAAUAUACUAUAAUAAUGUGAUGUAUAUAAAGUAAAAUAAUAAUUUUUGAAUGUGUCUAGAGAACAUUUAAAAAAAAAAAUUUGUUCACGAAAACUCACAAUCCAAAUGGAUUUAUCUGGUUAUUACCUAUUGAAUCAAUAGUCAAUACUACUAUACUACUACUAAUGCCAAACAACUAAAAAAUUGGUCUACUAAUAAGUCUUCAAACCAAUUUCAAGCUUUCUAAUUUACCUCCUGCAAAAGUUUUUCUUUUUCUUUUUUUUUUUGGUUUGUUGUUUAGCUUACAACAAAUAAAAAUUCAAUCUCUGUAUGUGUUUUAAACUGUCUCUCUGAAACUAAAUACCAAAUGCCUCACAAAUUUGGUACUCAAAAAUAAUAUCAAUUGUCCAUGCUUUUGAAUAAUAUAAUGUUGAAAAGAAGUAAUUGUCUAGUACACUUAACUAUUACAAAAGAAAUGUUUAAAUUAAUAUUUAUUCUUUCUUUUAUGUAAAUUCAGUAAAUUUGGAAACUCUAAAAAUUGGAAUUGCUAGAAAACAAAGAACGUUUCACAAACACGUUAAGGUGAAAUAAUCAAUGGAUCAUAUUGGAUUGCCAUUUUUCUAAAAAAAAAAAAUUUACGCUUUCUAUGAAAAUAUUUCUCAAUCAUUUUUUAAUCUCACACACGCCACUUUUUAUCUUACACACAUCAAAUGGCUACAAUAUUUUUUUAUAUAAAUUUCAGAAAACAAUAAUCCAAACGGGCUCUAAUAAUAAAUUUGAUUAUCUGAUUUCUCACUUAAAACUGAAAAUGCCUAUGGGAUAAAAAGUGGCUGGCAAAUUGGUAUAACCGUACGAGUACUGCAAAAAAAAAAAAAAAAACACAAAUUUACCAGAAGGGUAAAAGGACCCAAGUUGAUUGGCGGUGGCAUGGGGCUGUGCUUUGAAACCCGUGACUCGGUUAUUAUGGUUGGGUUCCGAGUUCUGAUCAGAGCAGACCGAGAAGACGACAGAAUUAAACCACCCCCAUGAAUGCUUCCAUUAAAGGACCUUUGUAUGCUUUCUACCUUCUCUUUUUUUUUUUAAAUCAAGGACCCUUGUAUAAUUGUAUCCUACUACUGCAUGUUUCACUCAUUACACACAUCGAGCAUGAAGUUUCUCAUAAUUAUGAACACCCUCAUUAUUUUACUCGUUUCUACAUAAAAACUCUCAUGGAAAAAUGCAUUAGUAAUUAUAAGUUACACCCUACAUGUAAAUGUCAUAGAAUUGGAUACUAUAGAGAUUUAAAAUUAGAACAAAAUAGUUAAAAGCAAUUUCAAGAAUCUAUGAAUAAGUUUAAGCUAUUGUACUUAGGAGGAGGUAUGAGUUGGAUAGUACGAAAGAACAGAAUGUAAGCGAGAGAUUUUGAAUUCGUAAUUUUUCACUUGAACUGAAAAAAUGGUAUUGUAAUUAAUUGCAUGAAUCGAUAAGACAUCAUUAUCAUAAAAUAAUAAAUCUCAAAGAAUAUCAGACUUUAACUAAUGUUACCAUGUCUAAAUCUUGUGCUAGUAUCCUUUGGAUACGGUAAUUGAAGGCAUUAACUAUACUCAGUAAACAACAAAUUAGAGAAGUAGGUUACAUUGCAAUUCUUGAAAGAGUGAUGUUCUUCCUCCCAAAUUGGAAAAAAAAAAAAAAAAAAAAAAAGCGUUCCAUUUAGUUUUAUGAAGACAUGUUCCUAUUCAUGACUUUUGCAAAUUGGUUGAGAUGGGGCCAUCACCAUGCAUGGGUAAAUUGCAACUUGCUUGCUGGCAUCAAAGGUUAGAAUUGAAGAAGGAUGGGACAUCAAAUUCAUGAGAUCGAAGAAAAAUGCAGUGAAUUUCAGGUUCUCUUGCUGGCAUGCCAUGAUGGCGUUAGAUCCGCAUGUCGUAGGGAAGAGAGAAAGCCUAUUCAAUUAAUCCAUGGUGUCUUGAUUACCAUGCACGUGCUUGUUCAAAGGGGUUAGUACUAACUUCUAUGAUUAUUAAUCAUUCUACUCAUUUGAAUUUCCACACCAAAAUCCUCCCCAACCCUAAAUUACUUGCUGCUUUUCUUUUUGCUUUUCACUAAUGAAAAUCUUGCUCCAAUCUUCGAUAUAAAGCUUCUUUUGAGUCUGAAGUUUGUAUUUCAUAGCCUCUCAAUGGUGUUUGAAUUGUAAUUUUUUAGAGUUUCAGUAGAAAAUAAAUAUUCUGUAUCAAUUCAAAAUAUGUGAAAUAAUAAAGAUAUAACUAAAAAAUAUGAUCAUGAAAAAUGUAAAAAAUUCUCUUUGAAAAUUUACAAUCCAAACAAGUUACUAGAAACAAGCAGUAUGCCUCUUCUAAUUCCAACUACACUUACUCACAGGAUAAGCAUUUUUAUGCUUUCCCCUCCUUUUUCUCACGGAGGGUGGGACGUCAAAAAAGGGAGAAAGAAAGCAUAAUGAAGAUGUUGAGAGGAACUCUCAUUCUAAAACAAGAAACAAACACCCCUAAGUCCUAUUCACUGGCAUGUGUGAUCCUCAGUAAUGUUAUCUAGUUUUUCUGCAAAGACCGCAGGGUUUAUUUGACAAAUAAGUUUUUUGCAAAGUUUGUCUGCUACAAGUUUAUUAACAAUUUUAACUACAAUAAUCUUUAAAAACUUUUCAAAAUUUUUGAAGUGUUUAAACUAUACAUUUCAAAAAAAAUUUCUAUAAUUUUUACAGUAAGUUAUAGUAAAAUUUUAGAUAAACAUCAAAAAACUCAUUUACCCCAAACGGGCCUGCAUUGCUUCAAGAAGAGUCAGGUCUGGCUUAAACUUCUCCGGGUCUGUCAAAAGAAUUUACCUCUGGAAAGCAGAAAAAUUCCACCAAAUUUCACACUUUCUCUAGAUGAACUGGCAGAAUUGAAAAAGUUCUCAUGCCUUUUUCACUGCAAAAGCAGCAAUCUUACCUGGUCCUGGAGGAUGGCUCGACGGAUAUUGGAAAGGAAUCUACACAACAAGAAAGACAAUAAUGUCUACGUGGGUUAAAAAACAAGUUGACUUUUUAUUCUGGAAUAUCAACUUUUAACCUCUGCUGCAAAGAUCUAAGACAACAUUUCAUGUCACGUCACAUCAGUAAAUGUUCCUUUCUACGAGAGAUUCUUCGUUCUCAGAUUACAGAAAAGAUGAUCACGUGAGCUCCUGCGUUGAUAAAUGCUUUAUUUCGUCAUUUUCUGCAGGUACUUGAAAAUACAUAAUAAUUUUACUGCUAAAGAAAAAGGAUUUUUAUUAAAGGCAAAAUCAUUUUUUUCAUAUUUCAUCAAAUAAAUUUUUUCGACCUUCACUUUUAAAUUUUUAAUUUUACUUCCCUCGCAAAUUUAAGUUAGUAAAAUUUGAUCACAAUAUUUUCGACCACUUUUUAGUCUGAAAUUAUUACAUGACCCAUAUGCAGCUAUAUUUUAUGUAUAAAAAGGUCAGAUUCUACAUAUUUUAGUGAUAAAAUUAAAUAUAAAUUUGGCCCAAUCCCACGUUUUUAGAAAAAAAAAUGAAUAUGAUUCACAUCGACUCUUAUUUUUUUUAAGAACAAAAAUGAAUAUAGAUCAAAUCAUUUGUUUAAUAACAGAUAGGAUCUAACUUCUUCCUCCCUAAAAAUAAUGAUCAUCUAUAUAUCACGUGCUAGAUUCGAGGUAAAAAAUGGUCAAAAACUAGGUUUGGACUAAAUUUUAUUGAUUUGAUUUUGUAAAAAACGUAAAUUUACUAUUUUAUAAGCGAAGAACGAAAAAAUUCAUUUGGUGAAAUGUGAUGUACGUUUUGAACAAUUUAGUAAAUAAAGAUGGCAACAAAAGAAUCCCCCUCCCCAACUUCACACAACUCCCCGACUCCACCCCUAUUCCUUCUACCCUCGUCUUGCUCUGUUCUCGCCAUGAAUAUCCAUUUUAUUUUAUAUUUUUCAAAUGGUGAUGUAAUUGAGCCCAAAAAUAGCAUGUUUAGUGAUGUGUUUAAACCUAACAAAUCAAUAUUAAAAUAUUAAUUAGAAACUCCUCUAAACUACAAAAUUAGUUGUGACACUACUACAUUAAUAGCUAAUUUGGGAGUUUAGAAAAGAAAAGAAGAGAAAGGGUAAAUUAAAAAAGAAAAGAAAGGAUGGGAAAGAUCCAAGUUUCUAUCUAAAUUGUUUGGGAGUUUUAAGAAAGAAAAGAAGGUAAAUAGUUUUUUUUUUAUUUUGGUUUGGGAGUUGAGUACAAAUGAAAUGAAAAAAUAUUCAAACAAGUUACUUUACAAAUAUGCCUUUUCUAUAAAGUGAAAGGAAGUAUUUUAGUGAGGGUUUUGUAAUGGGGGGACUUAUCGAGAAUUAAAAUUUUUGUAUCAGGAUUCUAAGGAUAGUUUUAUCAUAUUUGAAAAUUCACUUAAGACUGCCACAUUUCCCUUCCCUUUCUAACCAAUUUUGGCCGGCAAGUUUUCCUUUACAUGGAGUGAGAUGAAAUCUUUCCAAAUCUUUUCUUUUCCUUCACAUAUUUGCUUCCAAACAAUGAAAAAACUUUAUUAUCCUUUCCAAAUCUUUUUUUACUUUUUAUUUUCUUCCUCCCAAACUAGCUAUAAAGCUUUAUCUCGAAUUUGACAGCAGCAGAUCAUAGCACAACUUUCAAACCUGUCUUUUCACAUACCACAAUUUACUGUUAAACGUCAAUAAACAAGCAAAGCGCACCGCUUACCUAAAACUAUAAGCAUAAAUAAUUAUAUACAAAAGAGGAAACUUUCCAGAUAGCUCCUAAACUAUUGUGUUUUGUACGAUUUUUGCCUCUCAACUAUAAAUUGUCACAAAUAAACCCUUAAAUUUUAAAAAUGCUCAGUUUAAAGACUUUCGUUAAUUUUGACCGUUAAAGGUGAUAGAAUUAGGGCCAAAACCGACCAAACAAAAAAAAACUAACCCACAAAAACAGUUCAAAAGGUCUCGUUGACUAAUUAUUUGAUCAAAUUAAGUUAGAGAAGGUAGAAAAUGAAAGAAGAGAAAGAAAUAUUGAACUUCAUAUUAUUAGUUGACUUAACAUAGUUUAUUUUUAAUUAAAUCGUGGGUUAGUUUUUUUGUUUGAAUGGUUUUACCCCUAAUUCCGUUAUAUUUAGUGUCCAAAAUUGACAGAAGUCCUUAAAUUAAGCAUUUUUUGUUUAAGGGCUUAUUUGCAACAAUUUACAGCUGAGGGGCCAAAAUCCUUCAAAGCAAAUAAUUUAGGGGCCUAUCAGAAAGUUUCCUUUACACAAAAUCGAUUAUGAUUGCAGCUGUGGAGAUUUACUGAAGAGUUUAUUUUUAAUUAAGACUAAUUUAUAAUUAUUAUUUUAACCUAUAUAAUAUUUAUUUAUAUUUGUCAAGUGAUGUCUCCCCCUUACUCCUUCCACGGGGUGGGCACCCAUCUCCCCGUUGCCAUCUCUAAUGUUCACCUCAAUUGACUAAGCAACAAUAGCUGUAUAACACUUGAUCUAAUAGAGACAUGUAUGACACAUAUAUAGCUGUAUUACACUUCAGAUAAAAGAGUUAGCAAUAUAAUUGAGACAACAAAACAAACAAGAGCUUUGCAGUCAAACCGUCCAAACAAGGCCUUAAACUUCAGAUAAAAGAGUUAGCAAUAUAAUUGAGACAACAAAACAAACAAGAGCUUUGCAGUCAAACCGUCCAAACAAGGCCUUAAAGUUUCUGCCGUCCAAUUCUUUAGCUUUUCUGCCGUCCAGAACCCCUAUUAAGACCAAAUGAUUUCUCGUUUACGAAGGUGUUUCGGCAUUAUCUCGUAGCUAUGGUCAUAUUAGUCAGCAGCAAUUGGUGAAUCCUCUGACCUGACAAUGAACAGGACAAUUUUGUACAUUGGAGUCGUGAAAUGGAAUGCGAUGGGAAUGCUUUGCCAUUAGUUUAACCUCCUUGUUGGAUAGAUUUGAGCAUCUUUCAGUAGUACGAUGAUGCUAUAAAGCAGAUAAAUCAAGGAGUCCAACCCAUCAAACUUCGUGUUCAAACCUCAAAAAACCUCCGCUUUUCUGGGCAGCCCGAUAUCAGAAUUAUUCAUGUACAUUUACAUUAGAAAACGAACGCGUUUCUUUAUCUCGAGGAGAAAAAUAAGCAGGCAUAAAAGAACCAAACACUAUACCAGUUCCACUCUGUUCCACCAAGCUGCAACAAAUUGCCUGGAAACAUUUGGUAUCUCCCCAGAAAAUCAAAGAGCUCUCCUCUUUACCAAGUAGUAAAAAAUGCUACAAGUUUCAGUAAUCACACACACAACAAAAAGUGAUAACAUCCCAAGUUUCAGUGAUCACAAUAAAAAGUGCACAAGUUUCAGAUCUAAAAGUGAUAACAUCUGCAAUCUACUUACAUACACAAAAUACUCCACAACUCACCCGAUAGAAACUCUCACAAAAAUACAGUAAAUGUCACAUAGAAACAUCCAGUUGGGCAAGCCUAAGAACGGUGCUGCGAAAAAGUCCAAGAAUUUCAAAUAUAGCAAGCAGCCACAAUGCGAUAUAAAUUCAGACUUUCAGCCAAUUACCAAGGCAGGAACUAGCAGCUUUAGAAGUUAUGACAAAGAAAUACUAGCUUCUGAAAAAAUGUAAUCCAAGUUAGAUGGAACAGAUAAUCCAUUGCACAUAUUUCUUCUAUCCAUCUCACAAGAAGCGAUAAAGAAAGACUAGCUUCUGACAAAACGUAAUCCAAGUUAGAUGCAAUAGAGAAUCCAUUCCAAACAUCAUCUCCUGUAUCCAUCUCAGAAGAAACAAAAAAAUGAAAACGAGGUAAGUAAAGGUUGCUGAGACAUAGAAAAUGGUUAUCCAAAAAGCUCGAUCAUUCUUCCUUUUAUAGCAAGGACAAACAUCUAUACACAUCUAGUAUUAUGUCUGGGAUUAACUCAUCCCAAUACAUAGAAACAUACAGCAGAUGAAUAGUUUCUUUUUUCAAUUUUCCCUCCUUAUCUCUUAGAAAUACCCACCCCCGCCCCCCACCAAAAAAAAAAAAAAAAAAAGUUUUCUCGAGCCAUGACGCAGUUGCUUUACGAUGACACAAAUGGAAAAUAACCAGGAGGACAAAUGCACAUUGCACAAAGACAUCACCAAGCCAGCACAAAGAACUAAGAUACUGAAGCAACCCAAGCAAUCGUAGCCAGUUGUAGAGGACUUCCAAAGUUCACCAGACAGCAAAGAUGUCCAAAUCCUUAUGCCUUACACGUUGAGCAUUGCUACAGCAGACACAAUCAGACAAGUGGUCAACUUAUAACAAAUAGCAAAUUCAUUGAGAAAAAGCUGCAUACUUUAUAAUACUUCAGCCCUGGCUUCUAGAUCUUAUCAAGCUUUUCUGCUUUGACAACAGGAUUAGCUUUAGCUAUUGCAUCCUGAGCAGCAGCGCGAUAGUCAAAUGGACACUCAUGCUUAUCAGAAUAACGAUGCACGGCACAGAAAAGAUUUCCACAUCUGCAGUUAAAACCAGUUAAACCCACACGUUUGCGGCAAGUGCUGCACCUGUUUGGGCCCUCUUUUACCUUCGCUUCUGAGCCCUGCCCCACUAAAAUCUCAGGGGAUGCCUGAGUCGAAACAACUUCAAAGUCCGCUGACACAGCUUGUACAGCCAAAGCGCCAGUAACAACAGGCUCUUUCUCUUUACUACUUGAACUGCCAUUGACGAUGUUCUCAAUCGAUGAAGCAGCAAGUUUGGCUUGAUCCUGCUUCAAGAUCAUCUCCUUGUGGCACUUUGAACACAUGUUCAUGGUUGCUGCACUACCAAAAAACCCACAAUUGUUAAUGCAAAGAAUUGGACCUUCCGGAGCUUGGCAGCCUGUCUCUUCUGAAGACUCCAUUAGACAAAUAUCCUGCCAAUUAAGGAUGAACAGAAAACUAAGUUAACCAACUAACUGAAGUACAAGAUAACCUAGAAAACUUCAGAGCCAUUUUGCUGAUAAACAAAUACCUUCAUAUCUGAAAACUAAAUUCGGCAAUGCAGUAACUAGUUACUUUUUUUAAUAUGUAACCACAUAUGAUGUUAAGAAUCUCUAACAAAUUGUUGACAACUUAUCAUGAAUGAAGCCUAUUUAACUCAGCAAAACUCAACAUACCUCUAUAGUAUGUAAGCAAAAGCAUACCAAGUUGUUGGCUUCAAGUUCAACUGAACAAGAGAAAAAUCCUAGCAUCGUGCAGGAACGUGGCACAGAAUCAUCAUAACAUAAUUUAUAGUCAGGGGGAAGAAAAAGUUAGACAUAGCAUACCACUAGAGGUCAGACAUGAGAAUAGCAUGGUAACAGAGAAGCUGCCAUUCAUCUCCUACAGCAGUACCCAAUUUUCCAUGCAUUCUUGUAGUUCAAUCUAAUAGCAAAAUCCAGGGAAUGUGGAAAAAUAUCAAAGCAUUGGCACUUUCUCACGUUACGUGACCCCCAAAACAAGGUUUGUUAAGUGGCUGUUUAAAUUUCAACUAAGUUGCCUUUUAUAGCAAUAUUGUAUUCCAGCGUUUCAUGAACUGCCAACAUUACACUAAAGGAUGGUAAACAACAAAAACAUAUAGUGAUCUUCAAAAAAAGGGAAAAAGAAUGAAGUUAGAAAGCUACAAGCUAAAAAGUGCAAUAGUAAUUUACAGAAUUCUUUCUAACAGAAAUUGCAAGUUUACUGAAAUUCAAUUAGAAUGAAAUGGAAGAGCAAAAUGCAAAACUGCUAUUCUAUCUACUUGCACUCUUUUGUUUCCUCCUGAUAGAAAUCCAUUCAUGAGCUCAUCUGAAUUAUGAAAAAGAUCAUCAGAGUAGACUUGGUAUGAUGCAAGAGAACCAUUAAGAUAUCGACACUAACACAGUCAUCCACAAGUCAAAACCCAAAAACUGAGAUAAUAACUUAUCUAGAUGAAUAAAUUCCACCAAAAUUUGUUGGUAAAUAUCGUACAAGCAUACCAACAGCUGGAAACAGCUAGCCAAACACAUACGGAAGGCAGAGUUAACAUAUUAUUAUCGGUAGCAUCAUUUAAAAUCUCCAAACAUACAAAUUUUUCAAAAAAUUAUCAUGUAAAACACUCAACUAGGCAGAACUUCUAGAAGAUAACAGACAAUCAAAUUAAAUUGCACUAGCAAUAAUACAAAAUAUGUACUAACCAAACAAGUCCGUAUCCUUAAAGAAAAGAAUUUAAAAAAAAAAUAAAUAAACAAAAACUCCUUCUUACUGCCCAUAUUAGCGUAAAUCAGAUGGGAUUCACAACAAAAAUUCCAAAAGACCAAAACUUUUCACCAUCUAGAAAUAGUGGAACCCCUUCCCACUAAUUCUCAAAAAAAGAAAAAACAAAAAUACAACAAAACCCACCAAAAGUAUUCAUUGCUCAGACAAUCACAAAAACCCCUAAGCAAAAAUGGGGGUGAAACCUUUCUUUUUAAAAAAACAAAAAUUCUACAAUUCCUGCAUCGAUUAAGGGAUAAAUUAAAUUUAUAACUAAUCAGAAACCGAUGAAAGAAAAAGAGAGAGAAAAAAAUCCUUACGUAUUGAUGAAAUUGAAGGAGGUUUGGCCGAUCUUGACGUGCAAAAUCGAACCAGAUGCUAAUUCUGGAACCCUUCAGGGUAAAAAUAUAUAAAAAGGAAUAAAUAUACUAAAAUUCAAAAAGGAAUUCCGAAGAGAAGAGUAAAUAAAUAGAUGAGAAACAAGAAGGAGAAUACGAAGACUGCAAAUAUAUUAAUAAUAGUAUUAAAUACCUUAAUAUGUACAGUUUCAAUUAAACUGAAGCUAUAAUAAUCAGCAAGGUGAAGCCGCGGAAAGAGAGAAUGUGGAGAGCUAGGGAGGAAACGGCUGGUGUGAAUUGGAUUGAUAAUUGCAAAAAUUGGGCUAGGACUUUAGAUAUUUUGAACCAUUUUUGUUUUUUCACUAUCUUGCUUUUUGGGAAAUUUUGGGAGAAGGGCGGAUGUUAAUUUUUUUAGGUUUUUUUUUUUAAGUUAAUUUUUUAGAUUCAUCUUUCGUACCUUGAUAUUAUUACACUAUGGAUUCUGGUAAAAAAAAAAAAAAAAAAAAAAAAAAAAAAGAUAUGAAUUAUUACACUACGGAUGGAAUGUAGACGUAUGUCACUUAAAUAUUAAUUUAAUCUCAAUUUAAAUUUUUAAAUUUAUGCUGAUAUGAUGCGUAUCCGUUCUGUUUAGAAAAGAUUAAUUUUAAUUUUUUUAAUUGUUACAAUUCGUGAAUAAGUAAUAAAUAUGUUAAAAUGCCCUUUCUUUUUUUGUUUCUUUUGAAAAAAUAAUUAUGUAGCAUUCCUUUCAAAUCAUCUGCAGAUUGAGGAAAAUUAUCCCACAAUCAAACACACGAAUAAAAAUAGAGCUUUUUCGGCCUCGCAACGUGUUUGAACAUUAGCGCAUCAUUUGUUGUGUUGUAUUAGUGCCUCAUUAAGGAUUCUGUGGUAAUUUUUUGCAUUUUAAUGAAGAUUAAACUCUAGGGAUUUUACUCAUCUUUUUCAAAUAUUAUAUCUUCAAGUUAAAUCCAGCAUUAGAUGGUGAAAUAAAUUGUAGAGCACUGCACUAAUUGAGUAAAAAUGGUUAGAAUUUGAGCUUAUUGAGUUCUUCAAAGUUGAACUCGAACUAGAGGUCCAACUUAUCUUAUCUUACAUGAAUGCGACCAAAUCAAACUUAAUCGAGUUAAUCAAGAUUUCAAGCUCGAUUGUUUAGUAAAUUUCAUAAUUUUAUAAUAAAUAUUUAAAAAUUAUCUUAGCAUAUCUUGACAAGUAUUCGAGUUUUGAUUUUUUUCUAUUUGAACUUGAUUCGAUAACCUUAUCAAGUAGCUCGAACUCAGUCAAUGUUGAGUUCGAGUCGAAUUUUUGAUCGAGUUACUUGCAAGCCUGAGUCGAGUGGCUUGAUUUAGACACGAUCACAGUUCCAAAACUGUCGGUUCUGAUUUAAAACCGACAAUCCCGGUUCUUUUGAAAGUUGAAACCAAAAUUGGCCAUUAUAGGGACAAUUAUGGUCACAAAUAGUGUGUUUGGAUUGUAAGUUAUUUGAAAUAUUUUUACUGUAGCACUUUUGUGAUGUGAUAUAUGUGAGAUAAAAAAGUAAUUGGGAAGAUAAAAAGGUGUAUUGGAAAUUGUAAUGGUGAUGUCAGCAAAUAUAUUUGGCCAAAUAAUUGGCUAUAUCUCUGGUUCCUGUUACAAUUCCGGCUCUUUAAGUCGUGUUCAAACACUUGUUAUAAAUUUGAUUCUAAGAAAAUAUGAAAAUGAAUGUUAAAAAAGAAAGAAAGAAAGAACUUUAUUAUAUUAUCGUGUGCAAGGAAAAAAAAAAAGAAUGAAGCAAAUUUUAUGAAAAAAAAUCUCAUUAUUGAUUAGAUUAGAUUCAUCUUGGAUUUAGAUUAGUCACAAGGUAUAAACUUACUAAUGGAAUAAAACAAUGGGUUGUUGAGUUAGGAUUGGAGUUAUUGGUAUUAAAUGCUGACUAUUGAUAUUGAACUUUAAACAAGUCAAAUAUGUUUAGGUAGCAAAUUUUUUUUAAACGGUUUGAAUAGGUCGUAAACCGUCAGUUUCGAUUAUGGUUCAGAAUUUCGAUGAACUUGAACUUGAACCUGAACCUUUAUUCAUGAUUAUGGUUCCAGUUCCAAUUUCCAAAAUCUGAUUCCGAUUUCAAUUCAACAAUCUGCCAGACCGAUUCCAAUCCGUUUUUCGAUUUAAACCUGAACCAUAGGCACCCUUAACUUGAUUAAUUUACACCUCUAUUGUUGAACAUUAGAUUAUAACAAUUUCAAAGAAUUAAAUUUUGAAUAAUUAUCCUCAUUAAGAUACAAUUUUGAGGAAAUGAUACCUAAAACGACAUAAAAAUUUGCUAAACUCCAUCAUUCCCUAUUCCCACCUUAUGCAAUAGUGGUGCAUAAUUAUAUAUUUUUCCACUGAGGAGGUUUUUGUCUUAUAGUUGAAGUUGAGACUUCAAGAUAUAGAAGUUCUGGGUUUAAAUCCUCUCUCUCUCUUUCUACUUCUUCAAUCUCACCCUUCCAUACUAAUUUUUUUUUUUUUAAAAAAAAAAGAUUGUAUCGUUCCUUUGCCCUUUAGCCACAUUUUUCUUAUCUCCUUUUUUUUCACUUAAAGCAAGCUAGAGAGGACUAACUAAUGCAUCCAACUUGAUUCAUCCUUCCACCCUAACUGUUUUAGUGUGUAAGCAUGAUUGUGAAAAAAUCGAUCCAUGACAAUGAAUUUGUUUUGACAUACCUGCUUAAUUUGGAAAGUACAAAUUUGUAAUCCUAGGCAUGGUUAAUUUAGGCCUGAAGUCAUGUCCACUUGACUGGGAAAAAUAAAAAUUGCAGUAGAACCUGUAAUAGUUCAAUUAGGUAAAACCAUCCCUUCUGUGGUAAUCAGUUCACUUAACAACCACAUUUGAAAUUGCAUUUGAUUAUAGGGUUUUUCUAACGAGCACUCGUUAAACACCUAAAAUCUAUUAACAACCUAAAAACAUUUCUAACUGCAUUUGAUCAUGAAGUUUUUUAAAGGAGCGUCCAUUCUCGUUAGUACACCUAAAAUUUAUUAGACUUAUUAUAUGUAUACACAUACCAACAAAUCUUUCUUGUAUUUAUACACUUCUCUAAUUAAUCUUACUUUUCCCAAAAUCUAAUACCUAAAGCACAUUUUAACGAGUAUCCAACGAAUACUUAUUUGGUAAACCCUUAACCAUGACAUCCUAUCUUACCUUUUUCCCUGUCCAGAGUCAUACCUCAUAGAAAGGACCCAAAAAAAGAAAAAAAAAAAAAGAGAUUGUGACAGCCUGUCCAAUUCUUGCAGCAGGAUUCCAAAUAGCCAAACUUUUUAAUAGUAUAACCCUUUCCCAAAAUUCUUUAAACUUUUUAAGUUUUUAUUUUUGAUAAAAUUGAGGGCAGAGAAUUCGAACAUAACACCUCAAUAUCAGGUCAAUCUCCUUGCCAAAUUGGCUAACCGUUUGAAUUGCAAUUUUUUGUUGUAAAAUUUUUAGUAGAAACUUCCAAUCCAAGAGACCAAAGCGUCUGGGGUCACAAUCACUAGUAAUCAUAAAUACUCGCGAAGAUCUUCGGGAAAUUUGUGAACAUUGACCGCGUAUAAAAUUACUUCUAAGAGAAGGAAAACUCCUGUCCUCCUAAACCCGCGCUUACCAGAGUCAUGUACACACGCACAUUUCCUCAUUGGAGGAGGAGCUUGCAGCCUUGAACGUUACAAUAAAGAAAGACUAGUAGGAUUUUCUAAACAAUAAUGGAGCAUUCUUGGGAACAUCUUCUCCUGUAUCAAUCUCAGAAGAAACACUUUGGGAAACCCCCAAAAAAAAUUUUAAAAAAAACACAUUGAAGAAAGUAAAUAACAGGUUGUAGAGAGCCACUAAAAAUGAUAACUCAAACGUGAUGGUUCUUAGGCUCAAAAAAAAAAAAAAAAGAAAAAAAAAGAAACGUGAUGGUUCUUCCUUGUAUAGCAGAGACAAACAUCUAUACACAUCUAGCAUUAUGUCUGGGUCUCCCAAUACGCAGGGACAUACAGCAGAUGAAUAUUUUUCCUUUUCAAUUUCCCUCUUUAUCUUUCUUAGCAUUCCCCACUUCUUGAAGAGCUCUUAAAGCAUGCUACAUUUGCAUUAAGAUGACAGAAAUGAAAAAGAACCAGAAGGACAAAUUAAACAUUGCACAAAGACAUCCACCAAGCCUGCACAAAGAACUAAGAUACUGGAGCAACCCAAGCAAUAGUAGCCAGUACAAAAGGAUGGACUUCCAAAGUUCACCAGAAUGCAAAGAUGCCCAAAUCCUUAUGCCUUACACCUUCAGCAAUGCUGCAGCAAACAUAAUAAGACCAGUGGUCAAUCUAUAACAAAAUGCAAAGACAUAGGACAAAAGAUGCGUACCUCACAAUGCUUCAGUUGGUAACUUUAGAUCUUAUCCAGCUUUUCUGCUUUGACAACAGGAUUUGCUCUGGCUAUUGCAUCCCGAGCAGCAUUGCGAUAGUCAAAUGGGCACUCAUGCUUAUCAGAAUAGCGAUGCACAGCACAGAAAAGAUUUCCACAUCUGCAGUUAAAACCAGUUAAACCCACACGUUUGUGGCAAGUGGUGCACCUGUUUGGCCCCUCUUUCACCUUCACCUCUGAGCCCAGCCCAGCUAAAACAUUAAUCGAUGCUUGAGUAGAAACUGCUUCCAAGUCCACUGGCAUAACCUGUAUAGGCAAAGCACCAGUAGCCACAGGCUCCUUCCCAUUGUUAGUUGAGCUGCCAUUGACAAUAUUCUCAAUUGAUGAAGCUGCAAGCUUGGCUUGCUCCUGCUUCAAGAUCAUCUCUUUGUGGCACUUAGAACACAUAUUCAUGGUCGCUGCACUACCAAAAAAUCCACAAUUGUUAAUGCAAAGAAUUGGCCCUUCUGGAGCUUGGCAGCCUGUCUCUUUUGAGGAUUCCAUGAGGUAAAUAUCCUGAGGAAGAACAAAAUAGGAAGUAAACCAAAUGAUUUGAGUAAAUGAGAACUUAAGGCAUACAUUUCUAGAAAACACAUAGCCAUAGCUCUAUACUGAUUAUUGAAUGUUGCAGUGCUCUAACUAGUUGCAUCUCUAGGCAAUUUUCAAAAACUGCAUUGCAAAUGAAGCCUACUGAAUUCACCAAAAUGCAGAAGUAUACUUGACAUACUAACUAACUCACCAAAGACAAAGGAUACAUAACACAGUAAAAUUGCUUAAUAUACUAAAUCGGCAAAGACCUCCGGAUAUGUAGGGCUUCAAGACAACUGAAACGUGUUCUACAUCUAAUAGACCAAGAGAAAAAUCUGAAGAUCUCCCAAGAACAUACACAGUCAUCUUAACAUUAUGCACAAGGAAAACAUAAAGAAAGCAUAUCUGUAUUAAGUAUCAGAGAAGUGACCAAAUUCAUCUCUUAAACUUAAGAAUUUGUACUACAGCAGUUCCCAACUAUGUUGCAGUUCAAUCUAAUCAGUACAAAAUUCAGGGAAGACAGCAAAAUAUGACAGCAUGCUCAAAUUACAUAGUCACAUAACAAGGUUUUUAUGCUGUUUUAAGUUUCAACUAUGUUUUCUCAUUUUACUACUUCAAUAAAGCAUAAACCCUUUUAUUACUUUUCCACUAAUGCCCUUACCCCCAUGUUGCUACUUUUGCAUAACAUGCCAUUAAUAUCCCAUUAUCUACCAAUUCGAGUCAGCUCCCCCUUAAACUUCCCCAUCACCUUUACUAAUUCUUUUUUUUUUUGGGCUUUUGUCAAAUUGCACAUUAUGCCUUUUUCACAAGUCAGACAAUUGAGUUCCAAAAUGGUGCUGGACUGGAAGCAUAUUUUUCUUCAAUUAUUCCAGACUCAUUUAAAAGUUUUAAUUGUCUUAGACUUGCUUUAGCUCAGUCUUCUAUCAGAUAGCUAGGCCUUCCUAGUUGUCUAGCUAUAUAUUCUGCAAAAAUAUUUGGGUUUCCCAAUUUUGUAAUUGCUGUUCUAUUUUUAAUUAUAUCUUCCAGCCUAAGAAUUAGGGCUUAAGUUAAAUUAGGACUUUGAAACAGGAAAGGAGUCUAUUAAAACUUGAUUCAGUUCUAUUUCAGUUUAGUUUUAGCUGAACAUUUUCAGAGGAUUUCAGAAAGUUUCGUCAACAUUUUUAAAUCUAUCAACAGCUAUUGCACCCAACCUCACCCCCUUCCCCACCCCCCCCAAAAAAAAAGGCUAAUUUUCACUGACAAUUUGGCAUAAUUCUUUUCCAAGAACAAAUCUUUCCAGACCAUCCUUCUACUGCACAACAUGUCACAAACCAACCAUCUUACACAAGGAUGAUAUACAACAAACUAACAAAUACUGAUAUUUGAAAGUUAAAAGAAAAGCAAUCUACAAAGCUCAAAAUUCCAAGAGUAGUCUAUAGAAUUUUUUCCGACAGAUACCGAACUUGGAGAAUGUGAGUAGACCAUUACGAUCCCGCUUUCUUGCACAUUGUGUGCCCACUUGACAGAAUUCCAUUCAUAAUCAGCUCAAUUAUGAGACGGAUUAUGACAAUAUAUUUUGUUAGAUACAAGUCAAGGCUACAAGAACAGAAAAGUUACCCAUCAACUAUCUAAUGAUCAAAACAGACAGCAAAGAUCAUGUGUCCACAAAACCACAACAUCCGCCAGAUACCCCCCACCAUCUUUUCCCCACAAGGCCAAAAAAGAGGGCAAUUUCAUGAAUAGCUCCUUCAAGGGCUUGCGAUAAAGGAUAAGAUGUUUGACCCAAUUGCCACAAACCCAUAUGGAUAAAAAAUCACAAUAGCAGCAAAGCUUGAAAAACAAUGUCAAGAAGACAAGGCUCCUCAUUUGAGUGUCCCAUCAUCAGUGAAGUGUAAGAUUUUUCUAAAUCUAUCUUGACCAUCAUGAAGACAAGCACAAGCAAAUGCAGAUGGCUCUUGGCAAGAGACAAGUGCCUCGUAGAAGAUAUAAUAUCAAUGAAAAGUUGGAGAGGAUUUUGUGAGAUCCUACAACAAAACUUGCUUUAGGCAGCUAGAGUUUGACCUGGUGUGUGUCAGAGACUGUUUAGGAAUGCUUUCUAAAGCUGGAGGUUGUUCAAUAUAAAGGGCAAAGAAUCUGCUGCCCAGGAGACAGACCAUUCUACAAUGUAUGGAUAGUGAACAAAAGCGCCUUUCAGGUAAAGUCACAGGAGAAAAGUCAUCCAAACAAUAUCCUUUCUAACAAGUUAUGUUGAACAAACAAGAAUUAUCCAUCAAAUCAUUCUUAGCUUUCAGAGAGGAUUUGCUUCACCACAGAUGGAUGCAAUACCUGCUAUAAACAGCAGGGAACCCAUCCGCGUCCUCAAUAAAAUUUGCCUUCUUUUCACCCCUCCUCCCAGGGGUGGUUGAGUUGUAAACUACCACCUCACGCAUCUAAUUGCAAGAAAAAUCUAAAGUGUUCUUGAUGAGGAGGCCCCUUAGAUUAGUGAGGUAUACCCCAUACAUGACCCCCUGCCCCUGCAUUUCAUGUCAUAUGAAUCUAUGAGGACUCCCUAGCUAUGAAUCUCCCUAUUAUGUGUAAUGCCACUUCAACACUAACACCAAUUAUCCUCAAGUCAAGAUCGAGUGCGAGAUCAUAAAUCAAGAAGGCCACCAUAGAAGCCUAAAGGUUACUUAAUUGAAUACUUUGAUGAUUGAAAACCCAACAGAAUUUAGACUGAAUAUUGUCCACAGUCUACCAACAGUUGAAAACAGCUAAAUAAAGUUAAGCUGAAGGUACACUAAAGAUACACUAAGCAUCAUUUAAAAUAUCCAACUAUACAAAUUUAAAUUACGCUAAGAACACAGCUUGGCAGAAGUUCAACAGGAUACAGACAGUCAAAUUACAUCAAACUAGCAAAUAAUCCACAAAGAUACUUAACCACACAGCCCCCACCCUAAACAUAGUAGAAAAUCUUUCCUAACCAACCAAAUUCACAACAAAAAAAAACGAAAGAUCAAAACUUUUCACCCUUUAACAAUAGCACAACAUAUUUCCAACUAAUUUUGGACAAGAAAAGAACAAAGUACAACAAACCCACCAAAGAAUUUCAUUCUUUUGCAUAUUGAUACAUAAUCAUACACCCGGAAAAGGGCAAACAACCACUUCUGCUACAACAGCAAUUAUUGACCUAAUACUAGUAUAAGAACAGCACAAACAAACCUCUCCUAUGCUUCAACAAAUUUGAAGGAACUUUGGCCGAUCUUGACGCGCAAAAUCGAACCAGAUGUUAAUUCCCGAAACCCUUCACCCACAAAAAAGGAAAACAAUGAACAGGAAAAAAUGAAUUAAAAUUCAAAAACCUUCAUAUCAAAAUCAUGGAGGAUUGAAAAAACAAUAGAGAUGAUAAACAAGGGAUGAAUAUCAUUCAAUAGUACCUUAAAUUAAUUAAAAUUAGAAAAUAAGAGAUAAUAAUCGCAGAAAUCGAGAGGUGAAGGCGAAGAAAGAGAGCGUGUGGAGAGAGAAAAUCGAAAGCAAAGACAGAGAAAAAGAGUUGUGUGGGUUUGGUUUAAUAAUUGCAAAUUCGGUACUCGAUGCCUGUACGUAUAUAAGAAGCCUGAUACUGAAGACAAAAAAAUUAGGGGGUAAAAAAUGAUAGGCCCGAUCUUGGCCCACUCAGCCCAGAAAAGGGUCCGAGCCUCAUGAAAAGCUCGACACGGUACAGUUUGAACCUAAAUAUAUGACCCGAGAGUUAAUUGUAAACUGAUUGUAGACUACACUAAAUUGAAAAUUAAGUCCCAUUAAAUUUUGACCCUAAUUAUAUAUUUAUAUACUAUCAUAUAAAAUAUCUUGCUUUUAAACAUAAUAUAUUACAUAUGGAUAAAAUACAAAAAAACCCCAUGUGAUUACGUUAACCUACGGACAAGUCUCUUAUGGUUGUUUCAAAUCAUACAUUUUAGACCUUUAUGGUUUGAACUAAUUUGAAAUAUCAACAGAAAUCAUCAAAACUAAUGGAGGUGGACGAAAUGGCACAAUUACCCUAAUAUAUAUAAGCAAUAAAAAACCUUUUAACAACCAUCUUAUUAAGCAAACUUAUGAAAAAAUCCCCUGUGGUUAAACCAACCUACAAAAAAACCUCCUAUUGUUAUAUGUUGUUUUUAUUUAUUUAUUUUGUGUAUAGGAAUAAGGAACUUGUAUUUGAAAGUUUUUAUUUAUUUAUUUUAUGUAUAGAGAUAAGGUAAGUUUUAUUUGGAAAUUUUUAUUUAUUUAUUUUAUGUAUAGAAAUAAGGUGAGUUGUAUUUGAGAGUUUUGGGUUGUUUUUGAAAAUUUUAUGAGUUCUAAGGGGUUUAAUAGGUAUAUUAGCUAAAAAUUUGAAUUAAAAAAUUAUUUUCCAUGUUAAGGAACCUCAAACUUGUUAGUUUAAAUGAUUUUUGUCGAUUUUUCACAUUAGUUCAAACUAAGAAGUACUGGAUUGUAUGAUUUGAAACUAUAAGAGACUUUUUCUGUAGGUUUACUUAACCACAAGGGGGCUUUUUUGUAUUAUAAUUCUAAUGGUAUAAUAGGUAUAUCAAUUGAAAAUUUGUUUGUUUCCAGUACAAAUACUCACAAAAAAAGCGCGUGUAUUUCAAACUCGUUAAUUGAUUUUUGUCGCUUUUUUAAAUUAGUCCAAACUGUGAGAUAUCAUAAUAUAUGUUUUGAAACUAUAGGAAGUUAAAAUAUCUUAGACAAUAAAUUUUGUUAAGUUAUGGCCGAAAAAUUGUUCUAACGCACAAUAAUCUUUUCCUUUCGUUCAGCAUUCUAGACAAUAUAUACAGUGAUUUUUUUUCCCGUUCCACAUGCAAUUCAAAUAAAAUGGAUGAAAAUCUUUCUCUACUUUCUCUUUUAUUUCUUUUCCACGGGAGUGCUUUUUCUUUUCUUUGCAUUCGUCUGCUUCAAUCCAAAUGGCGUCUAAAUCAUAUGUAUACAUUUUUACUAUCUUAGACGACUGCAAGUCUACAAUAUCUUUUAUUUGUGGUCCUCUGCAUUCCAUGUCAAAAUGUUCGCAAACAUUUUAUGUAAAGGAAAACAAUUCAUUGCCAACAAAAAACAAUUAUCUACUAGGAUUAGCAUCAUCAAGAAGUUUACCACGUACUGAUUUGAUCGGUUUCAAUCACGAAAGUUCUUUUCUUUGAUUAAAUCCAGGAUGAAGUUAAAUUACAAGGUUGGAUCGGAUUAACAAUUUAACAAAUUCACUUCGAUAAAUAUGAAAAAAAAAUAUUUGUUCAACACAUAUGCCAUUCGAAGCUUGCAUCUCAACUUUUUUUGUACAAAACUAUAGUGUAACCGAACAAUGAUUUGAUUUUGAAAUGAUCAAAACUCACUUGAUUAUCAAAAUCAUGGUGAAAAUAAAAUAAGAGCAAAUGUCACAUAUUGUAACUAAACUAUUUAGGAUUUUUUCAUUUCAGCCACUAAACUUUUUAUUUAGCUAAAGUGGUCAUUCAACUAAUUAAAACAUGCAUUUUGUGAUUGAAAAGUAUAAAUUUUCAUUAGUUGAUAGACUAAGGGUCCGUUUGUUUCGGGUGAAAAUGUUUUACAGGAAAAUAUUUUCCUAAUUUCCCGUGUUUGGUUGCACAAAAGUUACUGAAAACAUUUUCCUAUGUAAAAUAUUUUCACUCAUCUUAUGGAAAACAACUUCCCUUCCAAAUUUACUGAAGUUGUUUUCCGAAAUGCAUGCAUCCCGCCUGUAGUAUGUUCCAAACUUACUGAAAACAUCUUGUAGUAUUUUUUUUUUUUUUAGUGUAAACAGGAGGACUCGAACCCAAGACCUCUUCCUUACACUCCCUCCCCCGUACCACCCAACCCAACCAAACCCUCCCCCUAGUAUAUUCAAAAUAAUAAAAAAACUCAUCCUGCUCAUCCUAUGCUAGUAAUUAAUUAUGUAUAAUAGGGACAUUCUUUUCUAGAGAAACUUUUAGCAGUGAGAGUGCAAGAUAUAUGUCACAAUAAGCAUUGCAUGUGAUUGAUAUUUGACACUAAAUGACCAGCAAUUUGUUUAUUGCUUAAGGAGAUAUUUUUUAUUCAUAUAUACAUUUCUCCAAGAUUUUUUAAAGUUAAACAAUGAGAUAAAGUUUCUUAUUUUGCAUGGGAAGAAGUAUGUAGUUAUAAUGUGUAGAAAGUAAAGAUAGAGAUAAAAGUGAAAAUAUUUCAAAAGUUAAACAAACACCAGAAAAAUGAAGUAAGAAAAUAUUUUCAAUAAGCUAACCAAACACCUGAAAAUGAUGAAAGGGAAAUGAUUUUCAUGGAAAAUUACUUCCACAGAAAAUAUUUUCCCAAGGAAAACAUUUUACUUCCAACCAAACAGACCCUAAAAGUGAACCUUUUCAUUAAUUGAGUGACUAAAAGCAUAUAUCUUUAUUAGUUGAAUGAAUAAUUUGACUCAAGAAAAAGCUUAGCGACCAAAAUGGGGAAUUUUAAAUAAUUUAGUAACUUUUUGGCCAUUUUCUCUAAAAGUAAAGAUAAGUGAAAGUAAUUUAUUAACUUACACACUGAUUAUCUAUUAUUACUGCAAUACCCCGAAAAAAUAACUCUUAAGGGUUUAUUUCUAUUUUAAUAGAUUGAGUAUAUAUAAAAAACAAUUGUGGUAUUUCUAAGAUUAGGGCUAACUAUAGGGACCAAAUUUGAAAUUUAUGUCUAAAUGCAAGAUAGGUACAUACAUCACGUUCAACAUUUAACCUAAUCUUAUCAUUUGUUUUUCUCCAAUAGAUUAAAUUCCAGAUUCAGUAGCGGCUAGAAGAGGCUGAAGUAGCCCAACCAAACAACUAACUCAAACUACUAGAAUGGAAAAGAAGGACAAGAAAAGAACAUAUAGAUGAAGCUUCAAUGGAGGCAUGCUAACAUAUGAUUGUAUAUGAUGAAGAAAGAGUAAUUUCGAACACUAGAAAAUUGAGGUUGUUAAUUUAUAAUUGUAUAUGAUGAAGUCUUCACUGUCCAUUAACAGUCGUUCAAAACCACGAUUUGGCUUUGGCUUCGAUAGAGCUGCAAACGAACCGAGUUCGCGAGCAGCUCGAGUCAAAACUCGACUCGAGUUCGAUCAAUAUUGAACUCGAGUCGAGCUCGAGUUGGUGAAAUCGAACUCGAGCUUGAGUUCGAGCACAAAAUAUUGAGUUCGACUCGCAAGCUCGAGUAUAUAUAUAUAUUUAUUUAUUUAUUAUUUUAAUAAUAAAAUUACAUAUAUAUUCCUAAUAUUUUAUUAUUUAUUAAGAAAAAUAAUUAUUUGUUAUUUUUAUUAGAUUAAUUUCCAGAGACUCGAGCUAACGAGCUGCUCACGAGUCAGAAAUUCGAGCUACAUUACGGGCCGACAAUUCGAGCUGCUUGCGAGUCAGAAAUCGAGCUACAAUGCUCACGAGCCUUGUCGAGUCGAGCUCGAGCCUGGCUUUUCCUUGGUCGAGUUGAGCUCAAGCUCGAUUUUCUUGGCUCGUCGAGUUCGAGCUCGAACUCGAACCCACCUGUUAUUAAGUCGAGCUUAGUUCGAUAAAUCUAAAACUCGAUUCAACUCGGCUCGUUUGUAGCCUUAGGUUUCGGUUUUACUUUCAUAGAAUUAAGAACAUUUCGCUCUACACUUUCAAACAUAUCAAUAUUUUCUCUUUGGAGAAAAACAUAUAAAUCGAAAAUGGUAUUACAAAUUUUCAAGAAAAGAAAGUUAUAAUGAGGCAUUCGUUGUUCCAAAUAGGCAUCCAAGGAUCACCUCCAGUAUUGUUAUCGAUUGAAGUUGAAGCACAAACUUGUUUGGCAAGCAAGUUUUUGAGCAAAUUUGUUUGCUUCAAAUUUUUUAGCAACUUUAACUACACUAAACUAAAAAAACUUCUCAAAAAUUUUAAAUUAUACACUUUAAAAUAUUCAAAAAUUUACACACUUCAAAAUUUUUUUCUACAACUUCUAUAGUAAAAUUUUAGACAAAUAUCCAAAAAACUCAUUUGCCAAAAGGGCGCUUAGUAUCCCACGUUCAAAUGUGCACAUUAUAAUGCAUCCCAAAUAAAUAAAUCUAUAGAGUAAAUUCUCCAUGCAAAAGUCCAUGUCAUCAAAAAGAAAAAUACAACAAAAAAAGGAAAAAAUGGAAUGAACGACAAAAACCGCGGCUGCUCCAAAGAUGCAUUCCCCCAUCAGUAACGUCAAAUCAGCCUAAAAAACACGAAGCUUGCAAAACAAAUAAGACUUGCUACAAUUCUUAAUCGAAUUUAAUACAUGCAAAGAAAGUGAUUUGUGGAAGUUCAGCUGACGACUUUAGAAAUUAGGAUUUAUGUGUUUGGAUAGCAUUCUAUAUCAGCAGUAGCCAGCCUUAACUCCUCACCAUUAUGCUCAGUGUGAAAAUGUGAAGAUUGUAAAAGAUGCCUAGCUUUCUUUCCCUGUUCUAUUCCGCGUUUGAGCCACCAAUUCUUUUGUUGUUUGUCAAACUUCAUUUUGGGUAUGGAUAGUCUUUCCCCUUUUUGUCGCAAAAUGAAAUCUCCAAUCUUUUUCUUUUUUUUUUUUAUCCAUUUCCUUUGACAUGAUCUAUUUCGAAGAUGAAAAUUUAUGAAUGCAAGAACUUUAUUCGAAUUCUUUGUUUGACUGGAGUAAACUAUUGGACUUAUUGGAAGACUUAUAAAGCAACAAAAAUCUAGUGGAGCAUUUCGGUUUUUUUUCCAACAAAAUUUUAUUGUACGUAAUUCAUUUUCUUCUUCCUUUUUGUUCUUGCAAACAAUAGCACGACGAAAAUAUAUUCUUCAAAAUCUGUUAAGAAAUAGAUUUUCCUUUUCCAAGUAAAGUAGUUGAGUAAGUUUGUUAUACAUUAUCACUUUAUAACUUUUUUUUUUUUUUUAACACUAGCAGAUUUAGAUAAGCCAUAAAAUAUGAAAUCAAAUCAUGUACAUAUAGUAUACAUUUACAACUAUUAGUAUAAAAAAAUCACUUCACUAUCACUGUCAGUGCAAAAAAAAAAAAAAAGGUUAAUCCAAAGUAAUUUGGCUUUAGCGUCAGCAAGAGUUGGUGAACAAAAGUUUUAUUUGAUGAAUACGGUUCUCCGUUUUCAUUACCAUGAAUUUAACUGUGGUUAAAAUUAUAUAGCCCCUUUAUCUACCCUCUGGAGUCUCUUCAUGCAUUGUAGGUUCUGAAGAGAUAAUUCAGUAUCUGCACAAGAUGUCAACCAAAGAUCAAGGUGCAAAAUCCAGAAGGAAAAGUCCCAGGCAUGAUAAGAUUUCAUCACCUUUUUUGUCAUGACCAGCAUCUUCCUCGUCAGGCUUUGGAUUCAAUACUCUUUCACUAUCUCCAACUCCCAGCGGUUUUUCAAAGCACUGUUAAUGCUUGCGUAAAAUUUUGGCAGGUAUUUCCUUCAGAAAGCCUGAAAUUGAGAAUAUGAAUUAAUCAGGGCAACUCUCGGUUUUGAUCACAAACUCUAAAGCAGCACAGAGGCAUCACCCCAAUAUUUGACGUUUAAGAAGGGCUUCCCAAUAUUCGACCACCUUAGCCAUACCAGACAGCAUCUGUGCCUCAAUCUGAGACUGUAAAGCUUCUAGUUCGCCGUAGGAAUUCCCUUGUAAAAGUCUCUUGAAUUGACAUGUGCCUCAAUGUUUGAAUGCAUUCCUCUUUCUUCAGCAAGUAGUUCAGAAGGCAGUUGCUUUCCACGCCCCUUUGGCUUGAUCCAAAGCAUCUUUUUUCCUUACUUCAGCAAGUUCCCAAUCACAAACCACCAGCAGUUGCGCAAUUCCAAGUAGCUCAGAUAAGAAAGAUCUUCAAACUAAUGUUAAUUAGAAAUUUAGAUUGUAGCAUCCCAACACCAUUUAUCUAAUAUUACAGAUGAUGUGAAUUGGAAAUACAAAAACUGCAAAAAAAAAAAAAAAAAGUUAUCACAAGUGGACCAUGUAAGUAGGGGUGGUAAUUUCUGACACGAUCUAAAAACACAAUACGAAACUAAUACAAAAUUAAUGGGUUGGAUUAAGACUCCACGGGUUUGGAUUAGAAUCGGAUCAAACUCGAUGAACUCGAAAAAAAGAGUCGAAUUUAGGUCACCCACAGGUUGACCCGAUCACCCGUUUAUGAAUUAAAAAUAAUUUAAUAAAUAUAAAAAAUAAUUUAUCUAAUUAAACUAAGUUAUUCUUUUCUCCCAAAGGCAUUAACCACUUAAUCCUAAAUGAAUUUGUUUAACUUGUAUAAAGUUGGAAUUGUUAUAUUUGGACAAAUGAUGUAUUACAUUAUUUUCUACUUUUAUAGUGUCUUAAUAUAUUCCGGAUCUGGUUUGGGAUAAAAUACUUUUACCGUAUUUUAAUUUAUUUCAGAUUUGGCUUGAGAUUAUUUUAUCGAAAUUUUUAUUACUUGAUUAUGUACUUAGUUUUGUGCGGAAUUGGUUCUGUUAGAAACUAUAGUGAUAAAUUCGUAAAUUGGAGUUAUGUUUCGGGUCAUACCAGGUCAUUUUGGUGAUCUGCCAACCCAAAAAUUUCAAGUUCAGGUCAGAUAUACUGACCCAUCACAGGUUGGCGGAUCAGGUUAUGAUCAAUAAAUUUCCUAUCGUACCUGAGUCUCAACCCAAUCCGCCAACUUCGUCAUCAAUCGGAUUGCCACCCCUACAUGUAAGCAUGUUCGACAAGCAAUUUUGAAAACGAAUCAAUGGGGUGAAGCCUUAAUCAAAUAGGGGACAGGUUUACACCUGUAAAUGUCUCAGUGGAGAUUACCUAACUACCUUAGGGUUGUUGACUUCGAUCGAGAAGCAGAUGACCAAACAACUUUCAUAAUGUUACACUGACAAAAUAUCAUAAAAUUAAGAUACACUGUCAAAAGAAGGAAAGAAACAAUAAUGUUUGAAACAAACUUUCAAAAUCUUCACUCGAGUUGAGACGUACAUAGAAAACAUAUGGAUGAAGGUUUCACUGACGAAGACAGGUAGGCCUAGGAUUUCAUAACAGCUGACAUAUUAGCUCGAUGUGAGGUAGUAGGAACACUUCUAUAUGCAAGUUACUAGAUGUUGGAUGUGAUUCACAUAAAAUAAAAAAUUAAUUUUGGCACAAAUUCAGCAACCAGGUCAAUUUUCAAAAGACUAUCCUAGCACCUUCAUCAGGUGACUUGAAAUUUUAAUUAGAAUAAUCCUCCAGGCAAGAACAUGGACCAAUGAAUCCAGCACAUAUUCAAAUAGACAAUUCGCUUUGCCCAUUCAAGCAAGGAACCAAAUUAAAGACUAUCCCAACACCUUCAUGUGUGUUGAAAGCCCAUCAUUUGAUACACUUGUUGACGGCAUAUGAUGCAAAAUUGGGCAACCUGUCAUUUGUUAUCCACUUUAAUAAAUGAAUCUAAGGUUUUUUGGCAUCAAAUACUACGAUUAAUUCAUUGACUGUUCACUGAAUUUUGGAAAAGCGUGCUUCCCAGUGCUAAUUCCAUGAUUUGGCAACAAUAAUAUUAAUGCUUGUACACAUGGCCAUACAAUUUGAAGGGUUAAACUAAGUUGAGAGAGGGGAAACAUGGGUAGGGAAUGUUAAUGAGAUAAGGGUGUUGGAGAUGAGGUUUCUUGGCAGGCAGUUGGGGGUUUGGGAUUUUGGAGGGUUAAGGGAGGGAACUAGAAAAAAUAAAAAUGAAAAACGACAGAAUGGAAGGAGGAGGAAAAUAAAUACUAUAAAUGGCUGUAGGAUGAUAUUCAUGGAAAUAAACAUAUGGAAUCAGUGCGUAUUUAUCAUUUCAGCUAUUUUAGUGGUAAUUUAGAGCCUACUAAGGGGUGUAAACAUUUGAAACCGGGGGUGUAUUCGUUAUUUGAGCUAUUUCAGUGGUAAAUUAGAGCCUACUAGAGUGUAAAUGAGCGAAUUAAACUGAACAUUCUAGUGUUUAAAUUCAUUUGAUUAUUUUAACGAGUUUAAAAUUUUAUUUAAAUUUGACUUAUUUAUUUGCUUAAAAGUUAUCAAACAUUAAACGCCUUUCAACCUUAUAUUGACAUUGACUAGUUAACGAAUCAAAAUCGAAUGAGUUAUUAACAAGUUAAGCUUGAUUUUGAUAUCAACUAGUUUAAUUUGUCUUUCAACGUUAUUACUAGCCUAGCAUAGGGCUUCGAAUCCUUUGUUCUCAAAGUAGUCUUCCUUCCUUAUUUGUACGGCUGUCACGCGUCUCUAGUCUUUUGUUAACCCAAAUUCAAAUAAACCGAUAAUAAUCGGUUUACAAAUUUACUCAAAAUCAAUUAAAACAAAUAACUCAAAACUUUUUUUUAAUUUUCGUUUUAACAAAAAAAGAGUCUUGUUGAUCAUAAACAUAGAAAUCAACUAAAACUCUUCUUUAUUUUUUACCCCAAAUCAACAAGACUCUUUUUUGUUAAAAAGAAAAUAAAAAAAAGUUUUGAAUUAUCUGUUUUAAUUGAUUUUGAGUAAACUUGUAAAUCGAUUAUUAUCGAUUUAUUUAAGUUUGGAUUAACAAAAAGUUAAAGACACAUGACAGCUGUACAAAUAAAAAACAGAUGGACAGAAACUAUUUUGGGAACAGAGAAUUCGAAGCCCUAGCACACAGAGGGUGAAGGAACCUGCUAAACAAACCUAUUUUUUUUUUUCCUAACAAACCUAUUUGGUCGCGCGUUCUUUUUAAAUCCCAAAAAAACUAAACAAGAAAGAAAAAAAAAAGAAUCCAAUUAAGGUCAUACCUCAUACGGUAUAUUUUAACGCGGGAAGAAGUGAAAAUCAAGAAAGAGCUAAGGCGGGAAAAUCAUAAAUCUCUAUAGAGAUAAACAGAAUUGAAAUCCCCCACGCAAACCAGUGAUUGCCCAUUUUCUCCGCCGAGCUCAGCUUAAAUCAAUUACGUCAAGGCAAAGCAUUCUGCUUCAACCGCCUUUUGGCAAAACUGCUUCAAGGAAUUCUGAAAUGGGGAAGAGAAAGAAGACGGCUAGGGUUUCCGAAGAAAACCUAGAAGAAGAAAUUCCGGAAAACCAGAGCAAAUUGGAAGCUUCUUCUCCCACAGAAAAGACCCUUUACGAGGUACCAUUCUUUUCUCCGUCAUCUGAUUCUUUUUUUCUCUAAUAAUUGCUGGGCUUCUUUUUAUUCAUUUAUUUAUUAUUAUUAUUUUUGCAUAUGGUUGGAAAUGUUCGAAAAUAGGGCGAAGAGUCGCAUUUUCUUUCUUGCUUUUUUAUUUGUUUGUUUGUUAUUGUUUAAUUGAGAAUAGUAGGUCUUCUAUGUUUCCUUUUCAUAAUUCUGAGAAGUUGGGUUGCAGGGAAGUUAGUCUAGUACCACUUCAGUGCCUGUGUAAUCUGAAGUGCCUCUAAUUUUUGAAUUCUUCUUUUAUUGUGUGAGAAGAAGAUAUGUUUGCAAUAUACUCGACUUGGAUUGUACCAAUUUGGUAGUUUAGAUUGGAAAGUGUGAUUCUUGCGACUGUUGAUUUGGCAUAAGCUACAAAACUUGACCGAGCAAAAAAUGAGCUGAUGGGUAAUAAUUAAUGAGAAAUUGUGGAAUCAAGAUACUGCCGUUUUAGCAGAGAAGUAAUUGAGGGUUUUUAUAAUUCUUUUUUUUUUCCUGGUCUAAUAGGAAAUUACACCUGAGGGAAUGGUUACACUAUUGUACGUUCAUCUUUUAGGUUUGAGAUGUUGUGCCAUUAUUCUCAAGCAUCAUAUGUACAAGAGAUUUGGUUUGAAUAAGUCAGCCUGCUACUCUGGGUUUUAGAAGAGCUGUCCUAUGGUUAAUAAGGUCUCAAGUAAAAGGAUUAUGUAUUUCCUGCUUAUAGAGGAAUUAUGUAUUUUUCAUUGAUGUUGCUUUCCUAAUGGUACAAUCAAAGUUUAUUUGUUUGUUGCUAUCCCUGUGAUGGUUUAGUUUAGCCUACAUCUUCAGCUCACUAAAUAAGCUGAAUAAGCUUACAAAAGAAUAUACCAACGGAGCUCUUGUAGCUGGCCUGUAACUCUUUUGAGAUAGACUAAUUAAAGGCAACCUUAAGCCUUAUUCACAGCUCCUGUUCUAUUCCAAGCAAUGCUGGUGACAAGUAAUAAUCACCUUGGGCAUCUCAUUCACUCCCUUAAGAUGAUCAGGCAAUUGCUGUGAUGUUCUCCUUUAGUUAUUUCCUUCAUGGUUAACCAAGAAAGCCUUCUAUUUACUUUCUGAAAAUGAGAAUUGUCAUCAAAAUGACCCAUGUAGUCCGUGGUAGAUAAGCAGUUUCUGUGAGUUCCUUUUUGUACCAUUUUCUUGUUCAUCUCCUAUAGUAUUCUCACUUUUCAACAAGCAUGCUUCUGUGAUUUUUUUUUUUUAAAUGCUCUUACUUCUGGUAUAUUUCAAGUGUGUUGUUUAAUGUUUGCUGAGUGUUGGAUUUGCUUUACAAUCCAUCCAAAUUCAAGCAAUAGAGGUUCCCUGAUAAGUUCUUUCUGUUGUAGAUUCUUGGGGUAGAAAGAACUGCAUCCCAGCAAGAAAUUAAAAAAGCUUAUUACAAAUUGGCUCUACGUCUGCAUCCUGACAAGAAUCCUGGUGAUGAGGUAACUUUCCAUCCUACUGUUUUCUUCUGUAAGCGUUUUGGUUGUUUUUGUAUUGAAUUUACAUUCAGGUUAUGUUUGAACCUCAGUGUUAGUUUUGCUUGAUCUUAAAAAGAGUCAAACUUUUGCUUAUCUUUUCUGUAGGAUGCUAAGGAGAAAUUUCAGCAACUACAAAAGGUUAUGUCAAUUCUUGGUGAUGAGGAGAAACGGGCACUAUAUGACCAGACUGGCUGUGUUGAUGAUGCUGUAAGUGGCCAUACAAAAAUUUUCAGUUUUUGCUGUUUUAGACAGAGUCAGUAAGAUCGGGAUAUACUGAAAAGAUGCUUGUUGGCUUUAAAAGUACUGUAAGUCCCUUUAUUUCGGGAGGCCUGUGCUCAGAAUUCACCCUGGGAGAUGCAUUCAGAAUAUUGUUACAAUUUUGCCCUUUGAAGUCUUGGGAGUGUUUUCUGUUAGGCUUAGCUUUUUACUUGAGAUCAUGCUUAGAGUUGGUGAGUUUUGUUGGUAAUCUUUAUUUUCUACAUUUGUGACUGUUGUGAUUAUGCAUGUGGAUAUUCUUAGAUGUGCUUUCUGUAUUUUCUUUUCUAUUUGGUUCAGUGGAGUUCAGGUAACUUGUUUGGUGAAAUCUUGAUUAUGCUUUGUUCCAAACUUGUGUUUAUUCUUCAACAACUGUUUUUAUUUGGUUCCUAUUUAAAAUUGGAAAGAAUGGGCUUCCCUGGGCUCCUUAUUCUAUGUAUAUCCGGUCCUCCUCGAGUAGUCUUGACACAUUUUAUUACUCACUUACAGGACCUUGCAGGAGAUGUCUGCCAGAAUUUGAAGGAAUUUUUCCAAACCUUGUAUAAAAAGGUUAUUAUUUUCUCAGAUUGUCAACUUCUCCACCCCCUUUCUGAUAUAUCCUUUCUUAAUAUGAUCUCCUCUGUUCAUAGGUCACUGAGGCUGAUAUUGAAGAGUUUGAAGCAAGCUAUAGAGGCUCUGAGACGGAGAAAAAGGAUUUGAUUGAUCUGUACAAGAUGCACAAGGGUAACAUGAAUAGGUAUGAUAGGAUCUAUUUUCUUCUCCCACCCUUGGAACUUUAAUGGGGCAGAUUAUCAUCGAAAUUUUCUUGUUUGUUUAGGGUUUUCUGUUACAUGCUUUGCUCUGAUCAAAAGUUGGAUUCACAUCGGUUCAAGGAUUCUCUUGAUGAGGCAAUAGCUGGAGGUUUGUUUUAUGGCUUAAUUUGUAUUCAUCAGGAGUAAAUAACUUGUUACAACAUUGCUGAGUCAAUAUCGAAUCACUGUUUAGGGCUGACUUUGAUACGUGCAAGAUUCAAUAACUCUAUGCUUAUUUGUUGUGAUGUGUUUUUUGGAGGCACGUAUCUAACUGUCCUUCCCUUUACCUGGCUUCUUCUUUUUUGAACAACAAUAUUUAGGAGCUCUGAAGUCAACUAAAUUGUAUGAGAAAUGGGCUAAGCAAGUUUCUGAAACAAAACCGCCUACUAGUCCAUUAAAGAGGAGGAAAAAGUGAGUAGUUUUUUAUAUCUGAUGUUGGUGCUUCAGUAAUCUAAUUUUAAAUUAAAACUCAAGCAAGCCAUGUUAUUAACAUCAGAGUCCUUUCCAGAGAAAAGAAAAACUCGGAAGAUUUGCAUGCUAUCAUCUCUCAGCGGCAAAAUGAGAGGAUUGGCAAGAUCAACUCUAUGCUCUCAACUCUGGUUAGCAAACAUGGUGGGGAACCAGAGCCUAGUGAAGAAGAAUUUGAAGCUGCUCGACGAAAACUUGAAAGCAGGAAGGCAUCCAAGCGGAAGUAACUGUGAUUUUGAGCAAUAUGUAUGCAACAGAACUCUUCUGCUGUAAAUUUAACCUGCCUGAUGUAGUCAUUUAAAAUUAAACAGCGGCUUGGCUUGUACUUUUCUUUUCAGUUUUCUGGUCUUCAGCAUUUCCCUUGUAUUAUAUUAGCCUUUUGCUUUUUAAUUGGGAGUAAGAGCCUUUUUUAGCUCUACAUGGUAAUGUGCAUCUGGGCUUGCUAUUUGGAAAAGAAUGAUCAUGUCCAAAUCUUUCUCCAUUGCAAGGGCAAUUUCUGCAGGACUGUUACUGUGGCUAGUUGAAUAGCGAGAACUGAGGCAGCCUUAAAGUCAGUGUCAACUUGUAGGGCAUUGUAGAACCUGGGCUGUACGAAAUGUGAGUGCUAAGGCAGUCUUAGAACCAAUGUCAACUUUCAAAAGGUUAAUGCAGAAACAAUCGACUGUUGUCGAAUCAGUGUCAACACUGGAUAUAAUUUCUCAUGCAAGGCAAAAUCUGGGCAAGGUGUGGUUAGGGUUAGUUGCACAUGAAAGGUGGUUUAGUUCUAAAGGAUGGAUGCAUGCACAAGAAGAACAAAACUCAAGAAAGAAAUAGGUUUUCUUUCAACAACUUUUCUCUUUCAUCCACCAACUCUAUUUACACAAUGUAGGGCCAUUUGGUAGGGAGGUACUCUCAAGAAAACAAAAAGCCAAACUCCUUCAUUUCAAGAGGGGGCCCAAAUUCCAAUGUUACACGAGGACAAUUUUUUUUUUUUUUUUUUUUUUUUUUUGUGGGGUGGGGGGACGACAGCUUUAUCCUUGCUUGACUAUAAUAUCUUCCACAAAAUAGCAUGCCAGUAAAGGGUCCAGAAAUGAGUUGUUUCGUCUAUUUGAUCAAGAGUUCUAAGUUUUAGUCUGUCCAAUUGUUAAUGCUCAUUGUGAUGUCCAACUCAUGAAGUUUGAGAGUCACAUCCAACAAAAACUUGGAAAAAAAUUGGUUAACAAAUGUAGACUGUUUAAACGGGAAUCUGAGAGAAGUAAAUAGGUGCCACGACCCUCAUCUCUGACAAGCAAAUAUCGCUGGGGUCAACUGAGGAUCUUUUUAGCAGUAUUCAAGCUGUACUGAAGAGGAAAGUACCAAUCAUUCAUGGGAUUAACUCUUUAUUUUCCUGUGAAAGUUUGGUUUGGAAUAUGGAACCAACGUCCUCACGUACAACUAGAAAUGACAGGGAAAUUUGGAGCUUUUGCUUGUGUCUGUAUCCUUUUGAAGGAUUGCUGUCUUGGAGAUCAUCAACCCGUCAAAUGAUCACGUUCUUUCUUUCUUUCUUUCUUUCUUUUUGCGAGUUCAAGGGACAAUAAUGUCAACAUCUUCAGGUGGUAGCAUCUUAUAAAGAAUGACUGUUCGGAAUCCAAGAUGAAUGCCUCGUGAAUUGAGGUAGCCCAACUGAUGGAUGCUGAGAUAAGGUAAAUUAUAGGCAAAAAGAAAUAAAAAGAAUUGAAGUUUCUCGCAUUAGCAAGAAAUGAUUUGCUGCCUUCCAAAUGAAUAAAGAAAGAAAAAGUUUUAAUGCACCUAGCCUCCUCCUAUUCUUAAAGUGCUCUUUUUCAUGGUAGGGGGCCGGGGUUGCUCAACUAACCACAAAGUAAAAAAAAAAGAAAAAGAAAAAGAAAAUGGAAUCUAUACAACAGAAAGCCAAACAGAGGAUCACUAGCUUUAAAAGGCCUAUGCAUCUUUAUAUUCAUUCAAUGUAAUUUGCAGUUUAGGUCAAUGAUAGAUGCCUUAAAAUAUGAGGAAUCGAGGGUUGGUGGACGAUUUAGCUUUCCUGAAAAACCACUCUAAGAUGGAAGGAGGUACACAUUAGGCCGUCCAAUUUGGUACUUGGACAAGACGUCAUUAUUGCACCACUAAUACAAUUAGGGUUUUCCUUACGGGUGUUUAAUAGAUAUUCGUUCUAAAUUUUACCCAAUUUAUCAUGUAUAUACACACACUAAUAAUUGCUAGCCCCCUUGCAUUUAUACGUAUUUUUUAAUUGAUCUUAUCUUUCCAAAAAUUUAACAUCUGAAAUAUAAGUUAAUGAAACGAGUGUCCAGUUGACACUCAUUAGAUAUGUCUGUUUAAUUAUACUGUUCAAGUCCUUCUCCACAUUACUAGAGAGGUGCCAAGUAUACAUCUUCCCCCCCCCCUAAAGGGAAGGGAAAAAAUUACACACACAGAGACAAAAAAAAGAAUGGCGGACCGAUCCCGACUUAAUUUAAUAAUAUAUAAAAUUUUAGCAUAAAAAGUUUUACAAAAUCUUUUUGAUGUAACUCCUGUCUGCACCUAGAUUUUUUUUGAAAUCUUUGUCUCCUCAUCUAGUCCCAUUUAAGUAAUUACAAAUAUUUUUAACACUGUCCUGUGGAAACUAAAUAUCAAAUGCCACAUUUGAAAGAAUUUGAAAUACCUAAAGUUAAAUAAUGUAAGAUUGACCAUGAUAUGCACACAGAGUUUACUUCUUCUUCCAUUACAAGAACACCCCCACAAAAAAAGAUGGUAAAUAAUAUGCUACACGAAUGUUGGCAACCAGUUGAUGUAGUGUCCAAUAAAUCAUGGUAGAAACUUGGAAGUAAAAAGAAACCUCUACUGCAUGCAUUGAAGUUGUGUGUGUGUGUAUAUAUCUGCAUGUAUAUAUAUAUAUAUUCUUCUCUUUUUAAUUUUCAAGGGCCCGAACCAGUUAGGAAGAAAUCAUGAAAAAUGAGUUAAUAAUUUUAGUUCGUGGGACUAGUCAUUUUCUGAAAAGGAAAACGUCAAAGAUUUGAUUAGCAAGCAAUCGGGCUCCUCAGAAUCUUUCUAGCUGUUGGACUAAUAAAUGGGUAGGAAUUAGGAAGCAUCUUAAUCUUCAAUAUCCAUUCCUUGGUUGGUAUUGUCCUGCAGUGCACUUUCGGCUUUAGAGGUAGACUUUGCAAAUUUUUUGUUGCCAAUUAUCCAUUCCACCGACGAAAGCUGUAGUACAAUUGUUUAUCAUCUUCUCUUCCUAGUUCCUACCUAUCUAUCUAUCCAUCUCUCUCCCUACAAAAACCAUUCAUGACUGUGCAUUUUUUGUACCAUCUUGUUGCUGUGCGCACUGCACACACUAAGGGAAAACGACAUGCCAAUCACUUUUGCAAGAAGCCAAUAAGCAUUGAGGUCAUUCCUGGCUUUUCCCUACCAUGCAAAAUUUGUCCCCAGAGAAAAAAUAAAUGACCAGUUCCCUAACAACCAAAGGAAUCUUGGUCUUGAUUGAGUCCUAAAGAGUUUAAACAUAAAACAAAAUUGAGAGAGAAGUUCCUUUAUUAAAAAGAAAAAAAAAAAAGUUCUUCCAUUGAAGAUAGUUAGGUAGAUCUAUGGAGAGUAACAUGCAUACUUUGGAAUUCAAUUUCACGUAGCUACUUAUUUUUUUGUACUCAAUCUUAUUAUUUUGUUACUAGCACUCCAAUCACAUUGUAAAUUUUAUACAUAACUAGUUAAGUGGAAUGUUAAUGACAAACAACAAAAAUGCCAAUAUGGCCUUGGGAAAAAAAAAGAAUAGGCAUAUUAUCCUUGGGAUAAACCAAAAAAGAAUUGACUUUUUUUUUUUUUGUCGAAACGAUAGAUGUCCUAUAACCUAAUCUAGUCUAGUCUAAGGGGAAGGGGAGGGGGUUCGAUGUGAGUACAGACUCCAUCGAUGAAGGUCACUUAAGACCGCCACAAAUUGUGGCAAAUUUGUGGGAGGCAGGAAUUGAACCCCUGACCUCCAGCAUCACCUUUAAUGGUGAUGACCACUGGACCAAAUGGCCAGUGGCCAAAAAAGAAUUGACUGACUUUUAUCAAUUUGUCGCUUUGAACUUUAGGGAUCUAUGCCAUCCAAAGUUACAAAUUGAAUGGUCAUAUACUAAGAGACUUCUUCCAGAGAACACAGAGUUUGAUGAAAGUACUAUAUGUUAUAUUUGAGCUUCGUUGGUCUUCAACACCACAAAAGUAAGAGAAAAAGAGAGCCCUUUUUAACUGUCUAUUUGUUGUUUCUACUCCUCUUCUCUCUUUUUCCAUUUCAUUCAUAACUUAACAAAUGUAGUGAUGAGUACAAUACUAACUUCUUUCCUAACCUCUGACUCCUUGUGUGGAAAUGCUAUUUACCGUUUCAUUCUUGAAAGUUGAAUCUAUACCUGUCGAUUUUAAGUUUCAAACGAUUCACCUUCUUAGAGAUUGGAUACCCUUUGUGGUAAUGAAUAGUACAAUAAAUGCUUCUCUUCGAGGUGAAAUAAUAAAUGCUUUACCCAUAAAUUCUUUACCAUGUCUAAGAAUGUGGUUUUGAAUUCUUUAUCCUGGUGGGACUCAUUAUUACCUAAGAAAGAAAAAACUUACCACAAUUUAUAGAGUCAAAAAAGGUAUUCAUGGUAGUGGGGAGAAACCAUAGCGUAAAAUAAAUGAGCUAGAGGAAAAUUUUGAAGAUUUCUGGUAGAGAUGGUGACACUAUACCAGCGGUCAAUGAAAAUGUUCUGCACUUCUUUGGUGUGAAAUGAUUAAAUACUACUCCUUUGAAUCUGGUAAUACAAGCAAAGUUUUUUCUUUGGCUGUGGCCCCUAUUCUCCUCUUUCCUCUUCCACACCUUUCACUCCAACCCUUCCCCCCUCAACAGCAAAAAGACUCCUUUUUCCCGUAUUGGUAAAUUUCUUACUUUCCCACUUCGCUAUUAGCAUUAAUUUACUUGUCUCAUGUUGCUUUACUUGACUCUGCCUCUCUAGCUCUCCGUCUUCCCCUCUCCCUAACCCACACUGAAGGUGAAUAGCAUUCACGAAGGACGCAUACUGAUCGAGUUUAUAGGUGCAUAAACCUUUUCAGUUCAAAUCUUAUUAGUAGUGGUAAUCACCUUUUUCAUUAAUUAGUGCAAAUAUAUAACUAUGGCCAUACCCCUAUUAUUAUUGCUUUCAUUGAGUGUGUCUUGGCAUCCUCCUCUCUCUCUCACAAACUUGAACAGUUUGUCAUAAUUGUGGAAUGCUGCCUUUCUGCAGACUUUAUUUCUAUGCCUAGUCAUUGCUGAAAUUGUCUAUCAAGAACCGAACUUUGAAGGGCAUCUUUUGCUUGAUUGCAGCUGUGCAAAACCCAAGAUUCUUCCUUUGUUCGUUGCUUCUAAGGAUUUAGCUGUGAGCCCAUAAUUUUUUUUCCUCGGUUAAAGCAGGGUAAGUGCAGAAACUGCUUCAAUCAGCUCAGGUUUGUAUCUUUGGCUGGAUUUGGACUGACCCUUUUUGUUUUUUGUUUUUCCUCUUUAAACAGAGGAAGAGGCCUAAUGGAGGCAGAAAAUGGAGAUGGCCAAUCCCGGUUGGAAGAAUAUGAAGUAAUGGAGCAGAUUGGCAGAGGAGCUUUUGGAGCAGCAUUUCUUGUUUUGCAUAAAAUUGAGAAAAAGAAGUAAGAAUCUCUUAAACCCCAGUUUUGCCAUGUGGGUUGUGCCUAAGUGUGCGUGUUCUUGUGAAUUUGUGUGUCUAUAUAUUCUUUUUAAUUUAUGGGGUCUGUUUAUUGGGUUAUUCUGCACAUAUUGGUAUAUUUAAUGAAAAUCGGAUAAAAAUUCAUAAUUCUUUAUCUUUUUGGUUUUCAGUUAAUUCUUCAAAAAUAAAAAAAAUAAUAAGCAUUAUUGGCUUUUUCUUCCCAUUCUUCUUCCUUCUUUCCUUCUUGUUUCUUCUUUCUUCUUUGGCUGCUUCUUCCUCUUUCUUUUUUCCUCUAGCCAUGUGAAUUUAAGCAGAAGUAUUUCAACAAGACAUAGAAAAAUCAGUUAAUACCAAGAAGAAGAUGCUAGAAAAAGCCCAUUACAAGUAACUCAAGUAGGAAACAGAAAUCAAGAAAUUGAUAUAAAGAACAAGCAAGGAUUCACAGAAUUAACACCUAAAUAAAAUAAUGGCUCUUGGGAAGAAUACUGGCAGAAAAUUACUUGACAUUUAGUUCACAGUGGUUCUAGCUAUUUCUUUACUAAUAUUUUCUUGAAAUUUUGUAAUUGAGAAAGCAAAAGGAGCCCUUUUUGUUGAUAAUUUUAGUAAUAAUUAAUAUGCAUCUGGAAGUAAUGUUGAAAAUUGAGAAGUGAAACUAGUAUAUGAUGCCUGUUUUCUGUUGGCUUGAAAAUAUAGCACAAGAAAUUCUUUUGGUGUUGUUAUUGUUAUUUAUUUUCAUGAAAUAGUGCACAAGAAUAUGAAGUGCCAUUUCACUUUUUGCAGAGAAUCUGAUUCUUUCUAUUCAACUUAAUAAAAACAGUUUAUGACCAUGACCUUGGAACUAAAACUUUAGCAUGGUUACUUUCAUUUGCAGUUUGGAGCAGACUUUUUUUUUUUCCCUGACAAAUUGUGUAAUAUGACCUUUGGUUUGUUUUUAUUUGUUGCAGCAGUAUAAACUUAAAUCAGAAUCCUAGGUUAAUCUGGAAAAUGUUGAACAUCAAGAGUUAUUGUGUUAGGACAACUCUUAAAGUAUUCCUUUAUUCAUCUCUGUUAGGUAUGUUCUGAAAAAAAUUCGUUUGGAAAAGCAGACGGAGAAGUUCAAGAAUACAGCACAUCAGGAGGUAAUUCCACAAGAUAUUUGGAAGUAGGCUUAUCUGAUUUGUUAUACAUGUAGUGCAAUGCAGUGGUUCAUAGGUAGUCAGAAGCUAUAACUUGAUUAUUCUCCCAUUUCAUUAUUUUGAAGUUUUUCUAAACAUUGAUACUCCUGAAACAGUUGAACUGUUUCACCAGUCAUCAUCCAACUCUUUUUUCCUUUCUUUUUUCUUUUUCUAACUCAUUUAAUGCUCAAUAGAUUUAUCAGUUAGUUGUAGUCUUGCCUUGUUUGGAUAUUGGAAUAUAUAGAAUCAGAUUCAAUAGUAAAUUUCCUUGGAAGAAGACUGAGAGGGUAUACGUCUAAUGUGGUUGGGAACUGAGCUGAACGAUGGCAUUUAUAGGUUUGUCCUUUUACAUUUAACUUAAGUCAGGUUCAUGUUCAAAUUUGGAACCUGUUUGAUUUAAUUCUUGAGCUCAAGUUCAACUAUGAUAAGCUUGAAUUUGAAUUGGAAGCUCUCUCUCUCUCUCCCUUUCCUCCCCCCCGGUUUCCUUUGAUUAGCUCAAGACAUGUUUCUCAAAACUUAUUUUGGGCUCAAAACUCAUUGCUUUGAAAUACAUAUAUAUGACACUGAGGAAUCAAUUAUAUUGCUGUUGAAGCUGUUGAAGUACAUGCCUACUGUGUUUGUAAAGAUAUAUAUUUAAAAGGAUAAUUUUUAAAUAUAUACUUGAACUAACUCAUAAAGACAUUGAGCCUCAUAUUUCUGUGUUUAGAUUUGAAACUGCAAUAAAAAAUAACACUAAAGUUAAAACUGAACUUAUUUGAGCUUUAUUCUGGUUAAAUUUGCAUCAAGCCAAUGAAAACUUGAGCUUCAAUAGCCAAGAUAAGCUUCAAAUUUGACAGAAAUCUGUAUUAGGUGAAUAAUCACUGAAGAUCUAUUGAUAGAAUAUUUCUUGGCAUGGUGAAAAUUAUAAUGUGUCCUUUGCAGAUGAAUUUGAUUGCUAAACUGAAUCAUCCCUACAUUGUGGAGUACAAAGAUGCUUGGGUAGACAAGGUAUUAGUUGGUUUCCUCAUAUUAGACUUUUAUGGGACUGAAGUCCACCAUCAAUAUUCCUUUUCAAUUGAACAAUUCUUGCUGAAGUUGGGUAUUGGAGAAGCCUUAACUUGUAAAAUAUUGCACAGGGUUGCUUCAUAUGCAUCGUCACCAACUAUUGUGAAGGUGGAGACAUGUAAGUAUCAUUCUUAAAUAGGACUGACAUGUUGAGUAAUGCUCCCUAUCCUUCCUCUCUCUCUCUGCCAUUGCCGAUUCCUACCUCAUAUCCCAACAUUACACCAAUUGUGCUCUAGAAAUUUUGAUUUCAUGAUCAUCUUCUUGUAAAACAGUUUUGCUAAACGAAUUGUUCAAUCCUUUUUCCUUUUUGUUUUUUACCAGGCGAGGGGUGGGGUUUAAGAAGCGGAGAGGGGGGAGGGAAGGUGUGAACCCAAGACCUCUAAUUCCUAGGGCCUCAACCUUAGCCACUAGGCCAAGGCCUCCUUGGUCGAAUUGUUUAAUAAUUCUGGAGGAAUCGUAAGGGGAGAUGGGGGAUGUUUAACUUGCAAAUUUUGUAACUAGUAAAAGUCUUUCUAAUGUGAGUUCUUUUUUGUAUGGUUCCAGAUGUUUUUCCAAUAGCUUAUUCUAGAAAGAUUGCAUAGGUGUUCAACUGUUCCAAGUAUUAGGUCUAGGAGAUUACAAAUUGGGUAGUGGGCUGAAGAAUUUAUAUUCAUAUCUACUGUCUCUGGGAAUGAAUUACUCUUGAGGUGAUUAUGGUUUUGGAUGAGCAGGGCUGAGAUUAUCCGGAGAGCUCGAGGAGCACUUUUUCCAGAGGAGGUAACCAGAUAAAAUUGCAUGUAAUUGAAGUUCCUUCACCCCAACUUUUGUUCACUUACCCAGUAUUUCUUGUUAUUGAUUCAUAGAAACUCUGCAAAUGGCUGACUCAGCUUUUACUGGCUUUGGACUAUUUGCAUUCCAAUCGCGUCCUGCAUAGGGAUCUUAAGGUACAGUGUAAAGCAAUUAUCAGAUUGAAGGAAUAAUCAGUAGUUUGAAAGUUUAAACCAUUCUGACCUGAGGUUAAUUGACUCCAGUUAUCAAACAUAUUCCUGACAAAGGAGAAUAAUAUCCGUCUUGGUAAGGGGCCCAAAACUAGGGUGCUUUAUAACCAAUAGUUUCUAUUUGUAUCUGAUCAGAUUUGGUCAUAAAUGACUUAUGCAGGUGACUUUGGAUUGGCAAAACUGCUUGAUGAAGAAGGCCUGGCUUCCUCGGUACGAAUAUACUUUGUCCACCUGGACAUGAGUUCUUUUUAUUCUUCUGUACCAGCUUACUCUAUACCACCUUGAACAAGCGACACUCAGCUUGCCAUUAGGUUUCCCUUAUGCACGCAGACAGGCCCAUCCAACACAGAAACACACACACACACACACACACACAGAGCCUUGCUACCCAAGAAGUGGUAGAGAUGUUCCAGACUCUGUUUGUAAUCUAAUCACUUUCUUCAUAUUGCAACAAAUUAGCUAGGGUGUUGUUUGUUUACUGUAAUUACUUUUGGUUAUGUGGAAUCCUUGUUCUAAAAUGAGAUAGCCAAUUCAAAUGUUUGCCUCAACCUUUUACUGAGCUGGUGCUUGAAAACAGGUCGUUGGUACUCCAAACUACAUGUGCCCUGAGCUCCUCACUGAUAUACCUUAUGGCUACAAAUCUGAUAUAUGGUCACUUGGUGAGGAACAACGAUGAAAGAAUACAUCCUUUCAUAUAUUCAAUCGCGUAUCACUAUAAUUGACAUCAUUUUUCCAUUUCAGGUUGCUGUAUGUUUGAGAUUGCUGCUCAUCAAGCUGCAUUUAGAGCUCCUGUAAGUUUAAAUUUAUGUUCUUAGAUUAAAAUGACAUGUCAUGGAGAGCAAAGUAAUAAGCCACUAGUGAUGUACUCACUAGAACUGAAUCUAACAGGACAUGACUGGACUUAUUAACAAGAUCAACAGAUCUGCCAUUUCUCCGCUACCUAUAGUUUACUCCUCCACGCUGUAAGUAUUUCUUCCCCCAAAACAACCAAGUAGUUAUUCAUUUUUGACUCUAUCACUCAAGUAUUCUGUUCGGUAAACUCACGGGUCAAGUGUUGACUGUAACUUUACAGGAAACAGAUUAUCAAAACCAUGCUCAGGAAGAGUCCCGAACAUAGACCCACUGUAAGUUGAGUCACAUUGUCUCAAAAUGAUCAAAUUAUUGUAGUGAUUCAUUCCAAUAUCCCUAUAUCAUGAAUUCUAGGCUGCAGAAUUAUUAAGACAUCCCCAUUUGCAACCUUACCUCCUGCGGUGUCACAACCCACCACCUGUCUUUGUUCCUGUGAAGUCUCCGACUAACACCAAAGAGAAAGCUACAAAAUCCUCGCCCAGAAAAUCUAGUGGUGGUAAAAGUAGCGGGGACCGAGUGGUUAAAGUAAAAGAGAGGGGCCGAGUCCUGCCAUUUGAUGAGCAUACUGAUCUGCAGCCCAGAAAUGUGCUGGAGACUAAAAAGCCAGUUAAGGAAAAACUUGAGACUAAGCGAGUUGAUCCAACUAGCUAUUCUGCAAAGAUCUCCAAUGAUAUGGAUGAUUCAAAAAGUGGGGACACAACUUGCGAAACCAUUGUUUGCAAUGGUGAUUAUCAGGAGAAUUCCGACUCUUCAUCACAUAAAGAAAGCGUCAACACCGCAAACUCUUCUUGGUUACUAUCAAAUUCUCAGCCAGAAGAGCAAGAAAAGGCUGCUUCUGAGCAUAUUUUACAGUUUGAUGAGGGCGAGACGGAUUGUGUAAGAAUUGAAGAUUGGGAGACACUGGACAGUCAACAUGUCAACGAGGAACCUGUAAAUCGGUUAGAGGACCCUAUUUUCGAAAGCGGCGGUAGAUUGUCAGUAUCCAGUGCAACCCAUAGUGAUAAAGCUGCAUCUCUCGAUAAAGAGGAUAUUUUCACAGAAGAGACUGCACCAGGAUGUGUAGGAGAUGCAGAGAGAAGCUCUCAGACAGACAAAAUCGAAAAUGCCGGUGCAUGUGCAGGAGUUCCAUUUGACAAUGUAACAAGUGAGAGUAAUGACACAAAUCCUGCUAAGCCUGAGACAGAAAUUAAAGCAGAUACAAUUGAGCGUUUAAUGCAGCCCAAGAAAGAAAGCAAUGAUGUAAAGAGUAAGGUAUUAGAUGACAUUUUAUUGCUGAAGACACUAGCUGCAAAUGGUAGCGAUGAGAGCAAGAAUGAAUGGGAGAAUCCGAGCCGACAAAGAGCUGAUGCCUUGGAAUCCCUGCUGGAGCUAUGCGCACGGCUGCUUAAGCAAGACAAACUCGAUGAGCUUACUGGUGUUCUGAAACCAUUUGGUGAAGAUGCAGUCUCAUCCCGCGAAACAGCUAUAUGGUUGACAAAAAGCCUCAUGAAUGCACAAAAAUUAGCUAAAGGAUCCUGAUCCUUUUUUUUUUUUUUCUGUUUUAAUGACAGUUGGAGAUUUUAGAUUUUUUAAGCUUCUAGUAAGUUGCUGUAAAAAGAGUGGUGCAUUUGCUGAGUUGCUAACAUAGACUGUUGUGUUUCUUGAAGAGUCUUGUUCCAACUUCGAUGAAGUUCUUGAGGAUUGCAUUUGAAGACAACUUGUUUAGCGGAUUUUUUUUUUCUGUUUCUUGUGGAUGACUUUUUGGAUUGAGGACCUUCAGCAUUUUUGUCAAUGAGCUUCACUUUCAAAACUACUAUUGUACUUAAAAAGUUCAUUGGUAUGCAGUUUGUGUUGUUUUUUUGGGCUUCUAGACAAAUUAAAUUCUCAUGGUAUUGUUUAUCAUUGCUAAAAAUGUUGCAACUCUGGUUCAUUGAUUUGUUAUUCACACGGCACCUCUACUUCUAUUGUAGUGAUUGAACCGGUUUCCAGUUGCAUCUUGGAAGUCCUUGCGACAGAAGGGAACGGCAAAAAAUAAGAUAAGAUAAGAUGUGAAGUUUGACCCGAAAUUUAUGACUAGAAGUGAUUAGGGGGUUUUAAUGGACAAAAUUUUCUUCACCACUUAUUGAUUAAUUGUGGACUUUAAUUUCCGGUUCUUACACGGCUCAAUUAGUCCAUUUUCAACAUAAAAUCAUCAAGUCUAUAGUCUUGGCAUUUCUGGUAUUGUUGAAAGCGACAAGCACUUGUAUGAAGUUCCAUUUAUCUGUUCGCUUGUUUUUUCUUUGAGAAGAUGUUACUUGAAAAGUCAGACAAACAUUCAAGAUUGAGUUAUUUUGGUAAUCAAUUCUUAAUUUGACUCCAACAAUCUUUUUAACUUUAUUAACCAAUUUCUCCUAGGUAAGUUGGCUAUAAAAAACAAUCUAAAAUCUCUAUUUGGAUUGUUGGUCAAAGGUUCAAAUCUCGCACCUUACAAUUAAAAAUCUCUAUUUAGAUUGUAGGUCAAGAGUUGUCGGUCAUGAGUGUUAUUUGAAAAAUCAAUAACACAUUAUUUGACAAAUAUUCAAGAUUGAGCUAUUUUGGUGAUCGAUUCUUAAUUUGACUCCAACAAUCUUUUGAACUUUAUGAACCAACUUGUCCUAGAUAAGUUGGCUAUAAAAAACAGUCUAAAAUCUCUAUUUCGAUUGUAGGUCAGGGAUUCAAACCACUUCACCAUGAAGUUAAAACAAAAUGUAAAGAGUGUACCAAAGCAUUCCUUUGCUCUAGAUAAACAUUUCUUCGUUCUAAUUCCUUAGACAACCCAGUUGGAUUCCCUCUUCCCUCCUAGUAUAGCUGUUGUUGAUUGACUAAAAAUAAACAUUUCUUCGCUCUAACCCCUUAGACCACCCAGUUGGAUUCUCCCUAGCUUUCCUUUGAUCUGCAUAAACAUUUCUUCCUUCUAACUCUUUACAUAACCCAAUUGGAUUUCCCUUCCUCUGAUAAUAUUAGGUAUUGUUGAUUGACUGAAAAAAGGCAAAAAAAUGCAUAAAAAGUGAAACAAAAAAAAAAGCAAUAAAAAUUGUAUACAUUAAGGAAGCCCAAUAAGAUCAAUGGUAUGCCACCAGGGAAGAAAAUCAGUAGAAGCCCAAAAGGAACUUGCAAAGAGCCUGCAAAUAGAUACAAGAUCUCGGCCCAAUUGGGGGAGAAACAACCUUCACAGCAAAGCCAUUUUACUUAGUUAUACAGUGUGGAAGAAGCUUUACAUACCAACUACUAUUGGAGUAAUUGGUCACCACAUGUUUUCGUGGGGUCGGAGUUCAAAGAUUCAGAUCUUGUCUUCCAUCACAUCACAUUGCUAGUAAGCUUUACAACAAUUAGGACUCUAGAAAAGGCCCAAGGAGGUGGGAGACACGCUGUAAACAUUUUGUUAGGCCCUUGGAGUAAACGGACUAGGGCUAGAUACACGCUAGGUGUUUUUUGUGCAUGAUUUGGUGUAUAUCAUAUAACUAUUUUGAACAUUUAAAUUUUAUUUAUAUACAUGAUACUAUAAUACAUCAGCUUAAUGUAUAAAAUAAUUUGGUAUACAAAUAAUGUACACAAAAUUUUGGAUGAAGUACUUGCUUCAAUCCCACAUGAAAUACUAUCUUACUUGAGUUGAUAUAACACAAUAAUGACUCUCAAUUGCACAAUAAUGUUCGUACAUUUAUUAAAAGAGGUAACCUAGACAUUAUAGGACAACAAUAUGAAAAAACAUAAUAAAAUUUGUUACUCCUUAAAAAUUGUUCCCAAUAAUUAGUCAUAUCUAUGGUGCAAUUACUUUGACAAUUACAAAAAGUCUUAUACCAAGAAUUGGAAUUGUUUAAAAAAUCCAGGCGGGUGGGUAGUGCACCCGUCUAGUCCGGUGAUGGUUCAGUCCUCUCCGAAUUAUCCCAAGAUCUCUUUAGACCCUCCCCCUCCCCAUAGUGUAGGAAGCUAUCGUAUCGACAAAAAAAAAAAAGAAUUGGAAUUGCUUUGAAAUCUUAAAUGUAACAUCCAAGCCGGUCACCUAAUUAGCAUUGCCUAAGUGUGGCAUUCACUAUUUAGCAUCUAAUUGUUACAGAGUGUCACAGAUUAAAAAAUAAAUAAAUAUGAUAAGACCUCUUUUUUCUAUUAUUAUUUACUCGUCUCUGUUUUUGUUUUUGGUUUAAUAAUCCCAAAUAGUCAGGUCAAUUAGGGAAAUGAUCAAAUGGUCUCCGCUUUGUGAAUGAACCGAAAUAGUAGUGACCGGUUAACGUCAAGAAACCCUAUUUUGAUCUGUUGUGACGCAGACUAAGAAACCUCCGAACCCAAUCUGGAUGUGCUUCUCAAAUUCGACGGCUAAGAUUACAUCUACAAAGACCAAACCAGCUGGCUGACUCCGAGGUCCUACCAACCUAGUAUUUUCGUCAAAUGCAAUGUCAAGUAUCAAGAAUUUUCAGUUUUUCAUUUUCACCCCCAAUUGCCAUAAAAGUUAAAGAGUCCUUUAGAUUGUAUUUUUGUAAAAAAAAAUAAUAUUGUAAUAUUUUUUAAGAUGUGAUGUAUAUGAAUAAACGGGUGAUUGAAAAAUAUUUUUAAAAAUUUUAAAUAUUAUUUUGCACAAAACUAGCAAUCCAACAGCUUGCAACUCGUUAAAAAAAAAAAAGAAGGAAAAAAAAAUGCUCCCAAGCCCCAUAUAGAUGAAAUUUUCUAUCAUCAGACACCACGUCAGAGCUAAGAAGAAGUAAUAGAAUAAGAGUAACACACCUAGCAUUUCCCAAAAUUUCCAAACAAGUGUUUAGAAACCAGAACUAAUUAGGAGGCUACCAAAAUAAUUAAUUAAAUUCUAACUAGUCACUAAUAAUGAACUUCUGGUACUUGACAUGUACCAUGCAGCUUGUGUGUGAUAUUUCUUUUGCCAAAUGAAAUGAGCCAUUUUGGUGACAUGUCCCCCUCCAUUUUUCUUGAUCCCACCACAUAACUUGAAGAAAAAGGCAAGAAACAAGUACACUUAAUUACUGAUUCAUGUUUGUACUUGACAAACUACAUUAAUUAUUAAUUAAUACGUGAACCCCCCAAAACAGGCCCCUAUAAAUUCAGACUAUUCCUCAAUGCUUCCUUGCACCAUACAAAUCAAAACGAUACUGCCUCUCUCGAUUCUUGAUCCUUGAUUUUUUCUCUUUUUUUUUUUUGGUUUUUUUGGGUUCAGUACUGGAUUAACUUACCUUCUUCAAGGCCUCCAAUCCAAACAACGUAUUCUACCCCAUAAAAAAUGGCACAUUUUGGUGCCUCUCCAACCUGUGUCAUGAUUGGAAUACUUUUCUUAUCACUAACUGCGGCAGCCCAAGAAGUCGCAUCUGCACCUAAGCCUGCCAUGGACGCAGGAAACGGGGACUCAGUCACGUUUUCAGCAGCAGUUUUUUGUCCCCUAUUGAUGGUGUCCUUGUUUGGCGCUCUGUUUCAUUGAUUUGUAGGGAUUUCUGUGAAGCAAGAAACGUUUUCAUACCACGUACUUGGACCUGGUUGAGGCCUUGAUCUUAUACUAUAUUGCUGUUCUGGGCUGUUGUUCAGGAUUUCUGCUACUAUUCUUGCGCUGUAAUAAUAGAGGAAUAUAUGAGUUGAUAUUUGGCUUGCGAUUUUCUACUAUGGAUUACAAUAACUGAUUACACCCAUGUAUUCAUCUUCUGGAAUACAAUCCUUUCAUUGCUUUCUUUAUAUUGAUGGCUGAGUCUAGUCCGGUCCCAUAUCAUUGAAAACUUCUAUUCUUAGCUUUGGAACAAGUUUACAUGUUCAGCUAUCGUAUGCACUUUGAUAUUUUUUUUUUCCACCUUUCCUAGUGUAAAUUCUUUUUCCAUUUUUUUUCCAAAUAAGCAAAAAUAAUAGAUCUGAGUGUGUUUGGAUAUGUCAUCAGUUGAAAAAAAAAAUGUGUGCUUAUAUCACAAACACGAUCUAUGAUCGCCUUUCUGUUUUACAUACGUCACGUCACAGAAAGUGUUAAAUUUCAUUUUUUAUUGGGGUUUUUUUUUUUUUGGCCAUUUAGCUAACCAUAAUGUAGGAGAAGGAAGAUGAAUUUUAUGGUUGGACAAUUUAUUGCAUACUCAUUGAAAGUUGGAUUCAAAACUUUUGGAAUCAACAGCACUUCCAAGGAGCGUGCAAAAAAAUUGUCCAAUCAGGUACCUAAUUUAUGCAUUAGUAUACUAAGCCAAACACCAACAUUCCAAAGCCAAUUAUUAAAUAUGGGCCCUAAAAUUAACUUCAUCAAUAAAAGAGAGGAAAAUAGAAUAUAAUUAUAAAGUGAGACAUCUUCCUCUUUAUCUUUUAUCAUUUGAUUCGCUCAGUCGUAUUUUAUAUGUUUAUCUUUUAUCACUUGAUUCGCUUAGUCGUAAUUUAUAUGUUUUUCGUGAUUUGUAUAAUGAUCAUAGUUAAUAAUAAUCGCUUGGGUUGUAAAAAUUUCUUGACGGAGGAUUGCAACUUUCAUGGUACCAAAGCCCAAACGCAAAAUGAAGUUUUCAUGUCUUUCCCAAACAGACCAGCAAUGGGCAUGGACUAGACGAAGACCACAGACUGAUAUAGCUUAAGUUGUUUACUUUAACACCCAAUUCGUUUUCUUUAUUGGGCCUAGUGGUUUAUUAAUUAGAAAAAGGAAACAAAAAAGACCAAUCUUGGUUUAUAAUCACAACUAAAUUAAGUGAACAAUACUAAAUCGAAAAAACACAAAAUUUGUACCGCUUACCAUGAAAAACUCAGAAUUCAUUGAUUCUCAUCCACUGAUAAAACUCAAGUAAAUGCAGCGUAGGUAAAAUUGCUCGUCAAUCCACGUAAAAUUUGUUUUAAAAUAUAACGUGAUUUUUUUUUUUUUUAAACUCUUAGGCCCCAUUUGGAGCGCUGGAAAAUUGAGACGUUUUCCGUGAUCACAUUUUCCUAUCACCUUUUUUUCUCACAUACAUCAAAUCGCUACAGUAAUUUUUUUAUAAAAAAAUCAAGAAAAUACAAUCCAAAUGGGGCCUUAAUUUACAGUCAGACGCCAACUUCUCUAAAGCGAGCUGGUUAUUUCCACGUGGUAGUAAUUAAAUGCGUAAUUGGUGAUGUAAAGUACUCAAGAAGGAAAGUAGUACUAGAUCACUAGUAUGAGGUCAAGGUCAUGGUCAAGAACCUUGUUAUCAUUUGGUAUGAAGCAGACUAAGAAACCUCCGUACCCCACGGAUUUCUCAUAAUCAACGGCUAUAGUUGCCAGCCGCGGUAAGCAACCAGCUGGCUGACCCUGAGUUCCUACCUCCAUUAUUAUUAUUUUUUUUUAAAGGAAAAGCUCCUACCUUCCUUGAUUGAAGCAAUUAAAGAUCCCCGCUUCAUUGAAAUGUCAACCAUUCGCAUAGCCAACUACAAAUGUUGGACCACGCAACAUUCGGAUGAAAUUAUUGUACACUUAUUCGAUUGUAAUACUCUUUGUGUAGUAUAGUGUACAUCUAUAUAAUUUUAUUGGUCCCUUCGAGGACAUCCGAUAUAUAAUUUUAUUGUGCUUAUAAAUUUUAUUCAUGUAUUCUGACUUAGAACAUGUUUGGAUUGUUAUUUUUGAAAUUUUUAUUAAAAAAAAAUAUUGUAACCAUUUGAUGUAUAUAAAGUAAAAAGAUGAUUAAAAAAAUAUGUUAAUGAAAAAUAUAAAAAAUUAUAAUCCAAACAAGGCCUUAAUAUAUAAAUACCGUUGCGCCUCAUGUAUACCAAAUUGUUAAAAACACUUAUAUAAUUGUCAAAAUUUAGACAAGUUAAAAUCGGAAAAUUAAUUAAACGCAAUUGAAAAUUAAUUAAUUUUACUUUUUCGAACACGUAACACAUGAGUUUCACUUAACCAGUGACUACAGCUGCUGUGCUGCGUAUUUCUUCUUGCAACUCCUUUUUUUUUUUUAAAUUUUAUAAAUUCUGUUGCAGGCAUAACUCAUAAGUAAAGAUGCUCGACAAAUUCCAUUUUUGUCUUCGAAUCGGGAGUUACCAUCAAUAAGUAUUCUAUUUUUCACACAGAAUGCCAAAUGGAUGCAAAAAUGCACAGAGAGAAAUAAACAAAAUGACAAAUGUAAAGAGUGAAUGGAUAGAUUUGAAUCUCCCUGUCUAAUUUGGGUGCGUCGCAGGGGGUCGUCGCAGGGCGUAUCACUCAGUUUGGUGUGUCAACUCGGAUUCUAAGUGACUCGGGUCGGAGUAUGUUUCGAGUCAUUUAAAUAAAAAAAAAAAAAAGAAGAAUGAACAGAUAUCCGAGUAGGUCGCCCGGCCCAUCGAUAAGGUCUUAAUCAACAUUUUCGUUCUGUUUUCCUGAGGGGAUACGUCAAGAUGUCGACUCUCUAUCCGUCUACACGGGUGGUUCUUGAUUAUGAAUGUGACAAGUGGAAGAUAGCAGAGCUACCAAUUGACUGCGCUUGUCCCAUUUAGUUGCCUACAUGAUUUCCAUAGAAAAACUGCAUCUUCUUCAGUUUUAAUUUCACCAAAGUCCUCAAAAACGGCUGGCUGGCUGCAAUAAUAUCCUAACCAACACCUUGUUUGGUGGAAAUUGGAAUGUUAGCCCUACUUCUCUCUGUUCUUUUGUUCAAGGGUGCAUCAAAUAGUACCCUCGUUUAAAUUAAACUAACAUGCAAGUCUUUUACAAUCAUUUGAGCAAGUUUUUACUUUGCAUAAAGAAUUGACCUGCUUUUUGAGUCAAUUCCCCGUCUUGUCGCAUUAAGUUGGUUUACAUCUUUUUCAAGUGAAGAAAAACAUUUUAAAGUAUUUUAUUGCUCCAAGUCUUCAAAACCGGCUGGCAGAAAUGGAUGCCUCAACUUCAUAGCUUUGUCUUCUUUCUUGACUACUUUUCUUCUUGUCCUUGCACUAUAUGAGGAAUGAAGCAGGAGAGAGUUAACUUGUCUAAAAGAUUGUGGAACCACUUGUCGAACUUGUUUCAUACGACAAAAUUUUCAUAUGAAGAUGUAGUGAUACUUUGCUUUGUCUUCGGCAUUUGGAAAUUUACUUGUGCCUAUAAUAAUCAACACGACACUUGGUUGUUGUGCUUCACCAAAGCUUUACUCAUCUAAACUAAUUCCACCGGUGACAUUUGGAGGGUUUUUAAUCAUCUUCAAUGCAGAAAAACUUUAAAGUCACGUUUGAAUAUUUUUUAUAAGUACCGAUGAAUUGAAUUGGUCUGAGCUGUGAAUGAGUAUCUAAUUUGUGCUUGCAAAAACACAAAAGAGGAGAAAAGUUUCAUGCCAAUGUACGUUAGCUCAAUUGAUAUGAAAAGAAAAGUCAUAUCCUUUAACGAAGGUCAAGUAUUUGAACUAAAGUUACUUCUUAAAGAUUGCAUCCACAUACAUGAUAUAACAUGUAAACACUUUCAUGGGCUACCCAUGAUCCUAAAAGCUGCUGAAAGAAAGGAACUCUUCCGCUUUGAAAAAACUCUCGUAAUUUCUCUUUUCGAUUAUAAUUGAUGUAAUCAAGUUUAAAUAAUAAAAUAAACUAUAAUUUUGGAUCCUCAGUUGCACAUUUUCAUAUUACAUUAUAUUACGCAACUUCUUAAACUAAUAAGUGUUAUAUUAAUUGAGAUAUUUUAAAACUUGAAUUCUUAUCCAUUAUUGUACGGGACGCAUGGCAUUUAGGAUCCUAUGUUACACAUUUUCAUGUUACAUUAUGUUACGCAACAUCUUCCAUGUUACCCGACUUUUUAAAUUAAAAAUUAUUCAUUAUUGCAAGAGAUACGUGGCAAUCAGAUAGAUAGUGUAAUAGGAAAAGUGCGUUGCUUGGAUUGUGAUUUUUUUGUAAAAAUUUUUUUACGUUUUUUAUAAAUAUAUUUUUAAUCACUUUUUACCUUAUAUAUGCAUAAAAUUGUUAUAAAAAUUUCUAAAAAUAGCAAUACAAAUGAGAACGUAAGUAUUACAGACCAUCAAAAUGUAUGUUUGCUUGUUUGUUUGUCUUGGAGCGUUCAGCAGACACGUGAAGUGUCCCAAGAAGAAGUAGUGGUUUUUGUGAUAUGGGGCAGCGAUGAAGAUACGCAAGGAGGCCAGCUUCCAUAGUCCAUACAACGCCGUCACCGACAAAUGCAACAAACAAUAAUCGGUUCCCCCGUUUUCACAUUAGAAUUUUGAGCUGUCUGUUCGGCGACCCCAUUAAUCUUCUGUGGCCAGCAUGCAAUAGCCCAAAAGCCGAAGCCAGUAAUUGACAAUUUCGCCCCCAAGACUCCCCCUAUAAAUACACCACUCUUCUACCAUCAUAAUCCCUCACAAAAGUCACCCACAACAUAAUACUACCAGUAAUCUGUGAGCUCUAAAAUCCUGCUUCCAAGAUGGCCCAAGUUAGCAUUGCCAAGACAUUUUUGGUGGCCAUGGUUUUGGCAAUAUUCUCCACAGCCUCAGCCCAAGAGUCUUUGUCACCGGCACCGGCGCCUAACACCGGAGCAGCCUUCUCCUUGCCGGUUGCAACCACCAUGGUCGUUGCCUCCAUCGUUCUCUCCCUUUCUGCUGCUCUCUUGAGGCACUGAACUUUUCUUUUUCUUUUUCUUUUUUUUAUUGUGGGUGUGGGUUGGGGGGAGGAGUUUUGCUGUUAUAUAGUUAGCGGGGCAUUACAGGAUUUAUUUGUAUCACUUGUGGUUGUAGUGAUGAGUUCCAUUCUUUUGGCCCUUUGUCAGCUUUAAUAAAUAAAGGAGUUCUUAUAUAGCUUUUUUGUGUGCUAGUUUGUGUGAUGAUUUGCUUGAAUUGGGAUUAUGAAUAUGGUUAGUGUUGUACUUCAAUGAACCGAAAAGAAAAUACAGCUAAUAUGACAUUCUAAUGCUGUGAAAUUUCAUCUCGUGUCUUUAUUUUUUUGUCAUACUUUUAAUCGACUCACAGACCAUGAAAUCAGAACCUUCUACUUCAAAAAAAAAAAAGGGAAAAAGCAUCAAAAAGCGAAACGAAGUUGUAGUGGGAAUGUUUUAAGUGUCACUUUUUGCCUGCGCCUCCAAGUUUUAGUGGUCUCUGCUCGCUGUCAAAAAGAUCAAUUUGAUGUAUAGUUUGUUGGUAAUGCAUCAAUCAAUCAAGAAAUGUUCUUCCUGUUUUUCCUGUAGCAAAUAAUGAAAAGCCUUUUUUUUUUUUUUUAGCUGCAUAUGUAAACCCCAUAAUCCUCGCAUAUCACACCAACAGAGUAUUUGGAGCCCACUUUUCCAUUUUCCUUUACACACACAUAUAAUUCUAACUUCUUCAAAAAUUAGGCUCCACCACAAUAUGUUAGCAAGAUACAGUAUAUAAUAAAGAUGCAAAAGCUGAACCAAAUGACGUUAACAUCCUUCCUACUAAUUUGGGUUUGAACCCCUUUUGGUACAUCCGUCCGUCACACAGAGUUUAUCUAUAUGACUGAUUAUUAUAUGGAACGGAAUUUAUCUAAUGCGUACUCUCAAGUAACGACGGUUGAUUCCCUUAUUUUAAAAAAAAUGACAUUUACAUUUAUGCAUUUCAAAGGUCCACUUUUACUAUCCAAGUUUAUAUACAUGAACAAAACCGCAAGACUAAGUCGACUUCCAAGUUAAAUGACAUUUUAAUGUAUAAUGGUCAUCACAUUAUUGCUGCGAAUGACUAUCCAACUGGCCACCCACUGAUGAAUGUAACUUUUCUUUGUAAAGCACUAUGCUCUGUUUGGUGACCGCCUUUUUUUCCGUCCCCACCUUUUCUAUUUCGAACUUUUUAGUUGCACCUUAGUUGGAGUACAAAUAUGUACGUUUUGACAACGAGUGCACCUACAGUACACAAAAUUUGAAUUUGUUUCAAAGUGCUAAAGUGCAAACGACCGUUUACAACGGAACACUUACUGAAAAAAAGAAGUCUUUUAUUUGACAGUAAGGAAAAAAAAUAAAAGAAAGUGAAUUUCCUGUUUUAGUUGUUUGAAUAGCGAUUUUAGUUAUAGGACCUAAUCAGUUCUCAACUGAUUUUCGCUUUUGAUUCUAGAGUAGUAUUUGUUAUGUGAUGUUCAUAAUUCUUUUCAGGGUAUAAUUUUUUUGACAUUUUAAAAAUCAGAUUUUAUAACAAUCAGAAUCAUUUGAGAACAUGUCCAUAAUAAUUGAUGUUGAUAGUAUUUUGUUACUUUUUUUUCCUUUUUUCUUUGAAGACAUAUUUUAACAAAUAACUGGUAUGACAAAUCCAACACCAGCUACGGACCUAUACCUAUUUCCGUCAAAAUUUCUAAAAUCACUGUGGAAAAGUCAUUAUUGAAAGAAAAGGUAAAAAUAAGUGAAAGUAUAUAUACUUAACUGUUAAAUCCAGAAUUCGAACUCUAAAUCUGAUAGUAAAAAGAAAUGUUAAGAGCUCUCCCUUGAUCACUGGAUUUUAAAAAUAUAACUUAGGUUGUGUUUGGAUUGCAUUUUCCGUCAUUUUUCAUGGAAAAAUUACUGUAGCGAUUUGAUAUAUGUGAGGGAAAAAGGUGAUAUGAAAAUGUGAUCACGGAAAACGAUAAUAUUUUCCGACGGAAACAAGCAAUCCAAGCAAGGCCUUAAUUUGUCAUUUCGUUUUGAUAAAUUGAAUCUUUCACAUCAAUAUAACCACUGUAAAAAUAAAAUGGAAUUCACUUCUCCAGAAAUCUCCGUGCAAUGAACAUAGCUAGUCAGUCACAUUCAUAUGAUUCGUGCCAGCCAUGUUUAUUCAUUUUUAAACUUGAUUUGUUUGACAUGAAUAAUCAGCAUUUGGAGGGUAAUCAUUAUUGUUCUUUCAUUACUUUAAUGAAAUUAUUUCAACCACCAAUAAUAAAUAGUUAAUUACUAGGUAGUACUAUAUAUUUUUCCAUCAUAUUACAGCGACAUUUUCCUAUUCCUAAAUCCAAAGAAGCAAGAAAAAUGUCUUAUUUACACUCCUAUUUUAAUUAAUCACACUUUUACUAUCAUUUCAAUCAUAUAAUUUUUUUAUUAAAUUAUACGAUAAAACAAAUAAAUGUGUGCAUAACAAAAAAAAAUGAAGUGUAAAUAGUAAUAAUAUUUUCUAAAAGCAAAAGAAAAAUCGACAUACCAAAAGAAGAAAAGGGUCCAUGUUUGAAAAAAAAAAAAAAAAAAAAAAGGGUCCACCUCAAUGAACUCACAGAAAUCAACGCGUCAAACUCCCAUAGGACUCCUUCUGACCACACUUCUCUUUCUUUCUCAAAAGCCUCACCCGACCGUCACGCCAGCUACUUCAACAUCACCCACGUUCUCACCAAGCCCAGCUGUCCCUUCCCUGCCCACCUAUAAAUAUCCCCCGCCCGUCACUUCGCUUUCGUCCGCCCCCAAAGGAAAACCCUUCUCUCUGAGCUUGAAGAAGAAAACUCAAAUCAGCAGCACACAACUUUUUGGUAACAACCAAAUGGCGCAAGUUAGCAUUGCGAAGGCUUUGGUGAUGAUGGUGGUCGUUUUGAUGGCCGUCGUGGCAGCAGCAUCAGCACAGGAGUCUCCCUCGCCGUCGCCUGAUGCCGGAGCAGGGUUUUCUUUGCCGGUUUCCGGUGCUAUGGUUGCGGUCUCUCUAGUGCUCUCCUCCGUGGCCUUGUUGAGGCAUUAUUGAGUUGAUCUUCUUAUUAUUUAUGUAUUAUUAUUUUCAUCCAUUCCCCAUGCUUGCGCUGGGGAAUUAUUAGAGGGGAAUUUGUUCUGUUUUGUAAUUUUUUGGAGUGAUUAUUUGUGAGUGUGGUUUGGUGGUCCCAUUGGAUUGUUUUUCCAUCAGAAUAUAAUAAAAUUCUUUUACUGCUUUACUUUUAGUGUAAUGGUUUAAUUUGCCAAAUUAAGUUUAAAUCUUUUGAGUCAUGGCCAAAAAAUAAAAAAAAAGGAAAAGUUAAAUAGCAAAAAUAGGACACUGUAAAUUCGUGGCUUUGGUUGUUCAAUAAAGUAUUCAAUGCUCGUUAGCUAUUUCAUUGGUUGUUUAAUAAAGUAUUCAACCUUCUUAGUAGUUCUUUACCUAAUUUCAUCUGGGAAGAUAUUUUUUUUUAAGUCCAUAAUUUGUUCAUCACAAAUUCACAAUAGCGACGACAAUCUACAAGUUAAAGAGAAAAGUGUUGGAUUGCCUGGUAAGAUAUGUCAUUGAGAUCUAGCUAAGAAGGCUUGAAAAAAAGCACUCAGUUGGAUUACAUGGGGAAAAAAUUUCUCAAUUUCUGUGGAAAUAUGAUCAGCAGUAUAAACUUCAGAUUUACAACAGCCUUUGUAAGAUUCACACAUAACACGUCUAUCAUCAUGUAUGAUGCCCCAUGUCUUCAAUCUAGCAAAGUUAAAGAGGCAAAUCUAGGAAAACAGAGAGCCUUUGAACUAGACUGAGGGUGCGUUUGAUAAAAGUGAAAUUUGAAAUUUAAAUUCAUUAAAUUAUUGAAUUGUUAAGUAUUAAAUUUAAUACAUUUAAAUGCAUAUCACAAGUUUGGCUUAUCACUUAAUUUGGCUUAUAAGUGAAUAGUUUAUCACUUAAUUUUGAGAGUAAAUUUAGUUUAGAAAAUUCAUUGUUAUUUAAUUAAUUUAAAUGUUCAAUUUUUUAUUAUCAAACGAUUUGAAUAAAUUAAGAUCUGAAUCCAUUAAAUUUAAUGUUGAACUGAGUUAUCAAACAGGAUCUAAGCCCGGCAGAUUGUUCAAGUGUAUAAUUAGCAGAUUAAUGAGCACAUGACCAUUUCCGGCCAUAUUGAGUAGAAAAGUAUCUCGAGUAGCUCUAAUUUGGUCCACAAAUUUCUUCUCUUGCCUCAGGCCUUCUCCAAAUGUACGUGCAUUCUUGUUAGAAGCUGCUUAGGCCAGUAGAGAACUGCCAAAUUAAGCAUGGGGUUGAUUUAUUUAUUUGGGUCAAACGGACUAUAGAGGAUUGAUAGGUCUCUAAUUAACACCCUAAACCCCAAAGGAAUGCCAUAGGUCAUACAUACAUCACAUAUUGACAGCGUUACCAUAGCCAAUGGCAGAUUAAUCAAGAAUCAAGGGUGUAGAAUUCAAUCUCACUUGAACUCACAAAUAAAAAUCAUGUUUGACUAACAACUUUCAGUCAGAAAAAAAAAAGAAAAAAAUGCCAAAAGAGGCAUGGUUUAGAAAAUUAUAUGGUAAGCACAAAAACUCUUCCAUCUUUCCCAUCGUAUGCUUUAAGCAAGCAUAAAAAACAUCUCAAAAGAUUUGAACUGCGAAGGAGCGUGAGGGCAAUUGUAGGCACAUAUUAAAAGUUUGAAAUAAUUAAGAGAAGACAUGUAACGUGGAGGCCACUGAUGUACUUUCCGGAUACCGACCUUCUGGUCAAUUCAAAAGUACGGUUGGUAUGAAAUGUACAUCAACGUAAGUAAUUCAAUCGCGGUUUCGUGAAAUUGUUACUAAGUUUGCCUUGUUUGAAAAGAGAUUUUCUACCAAAAAUUUUUUUUUUAAUAUUUUUUAUGAACACAUUGUUUAAUCACUUUUUUAUCUUAUAUAUAUCAAAUUAUUAUAAUAUAUUUUCUAAAAAAAUUCAAAAAAUUACAAAGAUGACCAUUUCUCAUAUGAAAACGACACUACUAGAAAAACGUCCAAAGUUCCUUAAAAAAAAAAAAAGGAAAAACAUCCAAAUUGAGCAUUAAUCAUUUUGGGUACGAUAAAAUUUUGAAUUACCAGCAAGUUGUGGCUUUAUUGGAGAACUGGAACAAGAUUGUCCAGGCACCAUGUGGGGUCAAAUAUCAAGAGGUGCAUCUUAGAGAAAAUCCUAUUCAAAUAUAAACAAUUGAGUUUAGCUCAUGGAAAAAAAAAAAACAAAGUUGAUCAUGUUUAAAUAAAUAAAAUAAAAAAAAUAAAAUCCAACUCAAUCCCAACCAAUUCUUACAACUUUAUAAAAUCCAAACUGUCCACGAGUAGCUUUUUGAGAGAGCGAUAAUUCACAAUUCAAGUUAUUUUUUAAUUUUUUUAAAAUGAAAAGUUUUGAACUCAGGAUCUUUAAUUUAUAACAUCUCUCAUUUUACCAUCCAAUCCAAUCUUUUCCUGACAGUUCAUGCUUAGCUGUUUUUAUUUUUGUAAACGGAAACUGAAAUGCUUGUCAUUAUUAGCUAGACAAAAGCUGUGACAACAUAAUUUUUGUUAUACUCUAUAGUAAUUAAAGACUGUUCUAUAAAUUAAUGAGUUAAUCUCACCUUUAAAUAUGAUUUCCAACUCUUGACCCAUACCUCAUGAAUAAAAGAUUAGGUGAGAUUUUUUUUUUUUUUUUUUGUUGAUAAAAUCAUGAGGAAGCCAACGAUGGAGGAUGUAAUGGACAAUCUAACUCACAAAUACCGAGAAUUAUAUAUAACUCACUAGCACAAAUAAACCCACGAUUAGUGGGAAAAGAAAUUCACCUAUAGAGACGCUCGAAUUUAUAGAUUUCUAAUUCUUAAAACCUAACUUUAAGCUAUCAAAUCAAGGUCUCACAGGUAUAAGGUGCGUUAAUAUAGGUAGAAAAAUUUGCCUUGAAUUUUGGCUGUUAAUUUAAUACAAACAAUCCUACGUAUCGUCAAUUUAUGAUCUCAUAAUCAACGUUUGGCAUCUUUCCAGCCAAAAAUUACUACUUAGAUCCGUUUGGAUUGAUCAUUUUUUGAAAAAACAAGUUUUUUAUGUACAAUGUUACAGUAAUACAUAAUAAAAAAAUAAUCUCAAAAAUACCAAAAACAGUCUCAAAAAACAAUAUCGUCUACAGUAAAAUAUUUCAAAAACACCUUUAAAAACAAGUUUGGAUUGAAGUUUUUCACAAAAAAAUCCUUAAAGCUUUUCGUGACUAUAAAUUUCUAAACAACAUUUUAUCUCGCGUACGUUUUGAAUCAUUACAGUAUAUUUUUUUUUACUAAAAAUCAAGAAAAUGACAAUCCAAACAAGAGCAGACUGACGAAAUCCAGGAUUAUUCCCAAAUCCUCGAGAGCAACAGUUACAAAUUGCUAAAGAAAGAGCACCGCCAUUAGGACAAAAUGUAAGCCAAAAAUCGAUCAAUCACCAUAAAGGCAGGCAUCAACAAUCCAGCCGUUACGCCACGUAUCCCCUCUUCUCUUCUUCUUUUUCUUCUUUCUUUAACCACUUUACGAUUUCAAACGUUGGUUGAACGAACCUUCUCCCCCGGUAUGUCCCUCCAGCUGUCCCUAUUCCGCGUAACCCCUAGGCUAUCCCAAUUCCCACCCCAUCAAGAUCUCCCUAUAAAUACCUUGACAGCCCAUCAACAUUCCUAUUCCAUCACAGAACAGCACAAGAAUUUCUAAGGUCCCGUCCCCUACUUUUUCAUCCCCACAGCGUCUAUUUCUUUCUACUCUCGACUUCUGCUAUAUUCUUCUUCUUCCUAAAUGGCUUCUCAAGUUAGCUUCAUCAAGGCGUUGGUGUUCGCUGUUGUCAUGAUGUUGGCCGUAGCGGCGGCCUCCGCCCAAGAGUUGGGCCUCUCCCCGGCACCUUCACCGGAUGCCGGAGCUGCUUUCUCUUUGCCGGUGUCCACUGCUUUCAUUGCCAGCUCCCUGCUCUUCUCUGUUUUUGCUCUGUUGAGGCACUAAGAUUACAGGAUGCAAGGGGAGAGGUUUUUGGGAUGGCGAGCGUACUUAGUCCUUCUAUGGUACCAGCAUAGUUAUUAUGGACCUAUUCAAUUUUAUUAUUUUAUGUAAAAAUUUGAGAUUACUGAGUCUAUGAUCCUUGUAUCUGUUGAUACAUAUUGUAUUAUAUUUAUCCGUUGAUGAGAAAUAAAGUUUGCUAUUUAUUGUAUCACUCUGUUCUUCGUUUUUGCAAGACACAGAUAUUAGACCAAUUUGUUGUCAUCCAAAAAAAAAAGAGGAAAAAAGGGGCCAAAAGCCAAACAACAUGAAAGGGGUCUUUUAUCUUUUUUUUUUUUUUUUUUUAACAAAAUGAGAGGUCAUGCAAAACAAUUCUUGAAAUUGAUUUUUAAUAUUAAGUUCGAAUUUAUACCAUGUGGCACGACAAAGGAUAUAGAAAAAAAGAGUAUGGGAGAGCGGUUACACAAUAAAAUUUUGCAAUUCCCAAAAAUUGAUCUUUUGUGUUAAAGUGGCUGAAAAAUUCUAUGGCGGAUUAAUGGGCUAAAGAUCGGAAUAUGGAAAUAGAUCUGAUACCACUACGGACUACCUAUUUCAGUUGUUGUUACUCUCUAAAAUUACAUAUCCAUACAAGGGUUCGAGUUUCGAUUUAUAUUUGUAGAGUUUUUUAAAAUUUAUUUAAAGGAUUUUUUUUUCUCAAAAGGGAUAUUUUCUAAAAGUAACACGAAAAUAUGUCCACUUUUGACAUUUUCUAGCUAGACAAAAGGGUUUCAUGUUCAAGCAUUUCAAUUCGGUUUUGAUUGAUCGACACAUUACAAGGAUAACUUCUUUUAGCUUCCAAUAUAUGUCCUCAAAUAUAUAUGGCUCAUGAAAAAGGAAAACAAUAUAGGCACAAUGGAUGAGACGCGUACAUUUGUCAUAUUAGUUUGUCGUACCAAGAAAUUUUUUUUUUAAAAAAAAAAAAAGUUUGGCAUACCAAGAAAAGAGCGUUCAAAAAUUUCUUUAUUUGUCCUUUAUCGAUGUAAGAUGUAAAAACUUUUAUGCUUAACUCGAAAUUUGUGAAGGUAUUCGAAAUCCCUCCUCCCAAAAAAACAAAACGAAAAAACACUCGUCAAUUUUUGAAAAGAUUCAUCUGAUUGGAGCAAAAAAUCCCGGAUUAACAACAAAAAUUCCGAGAAAUUAAUAGCAACAAAAUCCCGAAUUGCGACUCCUUGUUUGCAACGUUACGAUGUUGCCAUAAAGAACGAUGAUGAGGGACAAAUGGUACGUCCAAAUCAAUCAGUCCAACAAAUGAAGCCGUUACGUACGCCUUCUUCCUUUAGCCACACAACAAAAUUCAAACGUCGGUGGUGAACCACCUUUGCCGUCUUCAUCCUCUCUCGCUCCCACCACCUGUCGACCUUCCCCCCUCUAUAUAAAUGCCACAACCAUUCCACCUCUAUUCAAUCGCAAAAACAACUUCGAAUCAACCAAUUUACACACCCUUUCCUCUCUUUCUUCAAGAUCCUUAACACCAUUCACACCCUCUCCUCUCAUUUUACAAAUGGCUUCUCUGCAGGGUAGCAUGAUCAAGGCCAUGGCAUUGGCAAUUGUGAUGUUGGCCGUUGCAGCCGCCUCAGCCCAAGACCUGUCCCCGGCGCCGUCUCCCAGUGAAGGCAAUGCAGCAUUUUCUCUGCCGGUCUCCACCGCCUUGAUCGCGAGCUCUGUGCUCCUCUCUGUCUUCGCCCUACUGAGACAUUGAGUAUCGAGAAGCAAAGAGCAAAUUGUUUGAACAUGGAGGAGAGAAAGAGGGUUUUGUUUUGGAUUUUAUUACCAGAUUUUUUGUAUUACAUGUUAUUGAAACGUACUGAGAAAUAAAAAUUCUGAUUACUUUAUUAUCAUGCUUACAAUCUCUUUUCAGGCUUAAUGGGUGUUUUACCUUUUUUUUUUUUUUUUUUUUGUGCCUUUUAUACGAUGAAGGAGUAGUUAUAAGUUCAGCAUAAAUUCGAAGAAAAAGAUUCCAUUAUUAGUUCCAAUAUGUAUAUAUUGUUUCUUGUAAUUCUCCAAAUAUGCACAUAUUCAAUAUAGAGUUUCUCUUUAAUAUUUAAGAUCAUACGAUAUCAAUUACUAGAGGAACAUGCAAUUCCUAUUGUCAUUUUGCGUUAUCUCAUUUAAUUUAAGUAAUUAUAUGAAAUCUAUGCUUACACAUCAAAAAGGAAAAUAGACAAAAAAAAGCCACUGAAGAACAAGUUCUUGAGGCUUUAAAAAAUAGGUUAUUGAUUUCUGUCACAAGAAAUUCAUGAAAUGCUUGAUCUUUGAAUUUCUUUCUGUGCAUUUUUUUUCUUAAGAAAAGAGAUAAUUUGAAAACAAUAAAAAUAAAAAUUAGUUAACGUUAUCUCAUUUAAUUUAAGUAAUUAUAUGAAAUCUAUGCUUACACAUCAAAAAGGAAAAUAGAAAAAAAAAAAGCCACUGAAGAACAAGUUCUUGAGGCUUUAAAAAAUAGGUUAUUGAUUUCUGUCACAAGAAAUUCAUGAAAUGCUUGAUCUUUGAAUUGCUUUCUAUGUAUUUUUUUUCUUAAGGAAAGAGAUAACUUGAAAAGAAAAAAAUAAAAAUAAAAAUUAGUUAACGUUAUUCUCUAAAGUCCAAAUUCCAGACAUACUAAAAAAUAAUAUGCAAGUAAAUUGAUCUCAAUAAAAUAAAUUCAACCAAAAAGGGAUGAAAUAAAUAUUAAACUUAAUAUUUUUCGUGAUUGUUCAAACGUAGGAAAUUCACUGGGCAUUUCUUUAAUAGAAAAUCUAUGUGCUGAUGGCUUCUUUAAAGUAUAAGUGUAUCAUUUUUUUUUUCGAGAUAUAAUGCCUGUGAAAUAAAAACAAGUUUUUUUAGAAAAAGGAAAAAUAUAAUUGAAAACAAUAAUGUUUAGGGAAUAGAGUAAAUUAUUAUUAUAUAUCAUUUUACAAAAACAAAAAAAAAAAACCUAUUCAAACUGCCAUUUGUCCAUUUACACAGCUAAUUCUUCCCUUGCAGUUACUUAAUCAAUUUGUUUACUACUUGUCCUAUUUUCGUGGACCAUGGAGCAAAUAGGUGUUGAAUCUGUCCAAGAAUCGGCAUUCUGAAUUUUACAAUUGAAUACUCUUUCUUUCACAUAUGGCUGCAGUGUUUGGUGUAUACGUGAAAGCACACAGGCCAGCAUGAUGUUAAAAUGGGCAGGCCAAGUCCAGGCGACCUUGUAAAUUCCACCUGUACCUGCUCAAGAAAGCAUACCGCACCGCCCCACGUUUGGUAUGUGGUGGAUCCCCAAUUCUAUACAACAACCAUUCUUGAUGGUAUACAAGUUGUGAAUUAGAAUUAGAAUGCAAGGCAACUGUAUUUUAUCCUCCUUUCAUCUGUAAUUGAUCAUAUAUAGAGCUAGGAAGCUAGAUUUUCAAUGAAUAUCUUGAACCAGGUCUAAACUAGAUUUCAAAGACCAAAAAUGAGCAUUUAUAGACGUACAAAGAAGUCGUCUUGAAGCGAUUGUGACUAUGCGUUUAGGUCCUAUUUGAUAAUUCAAUUCAGUGCUUCAAUUUAAUGAAUUCAGAUUUUAAUAUGUUCAGCUGCAUUUGAUAAUUAAAAAUAGAAUAUUUAAAUUAUUUAAGUAGUAUUAAAUUUUUUAGGCAAAAUUUGAUCCUAAAAGUAAGUGAUAAGUAGUUAUUUACUUAUCACUUAACGUAAUAUAUACUUAAAUGUAUCAAAUUUAGUACUUAACUAUACAAUAAUUUAAUGAUUUCAAAUUUCAGUUUUCGAAUUUCAAUUUUAUUAAAUACACCCUAAAAGUUGGUAAGAUAACAUGAGACUAGUCCGGGACUAGCUAUAACUUUCCUACUAUUUCACCCUUCAUUUGCUCAUGGACAGCCCUUGAUGCAAUAAUGCUUCCAUUUUAAUUAUUGCAACGAUCCCAUGAGCUGAUCUGCCGAUAUUCAACAGCUGCUGCAUAUUGCUUUAAUUAUGAAGUCAACUUUCAGCUGGAUUGCCCUGUAAAAAUUGUGCUCAAUUUGUUCCUUUUCUUCCUUUUGCCAACUUUAUCAAACUCGUCUCCCACUCUUUCAUUAUUGACAUAGAACUUUACCAUAGUAUGUCGAUCUUCGGAGCUAUGUGUUGCAUUGUAACUUCUUAUCUUAUUAUAUAGGACAAGUGCGGUAAGCUGGUUAAUAAAGUACUACUAUCAAAAUUUCUACAGCAACAAUAUAUACGAGCUCGAAUUUGAUCUCAAAAUUUUGCAUGCAAAACAUGCAUUCCAUCUAAACCCGUUAGCGUAAAUCUUACGAUCAAAAAAGAUUAAUUCUUUAAUCUACUCUCUAACAUUCUACCGAUGCAAAAGAUGAUGCUUAAUACUAUGGAGUGCAAAUGAUUAUGCUUAAUGAUGUGAUUGGACAGGGUGAAAAAUCAUUGUCCAUUUUUAACCUCGUUGGCAGAAACAUGGAUCAUUAUGAAAGUGAAUCGAAUUCUGGACCCCCAAUCCUGGACUUCCAACGUUACAAUGUGUGAAAGAGUACGAUACCUGGGGACAAAAAGGAAAUAAUCAGUCACCCGCAAAUCCAGCUGUUACGCCGCCUUAAUUAGCUAUUCUUCUGGUUCUUUAAAAGUCUAAAUUAGCCGCUUUUAAUAUUCAGACGUUGGAGAACGAACGAACGUUCUGGUUCCACCAGCUGUUUGUCAUUGCGCGUUAAGUUCAAUCUACACGUCAAAAUCUCCCUAUAAAUGCCACCACGUCUUGACUCCCAUUCCAUCACAGAACAGCAAACUUCUAUAUUUCUAUUGCUGCUUACUACAGCUUCGACUUUUGCUAAAAAGAAGUAAAAGACAUCUUCAAGAAAAUGGCUCAAGUUAGUAUGAUCAAGGCUUUGGUGUUGACAGUCGUCAUGUCGGCCAUUACUGCCGCCUCGGCUGAAGAGGUAAGCCUGGCCCCGGCACCGUCUCCUGAUGCCGGAGCCGGGUUUUCUUUGCCAGUGUCCACCGCUUUGAUCGCCGCGUCUCUGCUCUCGUCAGUUUUUGGUCUGAUGAGGAAUUGAGGUUUUCCUCAUGGACCAGCUCGUAUACAUUUACCAUUGAUUAUGGACAUAUUCUUUUUGUUAAUUAUAUGCAGGAAUUUGACACCUGAAUUCGUGAUUCUUUCAUCCCUGUAUUUGUGUAUCACUACAUUUAUUAAAAGAUAGUGAGGAAUAAAAAUCUCUAUUUUGUUAUCAUCAUGCUUUUGUUCGUGUAAGAUUUGCAUGCAAAUUGAAUUAUAUUUUGUUCUGUCUUAUCUUUAUAUCUUUUACUUUUUCAAUCCGAUAGCGUGUCGCCUAAAAAGCAAGACUAAUGGCCUCAAAAGCCCCAUAUAUAUGUUCCUCUCAAAUCCAAACUUUUGAUCUUCUAUUCCUUGUUUUCCCCUUUUAAUUCACCUUGAAAAUGCCAUCGUUUCUGGAUGCAAAACUGUGGGGAGACUAUGAAAGAUUGCGUUUUUUUUUUUUUUUUUUUUUGGAAAGAAAAGAGCCAAAAUUUUAUUAAUCUGAGAUAAUGUCCGCAACAAAUGCGGUAAUAAUAAAAUCUGGAGGGGAGACUAUGAAACAUUGCCUUAGUCAAUAAGGAAUUGUAAAGUUUUUUUUUUUUUUCUUUCUUUGUAAAGGAAACCGAAUUAGAGUAUUUUAAAUAUUAGCACAUUCGAUGUUUAAUUACUAGAAUAGUUAUAGGUUUCCAACAAUGCGUUUAGGGCAGCAGCGACCUAUGAGCAGGGGAUAACUGAUUCAUACAUAGAUUUGUACUAACUAUAGUUAGAUAUUCAAUGUGAAUUGUUUUAUAUCCCUCCUAUUUAAAUUGUUGCUUUAGGUUUAUAAUAAUCUAAAUCAUGCUUGUGUUCAAACUAAAAUGGUUGAGAUUCUUUUUCUUUAUUAGUAUUCUUCUUACAUAAAGAGACAAUUUUUAGGACUUUGAAGAAUGAAACAUAUAUAUAUAUAACUGUGUGAAUUUUGACAAUUUCAAAAACGUCUAAAAUAAGAAACUUUACAAAAACUAAAAGGAAGAGAAUUCCACCUCUAGACUAAAAGGGUAUUAUACUACUGCAUAUCUUUCGAAUUUUAUGUACAGAGGUUUAGACGUCUGAAACCUGCAUUUUAUGCUUCACCUAGUUAGUGAUCAAUUCGCCUAAAGAAAGUUGGUUUGGAAAUUUAUCCUUGUUGGUAAAUAGGAAAUUGAACCAUCAAUCUCUCGUCAGUAUUCCCUGCAGAUAACAUCGUCUCUAAAUUUGGCCAUUUGUCCCUCAGAAUGCUACCUUUAACCUUUCACCUUUCUAACAUCUUCCUUCUUCCGUUCUGCUCCCAUCCAUGUGGAGAAUGGAGCAAUUAGUCGUUGAAUGAACCUGUUCAAAGAACUUUUGUCCACCACUUCAAUUCAGUCACUACAAUAUCCUUUAUUCCAUUCUAUGGAUUCAAUUGCCCCCUGGGUUAGAUCACCCGGUCUGCGGCUGGAAAACCACUCGCAAGGUCGUGGGAUCGAACCUCACCUAACGCCUGGGUGCGGUUGGGGUGGCGCUGUACUCCAGGCGCAGGGGAUUAGUCGGGCCGCCUUCGGGUCUUGACCCGGACACCCCUGUGUUGAAAAAAAAAAAAAAAAAAAAAAAAAAAAUUUUCUAUGGAUUCAAUUCUUUAUUUCAUCAUGCCUUAACCCGCAACCAAACCACCUGCCACUGUAAUGAGACUUCCAAGUUCCCAACUGCAGCUGAUAACAUGCUAAAAGCCUAAAACAUAAAAUACGGCGCCGCCCACGUUAGCCACAUGGCGCAUCAAUAAUAGCCCACUCACUCACUCCCAGCUAAGCUCCAGGUAACCGGAAUCAUGCCGGGAACGGGGGGUGGGACGAAUGCUUUCGAAACGGUUUUGUCCAAUUCAACAAGUUGUACGUUUAAUUUUUAAAAAAAAAAUGUAAAUUAUUUUAAAAUACGAAGUAAAUAUAAAAUAAACUUUUGCAAAGUUCAACAGUAUAUAUGGUUUAAUGUGAACCUUAGUAUAUCUUUUUUUUGUACCAAUCUUAGUAAUUUGGCAUGCAAAGACCGUUAUGCCAUGCAAACUCUCAAGGUCCGUAGUUUUAUUUUACACAUUUGAAUUUGUACGUCAGUUGAGUGCUGGUUUGAUUGUAUAAAUGGAGGACUGUCAGUUGACGGUGAAGCAAGUUCAAAGCAGUACUGGCUAAAAAUUCUUCUGGUAUUUUGUCAAAAGAAUUGAAUAGGCGCUUGAUUUGGCUGAGUUGGAAAAUUAUUUGUUUUUUCCAAACCAAUUCAAUUUGGUAGUGACAUAUGAGGUUCAGCUUAAUAUCGACACCUUUUCCUUUCUUUUUUGUGUUGAAAUACUAUAUGGUAUACAGCAGUAUACCACCACAAGUGGUUAUAUCUAACAUCUACGCCAAGAUGUAUACAAGAAGAACAUAUUAGUAUGAUUUAUGAAACGAUGCAUCCUACCAUAUAUACUAUGCUAAUGACUUCCAUUAAUUUAAUGGAGUGGAAGUCCUUCGAGGUUGAACGAUCACUUAAGAAGGAGAGGCUUCGGAUUCUUGAAUAUCCAACUCAUGCUCAGCAAUUAUGAUGCAAGAAUCAGCUUCCAGGGGUGAGUUCAAGUUCUUGUCCUUGGAGGAUUCUUUGGGUGAAUUGAGCAUAUCAGCUGAGCACUGAACAUCAGGUGUUAUUCCAACCUGAUCAAUGUCAUGAAGUCCUGGGGACAAGUAUUUUGCCACUGUUAUAAAUAAAGCCGAUCCGUCAUCCAGCUCCGUUAUGCUCUGCAGCAAAAUGACUCAGCAUUGUUAAGGGAACUGAUGUGCAGUGCCAUAAGUUCUCAAAGAAGUGGUGAUAAAAAAGUGAUAAGGUAACCCCAAAGUCGAAAAGGAUUCAGAUGUUUAAGAGUCAGUAGGAGGAAUCCAGCCAUUAGGAUGCCACCCCAAUGGCAAGACUUCAAACUCCUGGUAUAUGGCAAUUAAAUGCUUCUUUGUUCUAACAUUUUAACCAUCCCCAAUUCCAAACUUGAUGGCCACAGGUUGAGUUCAGCUAAUCUUAAAUAUUUGAGGUGAGGCCUAGUGUAAUCUCUUGAAACCACUUAAACAAGCUAAGAAAAGUUUUUGGCGUGUCCACCACAACAUGGCCAGUUUGUAAAAAUCAGUCUGAGGAAGACAAGGAUAUGUUUCCUGGUAUCUAUUACCUUUAGGAAAAAAAAGGGAAUCUCUGAUAUUUUUAUGAGCUCAUCCUUUGAUUCAAAGCUCCAAGUUAUUGAUCCUUAGAUUAUGAGCGGAAGUUUGAGAUUUUAAAUGAUGGAGUGCGUCUAUAACAGUUAUGCUUUUAAGAAGAUACUGCAAACCUGUAUUUUUCCCUUCCCAAAAGUUCUAUGUCCAACAAGAAGUGCUCGGCCAUUGUCAUGAAGAGCUCCUGCCAGAAUCUCACUGGCACUUGCACUUCCCUCGUUCACCUGUUCAAGUAAAAGGAAAGAAGUUCGCAGGUCAAACCAUGGGAAUGCUUUCGGGAAGUAUUAUUCAAGUAUCUCUCAAGCAAAAAGAGAUCCAUCUACACUUCUAUGUUGUUGGAAUCAUUCAUCUACUCACAAGGACAACAAGUGGAUCGUGUGUUACAGCAUGCCCGUUGGCCAUGCUGAUUGAGAACAAAUUACCAUCUCUAUCAAUGGUGUUUACAAGAGUCUCAUCCCCAUCAAGCCAAAUUUGGGCAACAUCAAGUCCUGCUUUGACCAAACCGCCCUGCAAGGUCAUAAGGAGAAAAAAGAAUACUUGUAAUCAAGUUAUGAAUGCGCAUUAAAGGUACAAAAAGCUUUGCACCAAGAGAACAGAAAUCCUUGAGCUUACAGGAUUAUUCCGCAGGUCUAAGAUGUACGACUGUACGCCUUGAUUUUCCAUCUCACGGAUGGUAUUUUGCAUAUCGGUUGCAGAACUCUGUCAUAUUAAAAGGAUGUCAUGCAAACAUGAUGUGCAAAAGAAGAAGUGACUGAAUAUCAUGAGUUUUUUCUGACUACCUGAGAGAAAGCUGACAAUUUCACAUAUCCAGUUUUUGACAUGUGACCGUCAGGUGUUCUGUGAGUGAUGAUAGCACUGGAUACUGGUGAGAACCGAAUUACUUCACGAGGUAGUUUUACCUUCACGAUAUUGUGUAGUUUUAUAUAAGUUCAUCGAGUAAUAAAUACUGGAUCUAGGUUGCAGCACAAAGCUCUGCUGUGGACAUGUUCUAUUCCAAAUUACUGCAAUCUAGCCUUUGAGAUAACCGUCACUAUGCCAGAAUUAACUAGCCAUGUAAGAUGCAGUAUACCAACUAAUUGUACUAGUAAUGCAUUUGUACCUCUCUGAAAUUAGAAUUUUUGGAAUCAGUACCCUGAAAAGAAUGAAAACAAACCAGCAAGAACAGGAAGUUAGAAUGUGAGUACAACAUGUGAUUACCAAUGCAUGUUAAAUAUGUCAACUCUCAGAUUGACAUGCUUGUAUAUGCAAGUCAAGUUACAUCCACCAUCUUAGAACUUCAACUGACAAUGACACCAACAAAUCAGCAUCACUGAAUGUUCAUAUGCAUCAUCUAAAUGUGAUUGAUUUCAUGCAGCUGUCGGGGCUUAGUCUUGUUAUAAACAAAGUGAACAUUUUUAUGUUGGAAGUGAAGCAAUGGUUACUUAACAAGAAAAUAUGUCAAAGUAUCAUAGAAUGUUGGAUAAAAAUGAAAAUUUCCUGACCUGUCAACUGACUCAUUGUUUGAAAGAACCAGAGACAUCCAGUUUUAGAUACUUUGAAUCCAAUCAAGGUUUGAAAUGAAUCUUGACUUCUGGAUUCCUUGUCAUUUUUAACAUUUGCAAAGCUAAGAUGCAUAAUUGUCUAAUUGAAGGAUGCUGCAGUUUUUGAGAACACCCUAUGGCCAUGUUGAAUACAAAGAUUGGAAGGAAAAUUGCUUACGGGGUGAAUUUUUACAGUAACAGUAGUGCCAGCACGGCCUCUGAGCUUCUGUGCUGCUGCUUCGCUUCCGAUUCCCUCAAUGCCUUCCCCUGAUUUUUACAAACAACAGUCAACAAUGCUUUAGGCACUUAUUUUUGUACACAUAUCUUUUCCUACCAAGACAAGUUGGUAGAAUAACACCUAUAUUUAUUUCAAGUACACAGUGUGUAGUACUAAAGAAUUAUGAACAGAACCUUUUGGAACGAAGAUAAAUACAAGCUAUUAGUUCUAAUCACUAGCUGAGUGGUAACCCCCGAGGCUGUUCAUGGUCCUAAACUGACAGUCAAGAGAAAAGGAUUUGCAGUGGAUAAAGAUAAAAAGCUUCCCCCAUCAACAACAUCUCUUCCCAGAGAGGAAGUGCUUACAGAAAGCACUUAAAAGUAGAUUGGAAAAUGUCAAACUUUAGAGAUGAAUAAAAUACUUCAGGUGAGUCCCAAAGAAAUUUUGUUAAAUGAAGAUCCGAAUUUACAAUAUUUGAUUUCCUUGUCAUUAUCCAAAUUUAUUUGUUUCUGAACAGUAUGUAUGAGUUUGAAUACAUCUGGAGCUAAAACCACAAGGAUUGUGUGGAUAAAGUCUAAUAAAUGUGGCUGACCUUAGGAUUUUCCUUUAGAAUACAUGAGUCAGUAAUCUACACGAGGCAAUUCAAUUACUUAAAAAACAUCAUCUGCCUACAUGGCAUAGACAUAAUUAACGCAUUGCCUUGGCCUGAUAGUCUGAACUAAAUCCAGAAAAUUGAGGCAAAUCUUCAACUUAAAAAGAACUAACAGCAUUGAACCCUAUCCACAGGGUAAAUUAUCUGAAGCAUAUAGACCUUUCAACUUUCACAUAAGACAGUAUAGUUAUUUAGAAUCUGCCAAGAAAAAAAUUACAAUCCAUCUUUGAGAUUAGGUCCUAGAGUCUCAUUUAUUUCACUCAGCCAUUAUGCAUGGGAGUAUUGUUCAAUAGUAGCUCAGCCUCUAUCAAAUUAUGGAAAAUACAUAAAUAAAUCUUGUUAAUUGAUAAGAUGAAGAGUUUGGUCGUCAUUUACCAUUAAUUUCAACCAGCUCAUCUCCUUCAUGUAUACCAGCACGUGCGGCUGGACCAUGCUCCACACAUGAUGAAACAACCUGCAGUUAGAUGACAAUGAAAACAAUACAUAACCAUUUGUAGUCAAAUGUUAGAAACAAAGACUAUAUGAAUGUUUGCAGGGAUCCAAGAACCUGGACAGAUAAACAAAUAUUUUACAGUCUCAGUAGAACUUGGACACAUUUAGGAAUUUAGUAUUCAAUCCACUUGGUGGACAUAAUGUGCAGUCAAAUGAAUGCAAAAGAGAAACAAAACAAAUAGACACAUGUGCCAAGAAGAGAAAGGCACAGAAUAACAAUGGUUCUCAUCACAUCAGAAUAACAAUGGUUCUGUUCAGUCUUGUUUCCCCUCAAGGGUUGCAUCUUGUGACACCCUGCUCGAAUUCUGGGGAGCAUGCAGACUAUCAGUUAUGGUGACAGAAUAAUGCUUUGUUCCAGAGUUUCAUGAUCCGUAUCACCAUGAAUGCAACUACAUGCAUCUUCACUUCUUUUCACCUGCUUUGCUUUUGGUUGAUUUUUCCUAAUACGCUGGCUAUAGGCUUUGGGCUUCUUAAGCUUGCGAUUAUCUUAAUUAAAUAGGUAGACAACAGCUUCAAUUAGAAGGGUGUCAAAAAGUUUAAGCAAGUGUAGUAGGAACCAUGGUAGCAAGUUUAUGAACUAUGCAUGAUAUGAAUAAAUUUUGAACGCAUUAAUUCAUUUAGUAAUCCAUUUAGGAGCACAGACUUACAGAAAAUGCAGAUUAGAAAAUGUAUUGUUUUGGCCUGAUUGCUAUUAAUAGAAUAUGAAAACUCAAGUUCAAAAGAAUGUGUUACCAACCAGGUGCCCUGUUUUUGGUUCGACAGUAAUGAAGAGACCAACACCUUGCAAAUUUCCAUCAGUUCCUAUUCUAAAGCUCUGGUAUUCCUGCAUUCAAGAACCCUCUACAAUAAAUCAUAAACAAAAUCGAAACUUUAGAUGAACCAAAAUGGAACAACACAGCAGACUAGGUACUUUUGAUAUAAAAUGAGGUCAAUGUAGUUUCUAGCAAUUGCAUUCCAAAAUGCCAAGGAAGGAGUUGGAAAUUUAGAAAUAGGAACUUUAUAGAACUGGAAUGACUAGAAUAGCUGCUCAAAUCUUUGAAAUUAUAGCAUGUUAAGAAGGUAUAACAGGGAAGAAGAGAAAAUCAAAGGAACAACCUGGCGAUUAAGAAAUCCAGCGGAUUGUCACUUUUUAUCAUGCCAGGAAUGAUAUUGGAUAUUGGACAUUCAUAUCUUCCGAUGGUUAUUACCUUAGGACUGAUAAUGCGAGUAAAGGGAUCUCCAAGAGAAGAAAGCAUUCCCUUAAUCUUGCCAUAAGCUGCAUCUUCUGACUUAAGAGGAAACAUUUCUACCAUUGUCUGCUGAAGUUUCAAAUCCCAGUCUGCAAAUUGAAACUUCACCAAUUCAGAGAUUACACCGAGUUUCAAAUAGUGCUUGGUAAAUGGGAGAUAAGUCUCUUAAUAGAGUGGAAUAAUCAACAGCUAUCAAGAGCAGAGGACAGGAAGGACUAGCGACAAUCUUAUCAUUUCUUUUUGUUUAUUCAAUCUACCAAGAAAAAUUCCAUUUGCCAAUCAAGUAUUUCUCCUCAAAUUAGACAGUUCUUGACAGUGCCACAUUGCAUGCAAUUACAAGCUUGAAAUUAUUUUGUUUCUCACGGAAAACAUCUGAACUCAAGAACAUGCAUUAAAGAAUUGUGAUUUCAUACCUUGAUGAUUGAAAGUAGGAUCAACAAAGGUUUCCCUAAUCAGACCCCAAGCUUCCACAAGGGUUCUCUGAACUGUAUUUAUCUACCAGUAAAACAAUUCCAUAAUCAGGAAACUCGUAAAACAAAAGUAAAAAUCCAAGUGAAACCAAACCAGGCAACAAAAUACUUAGAAAGAUACAGUUCAAGAACUGAAUUGUUUCAGUAAUUAGUUACCUCCCGCGUGUGAGAAACCGGGAAUGCAAUAGUAAUAGACUGUGCAAAAGCUGGAGAGUCAGAACAACAUAAGGAUACAGCAGCAGCAAACCCAAAAACUCCACCACUGACCCAUCUAAACAAACUGUCUUUUAAUUCAACAGGUGCUUUAUUGUUAUGAUGUGUAUUGGACUUCCUUGUUGCAGGUAAUUUAAGUCCAAAUUUUUUGUUUUUAUCACAAAUUGAGCUAGGAAACCGACUAGGAAAGAAUAACUUUGAAGUGGGUCUUUGAAACGAUUUAGAAAUUAGAGAAGUAGUUGAUGGGUUGAGAUCAAAAUUCGAGCAGAAAGAUUCCAUACUUCUAAGAGGAAAAAAUGAUGAUCUGAGAAAGAAUUCUUGAGUUUGAGCUGUUAGUCUAUUUAAAAGUUGGAGUGGUUAGGCAAAAUUUUGCAUGGACCGUCAUGUCGUGAAUCUGGUUAGGCCUGCUUGGAUCUUUGUUCGUUGAUACUUUGUGGUGAUUAAGUCUGUUGCGUGGGCGAGUGUCUGAGUGGUAAAAAAUGUUCUUCCAAGUGGGCCAAUAGAUAGAUUGGUUCAUAUUAUGUGAUUCUUAAGCAUUUAAAAUUACUAAAAUGAGGAGGAACUCACUUUUUGGUGGGGUUCAAGAAAACAGCCCUCCAACUUUGGUCAAUUUGCACACUGCCCUGUCGCUUUCUCGUUUGCAUUUAAUAUGCCCUUUACUAGACAUGUUUGGCUCGUUCGAGUUUGAAAAGGGUUUUGAUCGAAUGAUACGAAUUUAGCUUCAACACAUUUAUUAUUAGGAUCAUUUACUAGUCGAGCUAAAGAUGGAAUUUGUUUGUAAGCAGAUCAACUAUAUUUGUGAUUAUAAACAUUAGGUAUACAUAUACUAAAUUAUAUAAUAAACAAAUGGAUGCAAUUCCUUUUUUUUAAAAUUUUUUUAGUAGAAGAGGAGUAGGAUUUAAGAAGCAGAGAGAGGGUAGGGGAAUUAGAAUUUAAAAUCUCUACGUAUUAGGAUUUCGACCUUAGUCACUAAGCUAAAAUAAGUGGCUACAAAUCCAUUUGCAAAUAGUUUUGCAAACAUAUACAUUAUAUAUAUACACGCACAUCUGUCCCUAGUUUCUAAUCCUACAAAAUAUGUAUAAAAGUAUGUUGUGAAAAAAAUAUAUACUUCACUAAAUAAAAUGUUCAGAUCCUUCUCCUUCCCUAUUGCUACUCAAAAUCCACGACUUUUUUUGUCUCUUCUAGUCGAUCAUCCUUCCCCUCAAAGCUCAAAUCUAUUUAUCCCAUCAUUCUAAUUCACAAACCCUUUCUUAUAUUCAACUCCCAACGAUCCUUGCAUUGGUAAGUUGGAUUUUAUUUUCCUUUUGUUUUUUACUCUUGUUCUUCUUUACCUCCCAAUUUUGAGCCUCUAUUUUCUUCUUUUUGUUUUCUUUAUCAUGCAUAUGGAGCAAUAAAGCUUCAUUUAUUGUGUCUCUUUUCUAGCUUUUCGUUUUUUUAUUCUUAUGAUAGUUUGCACCUAUGAGCCUUAUAUUUUAAUGUUUUCUUUAUUCUAUUUUUUAAGAGUAUUGAAACAAGGUUAUAAGAACAUCAAUUCUUUCAUAUUUUACAACUAAUAUAACAUUUGUUAAAUGAGUAUUGCAAACUUAAGUUCGAACUCAGCUUGGUCAAGUUUAAAGAGCCAAACUCAACUUUCAACUUGAAUUCCCAUAUAAUGUCAAAGAAUUGAGCUCCAACAGUUACUUGUGCUAGUGUAAUAAUUAAACAAACACAAAUGCUGUGCUCAUAACAUACGGAAAGAGAUUAAAUACUAGGUAAUCAGCUCGUUAGUUGCUCUUUUCCACUUGAAAGAAAGAGAAGCUUUGUAAAGAGAUAAAGAAUUUGGAAAUAAUUGCGACAGGAAUUAAGAUCCCCAAAAUAACAUUCUUCAAUUCAUUAUCUGGUCCUUCAAUUCUUUUGUUUCUCACGAAAAGUAACCCACAAACAUGUUGAAGUGUUAAACAGGCCUAAAAAAGGUUGGGCUUAAGAACAAUAUAGGGGGGUUGGGCUUAGUUAGUUCACAGUCCAUCUGGAUAACUAUUAUAUAUUUGGCAAUAAAAGGUGCAUCGCAUGGGCUUUAAAUUUUAUCUACUAUGUCGCUUUAGAAUUGGCGUUCAACUUGAUAGAAGGACCUAUGGGAUCAAUAUAUCAAUCUCUAGAAUUAUAAUUUACUUGAAGGGAAAAUUGUUCAAAAUAUUUUUCACAUUUCGUCAAAUUAAUCUUUUAAAAUUUUAAUUUUAUAUCCCUUACAAAUUUAAAUUUGUAAAAUUUGGUCCUAAUUUAAUUUUUCGAACCAUUUUAAUUUAUAUGCAUAUACAAUCUAGUUCGGCCAUGGGGUUGUGAAACACAACAACAUAGAUUUUCAAUCAAUUUGCUUUAUUGAGAAGAAGAUUACUAGAGAAUUUGAUGGGAAUUUGUUCUAUGAAAUGUUUAGGUACAUGACAAUGACAUGUUUGGUAGGAGUCCAGACAAAAUGCAUGAAAUUGCGUUGCAACAAGGUGAAUGGGAAAAAAGUGGGUGGGGAGUAUAGCUGUCAAACAAACCUAUUUAAUUAAGUUUACCCAAAUCCGCCCAUGAAUAGAUGGGUAUGGGUAUCUUAAAUUAUUGCAUAUGGGUAUAAAUGGGUUACCCAAUAAUAUCCAUUUAAUAAAUUGAUAUUAUUGGGUAACCUAUCAAACCUAAUUAAUCCAUUUAGAAUUGACUUCUCCCAAACCUCCUCCUUCCUCCACCCAUUUUUUUUUUUUCAAAAUUUUCAUUUUGUCAUGAUGUUAACUACUUUUGUUACAUUAUUAUUAUUAUUUGUUGGUUUUAUUUUAUCAUUUUAUUUUCUCUUAGUUUGUUAACUUACUUAUUUUUCAGCAUUACCAAUUUAUGACAAGUUUUAACCUCUUUUCUUAUUUUUUCAAAAUAAAAAUUUUAAUUUACACACAAAAAAAUGUUAGAGGUUCAAAAUUUUUUGAUUAAGUUUUUAUGUUAACUUUUAUAGUACUUAGUUCAAAUUUUUAUAUUCUUAUUUUUUAAUUAUUAAAUAGUAUGUAAUUUUGCGACAUACAUAAAAUUGAUAAUUAGGUUUAUUGAGCAUUAUAAAUAAAUAUUUAAAACUAAUGAUAAGUGCAAAGGAUGGUAUAAAUUGAUAAUUUAGUUUGCAAAAAUGAAUUUAAAUGAAUUUACAAAAAGUUAAAAUAAAUGGGUUAUAAAUGGGUAAUUGGGUUAUCUAAUUCAUUUUUUGACUUACCCAUUUAUACCCAUCUAAUUAAAUGGGUAUAAAUGGAUUGACUCACUUAUACCUAUUACCCAUUUUACCCAACCCAAACCCACUCAAAUCACCCAUUUUGACACCUUUAAUGGGGAGGGAUGGAUUUGGUGGUAUCAAGGGAGGGAGUGUAAGUGAGAGAUAUUAGAUUCGAGACUUUUCACUUAUAUUUUAAAAAAUAAAUAAAAGAGCAGCUAAAAGAAAAUGUGAAUGAGAAAAGUAGGUGCUCUUGUGGUGUGGAGGUUUAUCCUUGGUAAGCAAGAAACAUUUUAUCUGUUUCAUGUUUAGAUUAUUUACGUUCUAUUUACACUUGGAUGUUUUACUGUUUUAAAGUUACAAGUGAAGAUCGGCAUGAUGUGAAAGUUGAAAAUCUCAGAUGUAGUUCUUGGAUCCAUUUUUCCUUUUAUAAAAGAGACUUUUCGAGAAGCAAUGGAUGUUUACAUUAGGAUAAUGAUGCAAAUUGAUUAUGCAAUGUAUACAAAUCAAAAUUUUCUAACGAAAUUCUAGAGGUAGAGUUGUCAUCACACUAUAUGUAUUUGGUUGUAUAUCUGUGUGCACUGUAAAGAAUUAAUUACCUGUGAUCUUGUCCUCUUUUUUUCCUUUUUUUGGGGGGGGGGGUCCCAAAAAUUAGAUUUCAUCCUGUCACCAUGUCUGAAUUCAUAAAUCACAAGGAGUUUAUCUGGAGAUAAUUUUGUUUAAUGGCCUAUGAAAAAUUAAACUUCAUCAACUUUAUUUGAAAGUUCUGAUGACUGAUUCAAUUGUUCUUUUUGUAUUUAGAUGGAAAAGAGAAGAUCUCCAAAGAGACCAUUGAGGCCAUAGAUAUGAGAAAAACAUGACUAUCACACAUACAAUGUUUACUUGCAAGUUAGAUUCUCUGCAUGGAAAUGAUGCUUAAGAGAGAACUGAUUAACUAUCUUGAUUCUAGAAACAUCAAACUGGCAAUACAAAAUCAACCGAAUUCCAUCCAAAUAACUUGCAUCCCUUAACGAUGAGAUCUCGACAUAAAACUAAGUUUCACUUUUUGCAUCCUUUAAUCAAGUGGAAGGGGCUUGCAUCCUUUAAUCAUGAGGUCUCGAGUUCAAAACCCAUAGGAAUGUAAAAAGACAACGUUGAGAGAGUUUCCCCUUGCAAGAGACUCGACGUGACUUGAACAAAAUUAGUUGCAAACCGUAAAACGAAUGCGGAUACUUAUAUACAAAAUAAAAAAAAAUCAACAGAAUUCCAGCAAUAACCAACAAUUGCAGGCUAUUGGUCAAGAACCUUGUCGUCCUAUAUUCAUGCCAGACAUCAUAGAUGUAAGUGUCUUUGCUUAGUUUCCAUUUUUCCAUCAUGCUGUUCCAGAAAUACACUGCACUUCGUGCACUAUAUUCCUACUGAGGAUUCCUAUAAACAUUUGAAGCAUUGACAAUUUUUUUUUCCCUGUGAAAAGCUUUUUGGAGUAAUGGAGGAGAAAAGUGAAAGAGGAACAAUAGAAAAUUAAAUGCCAAUGAAGGUGCCAAUGAAGAUAGGAUAAGCAUUUGCAACCUUGAAGGAUUAGUACUCAGCCUGAUUGAUGUAGGGGAUGUGGCAAAUAAUAAAAAAAAAUGCACUUGCAACAAGAAAUUACAACAAAUUAGAGGCUUUGCAAUUGUGACCUAACCUAUCUAUAUAUUUGAUGGUGACACUCCUUAGUGUUGCAAUUUUAAGGGUUUAUAAUAAUAAAUCCCCUUAAUUUCAUCUUGGUAUUCAUUUCCUCCCUCUAUGUCAUUUUCUCAUGACUUGAGUUUCUUCUACUGCCCACAAAUAUAAGAAUUUCAAUAAAAAAAAAGCCUUAGUGGUUCAAAACAUAUUGAUUGCAAUCAAGAAAUUUCUCCAGAAACCUUAGUAAAAUAAAAUAAAGGGAUCCCCAAAUACAAUGAAUUGUAGAAAGCUACUUUUUUUUAACUAAAUUUUUAGUAAACCUAAGUAAUUUAAUUAACCCCAAAAGUAAUGAUAACAAAAUGUAUGCUUUAAUAAAAUUUGUUAAAAGAGCAUUUCUAUAUUUUUUGUCAAUUAAACUAGUCAAUUUUUAGUACUUGACAUGAAAAGUGCCAUACCAUACUCAACUCAAUUUUGCUCUCAACUAUACGGCCAGAUGCCAAUCUCUUGUACCAAAACUACAAUUGAUUAAGGUGAUUGCUUUAAUAUGUAUGUUAUUGUGGAAAAAUUCAAUGCAAUAGACAUGAACACUUCUAAUCUUGAAGAAAUAGUUCUACUAUUUGAUUGUACGCUAGUUUUAAUAAGAAACACCUCAAACAGUUCAAAAAGACAAGGCCAAAUGCUCUCUCUAAAGUCUGCAGAAUAGUUUACUAAGUUCAAUCUUAAACUUGUUUCAAUCAUCAUUUUUCUCCGUGGAACAAGGAACUAAAAUGUUUCGAGUGACCAAGAAAGUGAAGAAUUGCAAGAUUGAUCUCCUAAAAUGGAAAAACACUUUCCAGGCAAACUCCAAAGUAAGAAUCAAUGACAUUAAGAGUAGGUUAGAGAGGUUGAAUGUGUCAAAUGUGGAGAACAAAAGGAUGAUCAGAUUUGACCUUAAGGAACAGAUCAAAGAGGCAUAUAAAGAGGAGGAAUCUUUUCGGAGCCAAAAAGCUAGAGUGAACUGGCUAAGAGAGGGAGACAAGAACACUAGUUUUUUUCAUGCUCAUGUGAGAGGGAGGAGAAACAGGAAUAGAAUCUGUAAUGUUCAAAGAGAGGAUGGUACUUGGACAAAAAAUGAUGAAAAUCUAAUUUCUGAGAUUUCCAUGUUCUAUAGGAGCCUUUUUACCAGUGGAGGAAAAGAAGAUAACUCAGAGGUACUAAGGGAUAUCCCACACUCUAUUACUGAGGAAAUGAACUCCAAAUUGACAAAACCAGUGCAUGAGGAGGAAAUCAGGACUGCUAUUUUUUCCAUGAAUCCAGAUAAAGCCCCUGGAAUGGAUGGAAUGACUCCACUGUUCUUCCAAAAAUUCUGGAAAGUGAUUAAAAAUGAUGUGGUUCAAGCUGUCCAAGAUUUCUUUGUAACUGGCUGCAUGCUUAAAUCUAUUAACCAUACAGUUAUCUCCCUCAUUCCAAAAAUUCUGAAUCCAAUUAGGUUGAAAAACUAUACACCAAUCAGUCUGUGUAGUGUCUUGUAUAAAAUCAUAUAAAAAAUUUUGGCAAACAAACUGAAACCUGUUCUUGACAAGUGCAUUUGUAAAAUCAAUCUGCCUUCAUACCAAAUAGACAAAUCUUAGAUAAUGUGAUCAUUGCUUAGGAAUAUAUGCAAUAUCUGAAAAACAAAAGGCAAGGGAAAGAAAAGUAUAUGGCUAUCAAGCUAGACAUGGCUAAAACUUAUGAUAGAGUUGAAUGGCAUUUUAUUAGAGACAUGAUGACAAGAAUGGGGUUCUGUGAUAAAUGGGUAAGUUGGAUAUCAAGAUGCCUGAAGACUGUCUCUUACUCUUUCAAUUGCAAUGGGGAAGUCAAAGGCUUUGUAAAGCCAGGAAGAGGAAUAAGGCAGGGAGACCCCCUCUCACCUUACCUGUUUUUGAUCUGCUCAGAAGGCUUCUCAAAUCUACUCCAAAGAUCAACAGAAAGCAAAAAUCUGAAAGGCUUGAAGAUCAGUAGACAAGGUCCAAGCAUAACUCACCUCUUUUUUGCGGAUGAUUCUCUUAUAUUCUGUAGAGCUAAUGUGCAACAAGCUAAGGAACUCAUGAAAAUUCUCCAAGAUUAUGAGCAGGCCUCAGGACAGCUAAUCAAUCUGGAGAAAUCAUCAGUGUUUUUUAGCAAAAAUUUGACAUGCAGACAGAAACAGGAGAUUUGCAGUGCUUUAGGAGGAAUGGCAGAAGUGAAGCAAGGGAAAUAUCUUGGUCUUCCUAUGGUUAUUUCAAGAACAAAGGAGCAGAUUUUUGGCUAUAUAAGAGAUAAUAUAAAGAUGAGGCUGGAAAGUUGAAAGAAUAAAUUGCUAAGUCCUGCUGGAAAGGAAGUCACGCUCAAAGCAGUCACAAUGGCUAUGCCAACCUAUGUUAUGUCUUGUUUCAACCUGCCUAGGAAACUCCUCAAGGAUAUCAACUCAGCUAUGGCCAACUAUUGGUGGGGGGAAACUAAUGGCAAAAAUAAAAUGCACUGGAUAUCUUGGAGGAGAAUGGCUUAGGAUCGACAGGAAGGUGGCUUGGGAUUUAAGGAUCUAGAAGUUUUCAACAAAACUCUACUAGGAAAACAGGUUUGGAGAUUAAUCACCAAACCAAACCUCCUAGUCAGCAAAGUAUUGAAAGCCAAGUAUUUUUCGAAAGAACCAAUUUUUACUUGUAAAGUUCAGAGUAAUGCGUCUUGAUUUUGGAAAGGACUGAUAGAAGUCAGAGGGAUUGUGGAAGAAGGAAUAAGGAGGAGAAUUGGCAAUUGGAGAGGCACAAACAUAUAGGAGCAUAAAUGGAUACCAACUUUUCCAUUAGGUCUGCCUACAACUCCAAGACCCCCAAACUGUGAGCUUGUUUUUGCAUAUCAGCUAAUCAACCAAAGUAGAUGGAACACAAAUGUAAUAUUCAGAUUGUUCAACAGGACUGAUGCAGAGAAGAUUCUCAGUAUUCCAAUUAGUCUUGCAGGUAGAACAGAUUCCAACUACUGGAAACACAGUGAAGGAGGCGAGUAUACGUGAGAUCUGGUUACAAAAGGUUCUUAGAUGAGAGAUCAGGCAGCGAUAAAGGACAGGAAUCUGUUGGAACUAGUUUUGAUGCAGGUAAUCAUCAAAGCAAGCAAACUUGGAAUACACUGUGAAAGCUCAACAUCAAACACAAAAUUAAGGUGUUUAUCUAGAAGUGUAUUAAUGGAGUGCUACCAGCCAGAGAGGCAAUCCACAGGAAAACUGCAAUUGGGGAUCCAGUGUGCAAGGGAUGCGGAGAGGAGCCAGAAACGAUAGAACACAUACUUUUGCAAUGCCCUUUAGCAAACGAUGUCUGGAAAGUAGCUCCAGUUAUGUGGGAUGGAGCAAAAAACCAGAGAUGCAACUUCACAAGGUGGUGGCGCAGGAUCACAGAAGCUAAAACAAGGCAAGAGGGUAACAGCCAUAUUGGUCUUACUGCAAACAUCUUAUGGCACAUUUGGAAAGAAAGGAACAAGAGGGAAUUUGAGAACCAAGGUAGACGCCAAUCAUGCUGUGUUAUUCAAAAAGCACAUAAAGAAUGGUUGGAGAUGGAGAAAGUAAAUAGGAAGGAACCUGAUCAGAGUAUAACAGAAACAAUGCCAGACCUAGAGGGGGAACAUGAGGUACAAGAGGACCAGGAUUUGAUAAGGCUGAGAGUGACAACAACGAGCUUAUUGAGAUCUGCUUUGUUGGGUAUUGGAGUUGCUAUCAACACAAUGUCACAUGAUGCAACAGAAUUCUGGGCAUUAAAGGACAGAAGCUACGGAAACAAGAAUACGGAUGUAGCUUUAGCAGUCAGACUAGUCUUGUGCAAAACGCUGAAAAAAGGAUGGUGCAAUGUCCAAAUACAACUCCAAAACAAGGAAGUGCUAAGACAAAUCAAGCAUGGUAAAUCAUCGGAUGACAGACUUGUGACGCCCCCACUUCUCCCUAAGGCGAACUAAAGGGUAUCCGCGGGACGCCUGCCCAACUCUCGCCAGUACUCGAAACAAAUUCAAUUCAAACCUAGUCUAAUACUAACAACGAAAGUCGGAAUAAAGGUAGGAAAUCAUUUCCAUACAUAAUUAUCCAGUCUUACAUCACAAUUUCAAAUUUACAAACACUUUUCCCAAAAAUAUACAACAUCCAAAAGUGUCUAGUCAAUUACAAUCAAAACACUAAUACAAAAGUGCCUCAAGUCGGCAUUUGCUUAACUCCUUCCAAUCGGGUUCCUGUUAAGAAAAAUAAACUAAUGGAAUGAGCCAAUACUCAGUGAGACCAAGAAACACACAUGCAAACACAUAACCCAAGUAGCAACAACAAUUACAUUGUAGAUGAAGCUAUCAAAUUCGAAUAAUUCACACUUCGAAUAGGAAAAUAAACGAAAACAAUUCAAGGAUACUGUAGCUCUCAGGAGCUAAAUUCCACGUAGUCGAGUCAAAGUCUUAAUCGCAGCUCAUGUUGACACUCCGUCAACCACAUAAGUAUCAAAUCCGUAGAUACACCACUUUUCUUCGAAUUUCGUCACCGUUACACUCCCUUACCGGGCCCGCUCAUCAAAGUUUUGAUAAUAUUCGAGUAUAUCAUGGCAAUACUGCGCGAGUAAUGCCGAACAAGAUCUCUCCAAUAGAUCAUACUCUACGAAUAUCUCAUGGUUUGCUAAGCUUAUCGACCAAACCCAUACUGGCUCGAAUCGCAAAGUUAAUCAACGAGUUUGGGAGUCCCCCGAAUACGAAUACGAAUAUAAGUCAAUAAGCAACACUCAAAUCGACGAUUCCAAAUAGGAAUCACAUAUACGAAUCCAUCCACAUUACUAUGUACAAGUCGAAUAUGAAUUCACAUAGCAAAAUACGAAUAUAAUUUCGUUCGAAAGGGAACGAGUGCGAUAAAGUACAUACUCGUCUCAAAAUUUCAAAUUCACAUAACGAAUAAGAAAUAGUUAAUCACUUAGCAACAAAUUCAUGCACUUGACACUUACCAAUCAAAAUAAGAGAGUGAGUGCGUAAAGAAGCCUUUAGGUGUUCCCUUCGAGAUCCUCACGAAGGUCUCCUUGAGCACCUGAGCAAACAAUAGUUAUCUAUUACACACCAUCACUUGAAAAUCCUUUCUUAUCAAGAGAGGGAUUGUACACUUGUACAAUCUAGAAAAUACCAUGGAAUGGGGCUUUACUUGCUCAAAAUUCAAGGUUCUAAAGUAGUAUUUAUUAACACAAGAAAAAACUGAUUUUCUUCAUGAAGACAAGUUCAAAAUGGUCAAUUAAUAUUGAAGGAUAGGGAAGAGUUUCAAAAACUCAAUUCCCGUCAAGUUUGAAAAUUUUCGAUUUGAGGUUCAAUUUUUGAAAAAUCGUAUCUCACUCUUCGUAUGUCCAAAAUUGGAAAACUUGAUACCGUUAGAAACUAAUUUCAAAGUACUAAAAGUUCCUAGAUGACAUUUUUUCAAGAUUCCAAAUGGAUAACAUUCAAAAUUCGGUUCAAAGUUGCUAUUUUGGACCAUUGAGACAGUUUCUGGGUUGAUUUUUGGCCAAUUUUAAAAAUUUGAAAAAAUUCACACAAUGUAAACUAACCUUUGAAAUUUGCAACUCAAUUAGAGUUACAAAUAAAGUUCAAAACAAAAUAAGCGGGACAAGAAUUGAAAUUUUGAGCACUAAGAUAUAGCGGUUCAAAGUUACUGAAAAAGUGAGACCGUUAGGCCAAAUUCCAGAUUUAAUUCACGAAAGUUGGGACUUUGAUUGAACAUCGAAACGGACUCGGAAUGGCACCAAGUUUAGUAGUAUUAUCCUACCAUAUAAGGGCUAUUCCUCUACCAAAUUUCAUAGGAAAAUUCAUUCAGAAAUUUGGUUAACAAAACCUUCAAAGUUUCUAAAUCUCCAAGACAAAGCUGCCUUGCACCUCUAGUUUUCUUUUUCUCAAACCUUUGGCCAAUAAAAUGCCUAAAACAUGUCUCAUUUAUGAUAACCAGGUCUAAUAAGGAUCAAGAUACAUUUGGUAGGUGAUUUACACCAAGAAUUUCGAAUAGAAAGUCUCAAAUCAAGAUUGGUUACAAAUCUGUCCAACAUGAGGGUUUUCUCCCACAAAGUCAGUUUCGAAAUCUGGUCGUAAAUAACUCAAUUCAACUCAGAAUUGAGCGUGGUUGGUGGCGUUGAAAACUAGAUUCAUUAUGCUAAAAUUUCCUAGAAGAAACCAUUUUCAAAAUAUAUCCACAACCAGCUCAUAUGUGAGCAUCAAUUUGCUGCUCAAAACAGAGCUCCCAGUGUAGACGUGAAACAGGACUAUCAUGUUCAAACGAUUGGUAUGGACGACUCAGAUGGAACCAGAAUGUGCAUUUAUACUGUUAGAAAGUUGGAAAUGUCUAGUUUCCAGUGCCGUAAAUGGCACUCAAUUUUGACAUCGGGGCAAAAAGUUAUAGCCAAAACAAGAACACUGCCAGAGCAGUUAUGGGAAAAAUUUUCAGUUUUGCUGAUUUCCGAAAACACAACAUUUGACCAACCAAAUCACGUUAUUUUUUGUUGAAACUUUGUACACAAUUUAUACUACAUAUAUACAUCAUAAACAAGUCAUUAGAACCACGAAAAAUCACCCUAUGGGUCAUGGAAAACACAGGGGCAGAAAUGAAAAAAUUUCUCUCUUCACAUCCUUUGAGUUUCCACAAACAACACAACAUUAUUUCACUAAAUUAAGCACUAGACCAACAUUAAUAACACCAUAAUUCAUCAAAUCAGUCCAUCCAACCAUAGUGGGAAUUCAUAGAAUCCACACAAUAUUUUCCAACAUAAAUAAGACUACCCACAUGUAUGCAGUUUAUAAAUGCUAUAUUACUUCCAUAAGACAAGAUUUGAGUAGUGGAUCAUCACUUACUUCCUUAGAUGAACCAAGCAGAAAUUUUUGGUUCUAAGAUGCUCAAGAAAACCGUGGAAAGUAGCCCUCUUUCCUAACUUGAUGUGGUCUCCAAGUGAUUAACUAAGUCUGGUUAAAUUUUGGUGUGAUUUGGUGGAAGAUUUGAUGAAGAAAUGAGGAAGAAAUUGGAAGAGCUUCUUGGUUCUUUUUCUUUCUUGAUGGCCGGCUGUUUGGAGCAAGAGAGAGAGAGUGUUUGAUGCAAAUGAAGCUUCCAAGAGAAGCUAAGAUGUGUGGCCCAAAAUUAUGCAAAAGUCAACUCUCUCCUCGCGCGCGUUUUGUGCUCGAUUUCUCUCGAGUUUGUUUCACUAGUGUACUAAACUUCUAAUGCACUUGUAUUCAUGCUAUUAUUAUUCACUCUUAAUGGUAUAAAAAUAAUGGUUUUAAGUCCCUCAAUUUAAUCGCGCGCAUAAAAAAGCGUACUUCCGACGCGAUAAAGCGAAAUCUCCAAGAAAUUCUUAUAACGAUUAUAUCACUAACUAAUAAUUGAACAUUUAAAUAUAAAAAUACAUAUUUCAAGAUUAAUGUACUCUCGGAUCAAACAUAGUCUCGAAAAAUGUGUACUCCUUAUUUCUCGCUAAACGAGCUCUAGAAAAAUUAAUUUUACUAACGAGGCGUGUUAAAAAUAUAAUUGAGACAUUAUUCCAUGUAAAUAAGUUUAAAGUAGUUGAAAUAAAUUAUUCUGAGAAAAUGAGUGAAUAAAUAUUUAAUAGAGCCAUUAAAAUAAUACAAAAGUAAGAAAAUAAAAAUCUGGGUCCUUACAAGACUGGUAAUGAUCCUAGAGGAUAUUUUUUGCUUAAUGUCGUUGUUUCGAAUGUGCUCUUUUUGCUUAGAUAGUAAUGAUAAUAGUAACACUAUUGCUAAUGUUAGCUCAUAUGCCUUAGGCAUUAUGAUGGAUGAGAAAGGAUCUUUUCCUCUGUGUUGUUGAACACAAGUUGUACAGCUUGACGAGCCGUUGCUCGAAUUGUAAAGUCAUCUUUUAUAUCAAUACAAGUAAUCUAACGUUUUGAGAAAAAAAAAUCAUCAUUUUUCUCCGCAAAAUAUCUCUACAAUAAUAAAGUCUCUAUAGGUGUUAACUUUGUUUGUUUUCAAAUUUUCCUCCAUCUCUGACACACAAAUCCUAUCCAAUCAAAAUUAUCUCCUUUCAAUUCUCAAGUUCUCCUUUAUUAACGAUUUUUUUACUUCCAAUUAUACAUAUUUUUGUAUUAUACAUUUUUAUUACAUAUUACACAAAAUAAUUAUAUUCACUUGUAUUAUUUUUAUGAUUCUUUCAAUUAAAAAUAUUUUUUGACAAGUUACACACGUAUCGAGUGUGCCUUGAUAACUAGUGUAUAUUAAGUUGGUAACGCAAAUAACAGUUAAUAAGAUUUGAAAGAUUUAGAUCCCAUUUGAAUUGCAAUUUUUUAAAGUUUUUAUUAAAAAAAUUUACUAUAACGAUGUGUGAUGUAUAUAAAUUUAAAAAAAAAGAAAAGAUAAUUGAGAAAUUUGUUAACACUAUAUUCCAAAAUUUUUCUACAAAGAAAAAUCACAAUCCAAUUGGGCUCUUAUAUUCGUCCGUCUUUUUUUUUUUUUUAGUUAAAAAGUUGUAAUAUUGUCUAUUAAAUCAAUUAUUUAAAUGAAACACCACAGGAAAUAUAAUUAUAUUAUUACAAUAUACCCAAAACAUUAGUAACCAUACAACUUGUGGAAUUAUAUGGCUGUAUUUAACUUUGGAAAUUGAGAAACCUUCAGCAUUCGGAAGAAUGCUAUGUCUAUAUAGUAAUAAAUAAUUUAUCAGGAAAUUUGGAUUCGUAUGUAUCUAUUAGUAUUAUCAUAUACCGCAACUUUCUUUAUAAAUCCUUACCCAAACGGCUACUAUGUUUGCCGCCACUGGAUUGUCUGCUGAAACAAUUAUUCCCUCAGCUGGGACAACUCUUUUUUUUUCCAAAACGAUAUAUGGUUAUAAUCCUUUUAAAAAAUGUACAAGUACGAGCAAAGGCUCGAUGAAAUUAUAUAAGCGGUCAUCUAAUCAUUAAGAAAAUAAAAAUUCCUCAUCAAAAGUAAUGCCUAUAGCAUAAGUACUAAGCUUAGAGUUUAGAUGAUAAUUAUCAUUUUGAACUUGACAAAAGGAGCACAGGUGAAAUAAAAGUCUAAGUUGAACAAUAUCCUCCACCACAGUUGCUAAUCUGAUAUCCCGAGCUUGUUUGGAUUGAAUAAGGUUGAGCAGCUGCUGAUUCUGCACUUGGAAUUGGACCACUCUGUGUUGCAUUUCAGCAACUUUACACGUUGCCAAUUUUAGAGCUAAUGCUUCAUCCAGCAAGAAAGAUCCUGAACUGGUUUCACGCAUUGCCCCUCAGCUGGGACAGCUCCUCCGGUCCUUUUCCCUAACUCCAAAACGGAAAAAAAAAGGAAAUUUCCAUUCUGGGCUUGGAAAAUUGCUAGUCUUUGAAGCUGUUCAUCAUCUGGUUUGUGGAGUUCCAAGAAAAUGAGAAUCUAAAUUAAGGUUAUUCUUCUGUUUCCCUUUAAUCUAUUCUUCUCUUGUGAUCUAUAGUUUUAAAAAAAAAAAAUUUUUUGAUGGGCUAAUUUGAUAACUAGUGGGAGAAAGUUACAUUUUGUAGUUGUGUUUGAGCUUAUUCGAUGUAGUCAUGGGUUUUCUUGAUGAAUUUUUUGGCAAUCGAGAAGAGGGCUUUUCUCUGUUCUGGCCGAUUCAUAUUCCAGUUGUUUCUUUUUUCCUACUAAUUGCAUCUGAUACCUGGCAAAAUUCGCAUACUGAAUGUAGGAGUGGUUCGAGAUGGAAAAAAAAGGGGGUCUUUUAAGGCCUUCGUGAGAUUGGUUUUAACAACUGCUUGCAGAGACCUGCAACAAUUGAAAAAAAAAGUGUUUGAGCAUAGACAAGAAUAUCUGUGUAUGUCCUGGUUUUGAUUGGUCUAUCAAAGGAUUUUGAUAGGAUCAGUGAUAGUCAAAGUGGAAUUAAUUGAGAGCAAGAACUAGAAUCAGAUGGUAGUAAUCAAUUAAUUAAAGAACUGGAAGCAGGAACCAGUUCUGGAUAUUGAUUAUGUGAAGAAUAGACUGAUCAGAGUGAUCAAUGGUUUUGCUUCUGCAAAUUACACUAUCAGAAAAGAACUGGCUACAAUCAACAUGGCUAAUCCUACCUCAUUAUACGUAGUUACAUAAUACAGCUGUCAGUUAGUUAUGAUGCUACGCUGACUAACUACUUGUGACUGCUGAGCCUCACUAGCUGAGUCAUCUUGACAACUACUAAGCUGUCCAAUCACGUAUCAGAUCAAUCUUAAGCUGAUGAUGAGCUAUACUCCUGAUGAUCAUGGCUUCAUCCACUAGUCUCUGAUUCUCUUACUUCUCUUGAUCAAGUGCAUAUCUAUCAAGGAUUUCUUGUCUUGCUACAUGGUGCUCUUUGGAUCUCUAAUAUCGCUAAUUGUCUUUCGCCUUAACAUUCCAUUAACCUCCCAAACUUAUCCUACUUAGUUUGAAAGUGGUAUCUAGACAUUUUGUUUUCUGUUAAAAGUUAACAUAGGAUGCUUACCAUUUUUUUGGAGCAUGCUAUUUUGCUUUCUAACUUUUAAUUCUGACGAUGAAUACAUCAAGAGUUCUACCUACGUCUAAUGAAAGAAUCAUUGUCUGACAUUUGUCUACUUAUGCACCUUUUCGUAAUUGAUUGUGUUUUCUAGAUAUAAUGUUUUCUUGAGAAUUGAGGAGUUUCUGGUGGACUUUCUCAUCUUUCAAACUAAGUUGUUUGCUUAAUGAGCUCGUUAAUAGUGUUUUGCUCCUGUAGUAUUUUCUUUUUUGGUGCUUAUGUUUGUUGAUAUUAUGACGCUUUUAGACUUGCUGAAUAUCUGGAGUAGCUCUUUAGCAGAGGCUCUGAGCUUUCGGUGAACAUAUGCCACAAUGACUAUUCUGAGUGAUUGAAGUUUAUAUAUUAGCUAAUAUGUUCCUGUUCAAUUUUAAGGUCCAUCAAUAGCAGAACAUCAGGCUGGUUGCUUCCACAAAAGAAGCAUGUGUUAGGUGCUAGGUUUCUUCAUGCAAUAAGUUCUAAAUAUACAUUGUGUAGAAUAAUUGUGCUGAAAAAGUUGUCAUCUCUGUUUGAAGUUGUAUGUGUUUAAGCUAAUGGUUGGAAUACAUGGUUGAAAGGUUGAAAAAAAAAGAUGGACCAUUUAUAGAGAGGCUUAGGUGUUUUCAGUUAACAGUUAUUUGGUGGUUUUUGGGGUUGUCUAGGCACUUUAGGGUUGCAAUUUCUAGUUCAAGAACAUAGACAUCAAUGGUAGAGUUAAAAUUGAGUUAAGACAGUUUAAGAUUGAGACCAUUGCUGGAGCAAAAAUUUUCUUAUUCAAUUGCUACUGAGAAGGAAAAGAAUGGGGAAGCCUAAAUAGACACACGUGAUUUCCUGUUACAUUCAGUUACUUAUUUUCCAGGUUUUCAGCAUGGUCAAGUAAGCUUACUUUGUUUUAUAUACUCUGCAUUCAUUUUGCAUAUCUCCGCCAUCUUUCCUGGAGUUGACUCUGGAAAGCUAAAGACCAUGAAACUGCUUAUGCUAGAUUUUGUCCCUGUUCAAUCUGAAACUGGUUGUAUUAGUUUUGCAAGAUAUGAUCUAGAGGUUAAAAUGGCUGCAGGUGGUGUUGUGCAUGAAAUCCUCAUAAUGCCCAUUUUCAGUGUGGAUAAGCUCUCUACAUGUAUGUUCUUUCAUCUCUCCCUCUUUCUUUAUAGAUGUGUGGAAGCCUCUGGAAAUAUUAGAUCCUCUUACUGAGUCAUAAGUGGUUCAAAUGUAGAGUAACUUCUCUCAGCAUUACAGCUAAAGUAAUAGCUACCAUAUAUCAAAUUUUUGCUCAUUAUGUUUUUGCUUCCGUUAAAGGGAAUGUUAAAAUUGAUAUAGUGAAGCAAACUAGAGAGUUGCUGGAGAGCAGUCUCAGACUCUUACAGGGUUGUGUUUAGAUUCAGGAUCCUUUCAUAGUUUGUAUUAUUAUUAUUUGUUUACUAGCCCGUGAGCAUACCAAGUAAGGAUUUUCUCAACUAUAGGUAACUAACCAGUCAAGCACUCAAAAUGUCAUAUGUUAACCCCAACAUAAUGCUUGAGCUCAAACUAAUAUUCUCUGCAUCCAAAUUGACAACAAAAGCAAGAUGGUUCAACCAUCAAACUCAGAUAUGAGAUCAAACUUGGGGCUUAUAUGAGCAUAAACAAAAGAGACUAGAGGUAACUUCUCACUUAUUGGUCCUCACUCGACUUGCUUAUCCAAUGAAGGAAGUUUUGCACAUUUAUAGAAUUUAAAGUAUUGCAAAACUCAUAAUAGUGGCUGGUCAAUGUUGUAGCUUGUUCUACGUUAAGACUAUCGUUCUGAGUAGAUGUAUCUACGUAGUUUUAUAUGACACAUUUGUGAAGAAUUUCCCAGAGACUGAGAGGGAGUGGAGUUAAAGAUGUCUGAUAGUCUGUCUCAAUGAAAUUCUGGCAUCCAAUCUAACUGGUUAAAUUUGUUUUUUUAUCCAGCUCUUGGUAAAUAUGUCAGAAACUUUAUAAUCCGUGUUUAUUGCUUUCAUCUCAAAGUCACAUUCACUUUCUAUGAGAGAGACUUGACGUGCUGUCUUCUUGGCUUUCAUCUGUAAGUCAUAAAACAGCACUCUAUAGGACAGAGCGUUUGCAGCAAUGGAUUUACAAAAAGCUUUAUAUCUAAAUUCCUUGGGCCAACCACUAGGACCAGAGAGUAGUUCUUGAUUCCAUUUCCCUGAUUCCUCUCUUGUUCAUCCUCCAUGUACUACUUUACAAUGAACUUGCUGUAUAGCCAAUUCUUCAAGUCUUGGGGUAAUAAACUUUGUUGUCUACAUUAGAAUUUUCCUCAGGACAGGUGAGGUUGUUAAGUGGAAAGGAAGUCAAUUGAGGGUAGAGUUGGGAAGCUACUAGCUCUAAUCUCAUGUCCAUAUGUCUAUAGGAGUCACUUAUGCCUAAGUUUGGUUUUAUGUGCUGAGCAUGACGGCAUGAAAUCCUCGAACUGUUUUUUUGGUUGGUCGAGAAUCAUUUCUUCUGUUAUGUUCUAGAACCACUUGGAAAAAUUAAGAAUUGGUGUUUUGAAGUGGAAAUGAAAAUUUGGAUAGGUAACAAAAAUGUGGAUUCAAACUAGGACAGGAUUAUAUUAUUUUCCACAAUGUAGUUAAAAUUGUGAUGGGGAUUUACAGGAAAAGAUGAACCUAUUUUAUUUGUUCUUGAAUAUUGAAUACUGCAGCUCACAUAGCAGGCCACAAAAAUUUGGCAGUUCUCUGGUAUCUCUCUGGCUUACUUCACUAAUACUUGCUCACUUACAUGUCGGUCUCGAAAUGAUGCAACUAAUGGUUUUGCUAAAAAAAGACACUUGAUUACUAUAGGCUGUUAACUUUUUCAGAAACAAUUUAUACGUGCCUGCCCAAAAUUGUGUUUCUGAAUAGUUUACUUCUUCUGACAGUCAUGAUGGUCAUUGAGCUAGAUGUUUUUAGAGGGUUUCUAACAUGCUAAGCUAUGAGAAUGAUAUGGUAUUGAGUUCACCCAUUUCACAUAUUAGAGGAGGUUGCUCUCAAAUGUUUCUUGAAAAAUAAAAUGACCCAUUCCUGAUUUCUAUUGAUUGCCUAGGACAUAUUCUUGGAUUUGGGCCCAAGUUCCACCAUGCAUUUUCAUGCUUUUAACUUGCAAUUUGCAAAUCUUGUAAAGCUGAGGUUAGGUAAUGAAUUUAUUGCAAUAACUAUUGAAAGUAGAGAAAAUAUGUGGAAAAGAGACUUCAAGUUACAAUAUUCAGAGAGUAAUGGGAUGCAGAAAACAUGUUUGAGUACUGGUUUAGCCUCUUGCAUUAUGAUAUCUGCUAUGCUUCCAGCUUUGAAAGGUAUUCCCAUUUUCAAGUCAAUGGUACUUAUCCUUCUUCAGAGAUUUUACAAGCCAACUUUUUUUUUUUCAGUUCAUGAAGAACCAAUAUACUCAUUUUACCUUGUCAAGAUUGGGGGAAAACUUACAUCCAUCUGUAAUGCAUUUUGAAUAGUUUGGUGAUCAAAUAUUAUGCGUAAUUUGUUCUAUAAGUAACACUGCAAUUAAUUUGCAUAUGACGAACUUGAUAGAUUAAGUUGUUGAAAGCAUCAGUUUUUUCGUAAGUAUAAUUAGUUUGUGCUUUUCUUUUUCUCUUUCUUUUUUAUUUAAAAUUCUCUAAUUCUUCUUUUUAACUAAAAUGAUAAUUUCAUAAUUAAACAUCACCAAAAUGAAGUUAUUACUCAAAAUCAGACAGUAUUCAAGGAAGUUAUUUUGGACAUCAAAAGAAAUCAAUCAUAGCAGAGGAUAACAAAAUAAAUUCACAUUACAGGAGUAAACAAAAUGAAGCCUCGUUUUAUAAGUGAACAUGUCUUUUUUUUUUUUGUAAUUGUUUUUUGGUAAGUGGGAGGUCUUGAACUAUCAACCAACCCAACCGUCCCCCUCUAUAAGUGAACAUGUCUAGAGACAGAGAACUUGGAAAUGGCUAGGUCUCUAGAAUGUAAUCUUCCCAAAUAGACGAGGCUGCCUUGUCUAUUGAGAUUUUUUUUUUUUUAUGAAUUAAUUAGAGUGAGCUUUACAGUUAGAUCUCUAUAAACAAUCUUUUAGAUAGCUGCUUAGAAUUGUCAUGAUGAGCCUGAGUUUGUGUAUAUCUAAUACAUAUCAGAGAAGGUAGUUUAAAUUUGAUACCCUCAAUGCAACGUUUUACGUUUUGGUGUUGACCCAAUUUUGUUGGAUUCUAAAUAGCUGUGGAUGCUGAAGACUGGUUUUAGCAUGCCUGGAUGCAAAGGUAUAAAAUCGAAGGAUUGCUUUAGCUGUCAUUGUUUUGGUGUAGAAGGCAGGGUGGGAACACAUAAGUUCAAAGGCUUGAGAAAGUGCUGAACCUAGCUGCCUCGGAAAUGAGCGCUUGGCAAAACCACCAUCACAGUGAAGCAUUGGUGUUUUGUUGCAGAUGUCUUCUCUUAGAAUAUGGAGACAAGUAUUACAUGUAUAAAAUCUAGCAUGAACUUUUCACCAUCUGUCUGUACAGUAUCCCUCUUCCACAUGUAGCAUUCACUCUCUGUAAAUAAUACUACUGUUACCUAUUAAGAAAACUCGGAAUCUGGUAAUUGAGCACUCGAGCGAUAGGUCACUUGUGGAAAUUGAAGUUUAAUCAAGAUGUGCAUGUAGAUCAAAUCUUGAAAAAUGUACUUUUCUUUCCCAUUAAGAGUUGUCUCUUAGGUUUCCUCUUUUCUUUUUGCAAAAUUAGGCUUUUUUUUUUUGUGGCUAAAAGUAAAAUCCAGGUUUAUCAUUGUAAGUAGUACAAUUUGUACAAUCUUCUCUGGCUCCUGUUUUUAUCUUCACACUAAAAACUUAUGCAGCACUUUUUGCUGGGGGACAAGUUCCAUUGAAUUCCUCCUGAUUUGCUCUCUUUACUAUUGCUGUAACUCUAAGUUGGUCUUCAUUUUUGGAAAACUGGUUUCUCUUGUGUGGAGAACUCACAUGAAACGUGACGAACAGCUAUAGACAUGUUCAAGGUGACUCUAGAUUUGCGAAACACUUACCUCGGAUUGCUGUCACUUCAUGUUUCUUUCCGUGGGCUUGGUUCUUGUAUGAAUUGAUAGUAUUGGCUAUAGCUCUGUCCUGUGCUAACUUAUAAAGGCUACACCUAAAUUCAGGUUCUUAGUGAAAUACUUCAUCAAGUAAUUUUUAAGUCUUGGUAGAGGUGGGAGGUCAAGGGUUUGAUCCUUGCCUCCUAUCAGCCACUAUUUGUGGCUUCUCCCUCCCUCUUUCCUUAGAUUAGGUUAGAAUGGGUUAUACAAACAGUUUUCGUUGUUGGCAAAAAAAAAGAAGUAAUUUUUAGGUUCUUAAUGCAAUCAUUUUUUCUAAAAAAUUAAAUGAUAAAUAGGGCGAGGCGGUUAUCCAUUGAUCCGACCCUAUCUUAGCGGGUACCCUAUAAUCGGGUUUCCGUUGAUAUGCAGGGCAGAUAAGAAUCAGAAAAUGGUUGAUCCGUAAAGUGCGAGUCGGAUCAGUCAAAUGAUGGACGGGGCGGGUACUCGACCCGCUCCCAUUCCUGCUAGCUAAGUAGCUGCUAUAAAAGACAGUACUUGGAUUGCAUAGUUUUGAAAUAAAAUAAUUUACUUCACAAAUUUCGAUUACCUUUUUAUCUUUCUAAUCACUUUUUUAUCUCACAUACAUCACAUCACAAAAAGUACUACAGUAAUUAUCUCAAAUAAAUCAUCCAAAUAAACUCCAAUCCAAACAAACUGUAUAAUCCUGUGGAUUCUAAUAAGUAGUACCCCUCUCCAGAAAGGACCAAAAGAGUUACCACAGAGAAAAAGAGAUAGCCCUGGCCCUCUUACUGAAGAGGGAUACAUCAGCAUAUUUGGGCUUUAACUGAACCAAAAGCGUUUUCACACACUGUGUAGUUUUCUAGGCAUUCACUACAUACUAGAUAAUGCUGUGGUGUUACCCAUACCCCAGUUUUGUACUUUCAUCAUGAAUGGUCUUUUACAAGUGGAGCAACUUCAAAUUCUUCUUCCCUUAAGGUCACAACCAUUUGCAAUGGAACAAACUGAAGGUUCAGGAGAGAAAAAAUGUGAACCAUUGAAGUUCUAAUGAUCCUUAACAAGAUCAUAAAGUUCUUCUUGAAUGUGUCGUCUAAUUGGCUUACACAAUAAGGUUUAUGAACAGAAGGGAUAGCUGGUUCUUGGAUUUUUCAACAAUCACUAAUUUUCCAAGAACAUGAAAAAAAAAAAGAAUAGUAUGACCACAGAGUUUUUGUGUAUUUAUUUAUUUUUUAUUUGAACGAGUGAGAUUUUAUUAGUACAUAAAAUGAAAUACUACCAAGUAUAAGUGGCGGCAUACCCCUGGCACCGACAAGAAACGAGAAGGCAAAAUUGCAUUACUGAUAGACUUAUCAACGAAAGACCCUAUACAAGUCUAGGACAAACUUAUCAACAAACCUAGGAAAGUCAAAAUGGAUUAAUUAAUGGAUCAUUGAUGAGGGUUCAUAUUAAAUGUUUGGCGGAUAAUAUUAACCCAACCCACUUUAGAUUCAUUAAGCUCUCACUUAAUUUUCCCAAAAUCAUUCUCGUACUACUACUAGGUGAAUAGCUAAUUGAGAUCUUUACUUGUAAAACUCGUUUAAUUUUUUAUUUUUUGAACUCUUUUUUUUUAGCACCAAAACAAGAAAGAGUUCAAAAACAAAACAAAAAUAAAACGGGUUUUACAGGAUGUGAAUGGCUAGACCUUCCACCAGCAUUAAAAUCACCUCCGGAAAAAGAAUGCUCAUAUCGUUUGAUAACCACGAGGAGUCAUAGCUGAGUUGGAAACUUCUUUUUCAGUACAAAUGAAUGUAUAUGGAUCCACAUGGAUUGUAAAACCACCAUUUUAAUGGGUUAAGUUGGAUAAACCAUUUAGAUCCAAGAUACAUUUUUUCUUCUCAUCCAAAUCCAUUAAAAAUGGAUGGAUCAGGAUGGAUAUAUGGUCUUGGAUUAAAAUUGCCCCAAGGAGUUAUUUUUCUUGGAAGAUUAACAUGACAGUGAUAUCAGGUGCGUGGCUCAUAAUUGGAAGCUUAUAUCUGCCCGCUAGUUCUGGAUGAUGAUGGAGCAAAUUGGCAGGAUGAGCGCUUAGGUCCAUUGAUAACUUCUAUGUGCAAGCAGCAGCAAGCUAGUCAGAUACAACAUGGUAUUACGAACUUCCUGUUCUUCUUUCUUGUCCAUACGAUAGCUGCCUUACUUAUUAUGAUGCUGCAUAACAACAAAAGAAAAUGAUUUUUGCAACAGUCCAUCAAAUUUUGUUCAUCUGCAGUCUCAUUCUCUUUGGUAGAUGGAUAUUCCUGCAAUCCAUGUGGAAUGCAGAAGCUUUUAAGAGAACUAGUUUCCAGCUUGCAGUGAUGUUGACUGCCAGAGAAAAAUCUCACGGGCCUAAGAGUGCGGGUGAGUGCCCUGCUAGAAUGCGACUGUAGGGUCAUUUUCCCGUUAGUUUCUAGGUGAUUUUCUAUCGUCAGUGCCCGGUUAAUUUUUUUUUUUCCACAUUUUUCAGUUUGUUAUAACUGAGCUCCAACAUGCCAUGCCCGGGACAUGGCCAGUGAAAGAUAUUUCUUUACCUGUCUAUUCUUCUUGCCUUUAUUGAGAAAAAGCAGUGCAUUGAGUGCAUUUGCAAAAGCAAAGUUUAGGAAAGGAUUUUGGAAAAGGGAGAGACAAAAGAUACCUUACCUUAAAGCAAAAGAGGGAUAAAAUUUACUGCUGUUAUAAUUUCUCGUGUAGAAGUAGCUGAUUGUAGGAUAUGUUUUGGAUUUUGCUGUCCUCCUUUUACCUCUUAACAGGCUUUAGGGAGUGAUCUUGUCUAUCUAUAGCUAGGUGCCAUUUUUUUCCCUUUGUUUUCUUGAGUUGAUUUUGUAACAAUCGUCGAAAGCAAGAGUAUAGAACUAGCUAUAGUGAACCUCUAUGCUAGACUAAAGUUUCAUUUGCAAACAGACUAUUGCACAUUCUACAACUAAUUGUUCACUUGUGUUGAAUGCUACAUCAAAAUUUAGAACUCACCCUUUCCUCUUCUUUGCUCCUGUCAUCCAUGUAAAAGAAAAUGACAAAGUAAAAGAGGAUAUUUUGAAAGACUAAAAGAGGACUGGUUUUUGAGUGAAGCUUUUCCAAAACUAAAAACUGGCUUGGCAAAGGUGAAAUUGAUGUACCAUAUAGAGACUGCCUCAAAUAUGACACUGACAUUGACAUAUACGGAUGAAGUUAGAAGUUGAUUGGCAUCCUUAAACUGAUUGGUAUGGGCUUUAAAAAGGACGUUGUGGCUCAUGAAGAAGACCAAAUUGAAUCCCAACUGAAAACCUUUAAUUACUUUUUAGCUUAUAAUAGGCUUUUAUUUCAAGUUUGAAAAGGAAAUAGAAACUAAAGCAUGCUCACUGGAACUGGCCCCUUGUGCAUUAAAAACGUUAUGCUGAUGUUUAUCAUGUUAACAAACUCGUACUAGUUGUCAUGUCGGUUUAAUAGUUUGCAUUACCCUUUAGGUUGUAGGAUUAAGGGAUUUCUACUCUUUAGGGUGUUUAAUGAUUGGAGGAAAACAAUGGGAAAAUGAAUUUUGAGAGUUGGAAAUUAUCAAACGGAUGUCUGAGGAUACAGACAAUCAAAUUUCUGGACAAGACUAGACAGGCACCAACAAAUAAUUUUUUUCCUAAUCUUGGUGAUAAACGUUGCUCAUUAAUGUUGAUCAAUCAAUAAUUAUCUCCACACACGGGCAGUAACUGCAUACUUUAUCAUUGAUUCAACUAUCGUUGAAAAAGCUAAAGAUUUUUUUUUUUUUGUGUGUGUUUCUUUUACAUGUAUUAUUAACUGAAGUAAAGUUGCUAAGGCGCAAUCCCAUUAUACCCAAGUACUUAGGUAUCACGGAUGUUCCAAGAAAUCAUGAAGAACUUGCUAGUCCUUCCUGAUCGAUCCCAAGUAAGUCGAGGCUAUGAAUCUCCAAAAAGCUUUUUUUUUCUUUCUUUUUGGCAAAAUGGGGCUUACUUGAUUGGAUAUACUAGAGUUAAUUCUGCAUAAUAUUUAUCAAGCCUUUUCAAUAAAAAAGAAAUGAUUUGUUGUUUUCUUCUCCUUUUCUCACCAUCUGUUUUUGGCAUUCGCAAUUUCUCUAGGAGCAAAGUAGGUCCUUGCCAACAAUAUUCGAAGACAGCGCGGUAUGGGAAUAUGAUUGGCAGAUUUCUACAUCACAGUAGCAGCAGCACUGCAUGCAUCGAUGCAACCGUGCACUAGAUACAAUCACUUGUAUGCCAUGUCUAACCAGAUUUGGCACAAUAAUUAUUUCUCUGUCAAAGUAUGGAGAUCUGUAUCUCAGUUUGAUCAAGCAAAAUGGGAAACAUGAUAAAUUUUUUCUUUUUCAAAUGAACCAAAAUGAAUGGGCUUAAAUGGUUCAUGAAGAUUUUCUAAAGUUUGAGUUGGAUAUGCCUGUCCUCAUGGAUUGCCUACACUUUUUACCAUAAUUGGGGACUGAAAUAAGGAAAAAAUAUCCACCGUGAGAAUAGAGAUCAAGUAAAAUCACGUUUCCAAACUCUAAAAGCGCUAACAAUGGCAGAAAACCAAUGCUUUAGCAACAAAUACUUCUCUCUAUCUAAUAUAUGUUUAAGAAUUUUAGUAGCAUCAAGACACGGUAAUAUUAAAAGUUAAGGACAAGAACAAGGAUAUUGCGUGAGUUUCUGAAGCAUAGGAGGUAAAGAUGUCUAAAAUUUAGGAAUAAGGAGAUAAAAAUAGCCAUAGGUUUGAAAGAAUAGUCAAUAAGGAUAGCCUCCAACUUUUAGUCACAGUGUCUCUGUAACUUCCCAUUUUUCAUUUGUUUUAAAGGUAAAUCUCACUUUGCACCUUUCUAUAUACCUGAAUUUUCACUUUGAAUCCUAAUAUUGAAACUGAAUUGCUUUACUCCCUCGAAUAUAAAAUAUGUUCUACUUAAAUAAAAUCUGUCCCAUUUUAGUUUUUAAAGUAUAAAUUUUUUCCCACUCAAGUAUACAAUUUGUCACACUUUAGAGACUAAAGUAUAAAAAAAAUUGAUAUUUUAAGGAUUAAGGUGGAAUAGAUUUUAUUUAAGUAAGAUAGACUUUAGAGACUACAGUGUCCAGUUUAAAGUUUAGAGAUCAAAGUAAAAGUCUAAAUAUAAUUCAAAGAUGCAAAGUUGUUAGCACAAAAAAUCGUGCAGCGGAAUUAACAUUAAAAUCUUACAAAUAAUAAACAAUAAAAAGGGCACGGGAGGAAGAAAAAUAUUCUGCUUCAAUUCAUUAAUUUCCUUGAACUACAAACCUAGGACUCCAAGUGCUUAAAUAAAGAAAUAUAACCACAAAUUCUAUUCUAAUGAUAAUAUUAAAAUAUGACAACUCUGUUUCUCAAACCAAAUAUGACUUAACUCUAUAGCAGUAUAGCUCACACGUAACUCUAAUUUAAUUGUUAUCUCCAACUUCACCGAUAGGAGUAGGACAUGCUUUUACUUUGCACACAAUUCGACAGCCAAUUUCGCUUCAUCAAAAAAUUCAUCCAUAUUGACCCAUUCACUAUUAGAGUCUUCAUAUUUUCUUGGAUAAUAAUAAUUCACACUAUUUUCAACCAAUAAAUCAUGGCUUCCAUAAUAUUCUUUAUGGUAAUAAUUUUCAUUGUAAAAAUUUUCAAUAGAUUCAAUCACCUCAAAAAUAUUGUCAUGCACAUCUUCAUUCAAAUCAAAACUUUCAUGACAGGUGCCGAACCUGUGCAAUAAUAAUAAAUAAAUAGAUAAAUCCUAACUACCACCUGAAACAGUCAGUAAUCAAUUCGAGUACUAGAGCAGGGACUCUAGGUGUGCAAUAGGUUACUUGAUUCACCCUGUUCCCGAAGAGUUUGCUUAAUCCGAUAUACCUGAAUUAAUUAUUUAACUGAAUUCCCUAACUGAAUUCCCUAACUAAAAUGCACCCACUAAAAUAUUGUCAUGCACAUCUUCAUUCAAAUCAAAACUUUCACUAACAAUUUCUUUUUGCCCUUCGUCUACAAUCAAAUUAAUGCAUUCACUAACAAAUUCUUCUUCAUCAAUCACCCAAACAAAGUAUGCAAAUCAUAAUUUUCAAUCGUAUAAAAAAUGUCAAAAAUCUCUUUGUCAUCAACAAACACAUCCUCUUCCAAAUUAACUUCCCAUUUCAAACCAAUUUUUUACUUAUGAUUAGAUUCAUAUGGAAAUUCUAUCACCAAAAUAUAAAAGAGAUCUGACUUAAACUAUUGAAAUGAUUGAGAAAAGAUGAUAAGUCUUUUGUAAUACUCUUCAACCAUUGAUUUUCGCAUUAUUUUGAAAAAUAAUUUGGCCUUCCUUCUCUUAAUUUCUUUUGAUGGACCACUAUUUAAAUUGAUCUCAAGAAAUUCACCCAAACAACACUUUUUAAGAUAUUUGUGUAUUAUUCUUGACCAUUCAGAUCUUUCUUUAUCACUGCUAAGUGUGCAUAAAAUUUAAAAUUUUUCAUCAUUGGUAAAUUCUCUCUCCAUAACAAUUCAAAACAAUUUACUUACCUUCACAAAUAUUUUUUUUUCCUUGCUUGAAUUUCUUAGCCUCUCUGGCUUUAGAUUUGAUCAAAUACCACUGUGAUAAUCAACAAUUUGAUAGGACUUUUUUUUUUUUUUUCUGAUUACUGCACAAUACCAACAAUGUCAACAGAGUCCUCUUUUUAGACCUCUGUCCAAUUAGAUUCACUUUUCCCCAAUUCCAAUCAAUGAAUGAAUACACUAAGACCAACUCUCGUGACUCAAUUUUUUUAAUAUACGAGUACUCUACCACAAUUUCUGUACCCUUGUAUGGCACAGAUUUCUCCAUCAAAAACUUUGCACACCCUUCAGACGCCAUAGAUACCCCAAGAUCAAACUCUUAAAAUUAGGGUUAUGAUACCACAUGUUAGUACAAAAAAUCACGCAACGGAAGUAACAUUAGAAUCUUACAAAUAAUAAACAAUAAGAAAAGCACAUGAGAUAAUAAAAUAUUUUGGUUCAAUUCAUGAAUUUUUCUCAACUACAAACCUAGGAUUCCAAGUGCUUAAAUAGAGAAAUAUUACCACAAAUCCUAUUUUAAUUAUAAUACCAAAAUAUAACUCAACUCUGUUUUCUAAACCAACUAUAAUACCAAAUUUAAUAUACUUACCAAAUAACAAAUCAGUUUUUAAAACUACUAAAAUUCCAAAUAUUCAUGGUUUAAAAUAUGUCAACAAAAGUGAAAUUAAUCCUAUGUUUAAUUAUGAUUUUAUCUAACAGAUAAUCGAAUUAGUUUUCAACGAACGGUCGAGUCACGUCAAAUAAGAGGGCAAGAGAAAUGAAUAAUCCCCCCAAGAAAGCCUCUUAUGGAACUAGCACUAGAACUGAGGGUCCAACAAGUGAAUUCUUACGCGCCAAAAACAAACCUUUACAGCCUCUUAUAAAUGCUUGCCUUCCCCAUUACUUAAUCAAAAGCCAAAUUGUACGAAAUUCAAUGUACAGGAGAGCUAACUCUAAAUAGUAAAUGUGGAAAUAAGCAGUUGAUGUAGGACCUAUCUAUGUUGCUUCAGGCAAGAUGGCCCUUAUUCUCUUUGUCUGUAGACUUCAACCAGCUUUUAGAUCCCGGUAUGGUGGCUUUUGGGAUUUUGCCACAGAUUUAGAGGGGAAAAAAAAAGAAAACAAAAUCAAGAAAUAUACGGGAAUAAAGAAGUAUUAUUUGGAUUAUAACUUUUUUAGGAAAAAUUUUUGGGAAAAUGACCGGUUUCAUCCCUCACAUUUCACAAAAUUAUUCUUUUCAUUCCUUACUUUUAAAAUGAAGCAAUUUCAUCAUUGAUAUUUAAAAACAGAAGUUAUUACGUCCCUAAACCCAAUUUUCAAUAUGAAUCAAGCCAUCUAUCAACCUAAUUACAAAUUUUGGGGGUAUAAUUGGUCAAUCACUUGACUAACUCAACUUGAUAUUCACGUGAAAUUUAAUGAAUCCAAAAAGAAAAAAGAAAAAAUUAUAACAUAAAAAAGAAGAAUUAAUCUUUCCUACAUUGUCAUUGUAUAUACUGACGGGUUUAUGUACUUGCCACAUCAUUUCAAUUUAAAUUUAAACACCAAUUUUGUAUUUAUGAUAUACAUAUAGACUCGCAAGUGUAUAUACUAAUGGUACAUGAAAAGAUUUACCCAAAAAAGAAACCUUAUUAUUCCAAUACAAAGAAUGACCUUUUAUGUUAUACUUUUUAUUUUUUUUUUGGUUCAAUAAAUGUCAUGUGAAUAUGAUGGAGUUGACGGAAUGAUCUAUCAAUUCUAUCUCCGAAAUUUAUUACUGGCUAAUUGGAUGGUUUGAUUCAGAUUGACAAUUAGGUUUAGGGAUGUAAUAGGUUUAAUUUUUAAAUGUUAGGAACGAAAAGAAUAUUUUUGUGAAAUGUAAGGGAUGAAAUAGGUUAUUUUCCCAAAAUUUUUAUAUUUUUUGUGAAUAUAUUUUUUUUAUCAUUUUUUAAUCUUACAUAUAUCAAAUUAUUAUAAUGUAUUUUUUAUAAGAAUUCUUAAAAAUAGCAAUCGAAACAGAACUGUGACCACAAAAUUGAAGUUGGCAAAGCACUGUGCCAUUCGAGCAUAGUACGCUAAUUUUGGUCUGCAUAGUAGAGUAAUAUGUCAAUGUGGAAUGCUUUGCAAUGGACAAUAACUCUUUUUCUUUUGGAAACUAAUAUGUCAAAUACCAAUACGAAAACUCAUGAUAAUAUUUCACUAUCCCCCUAUUUUAUAUCUUUGUGACUUCUUCAAUACUUAUUAAGACAUUUAGGAGCCAAUUUCGGAAGUUGAGAUUAAUGCACUUGUAUUUGAGCUAAUACACAACUUUUAUGGAGUGAACUCUAUAGAAUUCCUAAAAGGGAAAAAAAAGAAGAAAAAGGAACAAUUGACUACAAGGAGAUUGUAAGAAAGAAUGCAAUUGAUAUUACAUGCAAUUUUUUCCCUCAUUACUGUUCUCUUUCAAUUUAUUCUUAUUAAUUUUCUUCGUUUGUCAGACUGUAUACAAAAUUGACCAUAACAUAUAAAAUAGAGCGGAGAAAUUAAUGAGUAGUGUACAGAAAAACAAAAGGCAAAAGAGAGUCUAUGUGAUAAUGUCAUGCACUUUCCUAAAUCGCAAAAGACUUGUUUAUUUGCACUUUAGAUAUGCUUAUCUUUUUCCUUGCAUUCUGAUUGGACUUAGAACUUAGAAGUGAACCCUCCUCUCCAUUAAUUUGGUUUUUAUCUACUUUACCAAGUUUUCAAAAGACUGGAGAUGGUUAAAGUUCUUCGUUUUGCAGGAGUAGUUUGCCUUUAAAGUUGUGAUUCGAUUCUUGUUUUUAACAAACUGCAAUGAUUAUUGGGACCCAUAAUCUUCAAAAAUAUAUUUAGGGAAAAUUUCAGAAACCUCCCUUGAGGUUUUAACAAUUUCAUUUAGCUCCCUCAAGGUUUUAAAAUUACACAUACCUUCCUUAUCAUUUAAAAUGACAAUACUACCCUUAAAUAUUUUAAUCAAAUUCCCUUGUUUGGUAUGCUUAUACUUAGAAUGACUUUUAAAAUUAUUUUUCCUUCUUAUUCCUUUUUUAAAUUUUUUGCCAAUAAAAUUGUAGAACUAGCACUAUUACUUCUAGUUUCUAUUGUAACCAAAUGUCGAAGUAGUUAUUUUUUUUUAUGAGUUAACUUAUAUGUAAUCCAAUGUUUUUGCUAAUCUUUAUUUUCUAUCUUUCGGUAUUAAAAUUAAUAAUACAUAAAAAAGAAAUGGCCCUAAGCCCCUACUAAAUUAUGAUAAUCCCACUACUCGAAAAAAAUUCAUAAACUCUAAAUAAAUUAUUUCAACAUUUUGUUUUCUAUCUUAUAAAUCUAAAUCUAUAAUAAAAUAUUAUCAAAAGUAUCAUAUCAUAGUGAUAAAAUUAUUAUUAUAGUUGUUUAUCAAAUAGUAGGUAUGGACAUGAAAAUUUUGGUACAUUUUCUUUAUAAUUAUAUUAGAUAAUCUUAUAAUUGUAUAGAAAAAUAAAUUAAAACUCAUUACACAAGAGCAUUUUUGGGUAUUUAUUUAAAAAUUUGAUCGAGUCAAUAUUAUUUUAAGGUUUUGUUACUAAAAGGGAAAGUCAUUCAAAACGUCCCUCAUAUUUUGUAAAAUGAUUUUUUUCAUCCCUUACUUUUAAAAGUAUAAUUUUAUGUCCCUUACAAAUUCACAUUGAUUAAAUUUGGUUUCUACCUAGAUUUUCAACUAGUUUUUUAUCGGAAUUCAUCAUGUGCUUUACAUGUGAUCAUUUUUAGGGGCAAAAUUAUCAAAUUAAAAUUUAUAUAAUCCAAUCCAUAACCCCUCACAUUUGAUAAAAUAAUUUUUUUGUCCCUCAUAUUUCACAAAAUGAAUUGUUUCAUCUCUCAUAUUUUACAAAAUAAAAUUUUUCAUCUCUCAUUGAUCAUGUGUACGAAUAAUUUUUUUUAACUCAUGUAUAUAUCUAUUUGAUUUCACCUGAACAAUACGAAUAGUAUCUAAUGUAUAGAUAUUUGAUUUCGUCUGAACGUACUGUUCAGAUGAAAUUAAAUAGAUAUAUACAGGAAAUUAAAAAAAUUAUUAGUUUUUCACUCAUGUUCAUUUCCUUUUAUUCGAAAAUUAAAAAAAAAGAAGAAAAAAUAAACAAAGGAAAAUUGACACUUUCAAAUUUUAAAACAAUCACAAGGCAAGAAAUUCAACUGUUAGUUUUAAAGGUGACGAGUAAAAAUUUCAGAUUUAAACUGUAAUUUAUUAACAUGACUAUAGAAUUCGAUUUAGCACCGAUUAAUUAUAUGGCCUUAUUACACAAUUCAAUAAAUGAAUUAUUAUCAAAAGAGAAUAUGCUAUAAAUAUUGAGUAGAUUCACAUGGUGAAAUCAAAUAAAUAUAUAUAUAUGGGGGUUUAAAACAAAAUUGUUAGAUUUAAAUUCAUGUAUAUAUCUAUUGAAUAGCAUGUAUAUAAUUAUAAUUAGUCUGUUUAUGUGAAAUCAAAUAAAGAUAUAUUACAUACUAUUCGUACUGUUCAGGUAAAAUUAAAUAGAUAUAUACAAGGAUUUAAAAAAAACUUUUCAUACACAUGAUUAAUAAGAAAUAAAAAAUUCAUUUUGUGAAAUAUGAGAGAUGAAAAAAUUCAUUUUAUGAAAUGUGAGGGACAAAAUAAUUCAUUUUGUGAAAUAUAAGGAACUAUAGAUCAGAUUAUGAAAUUUUUGAUUUGAAAAUUUUACCCCUAAAAAUGAUCGCAUGCAAAGUAUGUGAUGAAUUUCGACCAAAAUCUAGUAAAAAAUCUAGAUGGGGACCAAAUUUAAUUAAUGUGAAUUUGUAAGGGACGUAAAAUUACAUUUUUAAAAGUGAAGGAUGAAAAAGUCAUUUUAUAAAAUGUGAUGGACAUUUUGAACGAUUUUUCCUUACUAAAACUAUCAAAUCAAGGGAGGUAGGUAUAAUUUUCCAAACCUGGAGGGAGCUCAGUGAAAUUGUCAGAUACCUCAGAGGAGGUUUCUAAAAUUAUCCCAUCUAUUAAUUUAAGAAAGCAAUGAGUGUGUUUGGAUUGUAAAUUAUUUGAGAUAUUUUUACUAUAGCACUUUUUGUGAUGUGAUGUAUGUGAGAUAAAAAAGUAAUUGGGAAGAUAAAAAAGUAAUUGGGAAGAUAAAAAAGUGUAUUGAAAAUUGUAAUGGUGAUGUAAGCAAAUAUAUUUGGGCAAAUAAUCUGCUGUCCAAAAUGUCUUUGGUCCAAAAAAUAAUGGAAUCAACACAAGAUUAGAUCAAAACCUUGAUUACUAAUUAUUUAGUUAAUAAAGUUCAUAUGCCAUAAUGGUGUUGUUAUUUACAUGAACAUGCAAAAUAACUAUUCCUAAAUAUUCUUCUUAAAAUUUAAAAUUUUCUUAAGGUAAUCCAAGUCUGUGUUACAUCAACCAUUACAAGAAUGACAAAUAAAUCCUAUUCUGAAGGACCGAGGCUAUGGAUGUGAAACGAAUUCGUUUCCAGUCUACAUAAAAUUAAGGCCUUAUGAAAUCUUUAAGUUAUUCCUGUGUUAGAAAAUUUUAUUUGUGUUAGAUAACAAAAUUAGUUCCAAUGACAUCAUUCAUUGGAUGUCAUUAUAAAAUUUAAAUGCAUAUUCUACAUCAAUGGCAUUCAGGAAUAAUUCAAAUUCACGAAAGAAAAUUUCGUAUUUAUAAUUUCCCUAGAAAUCUCUAGUUCAGACGUUGGAUUGAGAUGAUCGUACUAUUGAGGCAUAACAAUAGGAAUUAAGCAUCCCACUUUUUUUCUAUUGCUUCUUGUAACCCAAAAAAAAAAAAAAUUGCUAUUGCUACAAACCUAAAAGCCAUAGCAAGUAACCGUCAGUCAAAAAAUCCUCCUCACAGCUAAGUUCACAUUACGAAACAAUUUUUACUAACCGAGGCCAAACCAUAUAUCAAAAUUUUCAGGAUUUUGAUUUUGAAUAUCUCAUUUUCAUGUUGGGUUUUAUUAUUAAAUCCACAUAUGUCAAAAACUAAUUCAUGCUAUAGUUUCUUUAUUACUUUAUUAAUUUUUUGUAAGCCAUUUUGAAAUUGGAGCAAGAAUGCCUACAUGUGUGUGUGUGUGUAGGACAUGCAAGAACUAAAGAUGUUUCAGUUAAUUAUAUGACACAGCUGAACCUUUUAUUUAUGUGUCCUGACUUUUAGUCUCUCCCCUAAUUUUUGUUCAUGUUUAGGUUAAUUGCACUUUAAAAUGGUUACAGCUUUUUCUUUGAACUAGCAAUUACAUCAUUCCUAUUUUGAAUUUAUUCUACAUAAUCAUCUCAGAAUGCGUCGCAGGAAGAACUUUCAGUUCGGCUUGUUGAUUUUAAGACGAAGUGAUGUUUAAUUUGAUUAAAAUUAGCUCAUUCAAUCAAGUUACGAAAUUUUGGUAUAUUCUUUCUCAUAACACUGAGUACUAAGCAAAAGAGGCUGUCCGACUUUCCAUGAUCUGUUAUGGAGUAGACAGGAAGUGCUUCUGCUCUUUUUAAAGGAGACAUUAAUCUUCGGAUUUCAGAAAUGCAUAAUUAUGUGAGCUUCUUAUUUUUGACCAACAUUUCGUUGAAUGAAGGAUUUGUGUGGCAAAUAUCAAAAUCAAACAUUUGGGAGAUCAAAAAGUAGGUUUCUCUUGGGCACCUUAAAAGUACCUUAAACUUAGCUCUUGACUACCAAUGGCGAUGCAAAAUUCUCCAUAUAAUUUCUUAAUUAAUCAAAUCAAUCCUUUUAGCAAAAGGUUACUACCGGUGCCCUCAAGACACUCGUUAACAUACUAAGUAUUCACCUAACCUAUUAAAUAUAUAUAUACACACACACACUAAGAAUUGCUAUCCAAUAUCCUUACAUUUAUAUACUUUUUCUAUUUAAUCUUACCUACCAUCUCUUUUAUUUAUUUAUUUUUUCUAAUUAAUCUUAUAUUUUCAAAAAUAUAACACCUAAAAUAUAUCUUAACGAAUACCCUAUGGGCACCCAUUAAAUAGUACGUUAAAAGAUACCAAUCAUAAUUUAAUCCAUGGUUUCCAAACAAUGAUUAAAUUUAGUGCUUAAUUUAUGCAAACAAUGCAAGAUCUUUAUGGGUAUACAACAAUUAAUUCUAGCUCAAUCCACUCAAAUACGUAGUAAUAUGGUUCUACAAAAAUAGACAUGUAUGUUGUAUAGACUAUACUACAUUGACUAGUUCCUGACAUUAUAUGGUUUUAGGAGUUCUUUUAGAGUAUUUUGAAAAAUGAAGCCACGGAUUUUUUUUGUUUUUGUUUUAUUAUACCUCAAUUUCCAUAUUCUAGUUGACGCCAAAUUAAGAACCUUUUCUUAAAGUUAAUUUAAGGACAUUAAGGGCAAGUCACCAAACGAAGGAGUAUAUAUAUAUAUAUGUAUAUAAUUUUUUUUAAAAAAAUUUGAGGGAUGGAAUUUAAGAAACAAAAAAAGGAACGGAGGAUUUGAACUCAAAACUUCUAAUUCUUGGGGUGAUAUUUUUCUUUGCGGAGAAGAAAAUCCAAUAGGGAUAGCAAAAGCACCAAAAUGUCGGGCCACAGCAAAAAAAGAAAAGAAAAGAAAAUGCCUCAAGGAUACAAAACUUGUCAGCAAAUUGGUGAGGAGCUAAUAUUUUUUCCCCAAAAAAAAAAAAGUACCUUUAGGAUUUAUAUCGCGCAAGACUGCAUAUGGGCAAUCUGUAAGCUGUCCGGGCUUUACGUAGCUUUUUAGCUAUAUGCUAUUUGGUACGUAAGGAAACAAGUUCUUGCUUACACAAGUAGGCUGCGUUGGUCGAUAUGUAUCUCGAUUAUGUACGAAGGUUCUUCUUUACACCAUAUUGGAGAAAACAUUCCAAUUUCUUGAUUUGAUGUUCAUGAAAACGUCAAACUUUACUUUUUCUCAUGAGCCAAAUAUUGCAGAGAGAAAAGCCUAGAUUGUGCUUUAUCUUUCACAUAAAAAUAUGCAACCAAAAAAAAAAAAAAAAAAAAAAUUUCUCUCUUGCUUCAUCAUGAAGAUUUCGUCCAUAUUAUUCCCAUAAAACAAAGAUACCCCAAUACCAACAAUUUGGAGAAUCUUCAAAAAUCAAAGUGACAAAAGUUUAGCACAAGACAUAUAUAAAAAAAGAGGCUAGGCAUACAGCAUGGAUAAUGAUAACGGGAAAAAGGGUAUCACCAGGUAUUGUCCAAAAGAAGAAUUUUUGUUACUUGUUGUCUUUCUUUUAUUUUUCUACAAUUAUUUUCUUCUUUUCAAAGGUGAUCAUCAUGGGGUCAAAAUCAUUUUUUUGCCUUUUCCCCUUUAUCUUUUUCUUCAAGGGCCCUGCCAACAAAGUUGUCUCUUGUCAAUUAUACGGAAAGAGGUCUCUAGCUUCUUGUUCUUGGACAUGGCUUGUCAUAAUUUAACUGGCCGAUUCUUUUUGUUCUUUUUUUUUUUUAAAGUUUACAUUUAUAUAAUGGACUUAAUUCAGGACGAAAAACUUCAAGGAAUUAACUUGGAAAAUCUACCAAAAAAUUAC
rnacentral:lncRNA from 1 species